rnacentral:lncRNA from 1 species
UCCCAGGGGAUGAAAAAUACAGAGUGACUCGAAAGGGUUUGUUGGAAAGCCAUUUUAGAGAGGAUGAAGGGUUAAGUGAGGCUGAAAGUUGGGUGAGACUGCUUCACUUUGAAGUUUAACAUUUAUAGAAUUUUCUUAAUGGCUGGGAAGGCAUUGUUCCAUUACUCGUGUCGGCAAGCCUGGGAUAAUUUAACAGUAGUUUCCACGUGCAUUCCGCUUCUCCAAAAAAUUUCGACAGAUUGCGCGUGAUUUACGCAACGUAGAUGUGCAAAUUGACAGAUGCUGACACGUCUCGAUAAAGCAGAGGUCUCUUUAAUAUCCGGAAUUUACGCUUCAAGUUCUGAGUUUCGUUGAGGGCAGAGAUUGCAUGUGACAAAUGCUGACGAGGCUGAGAUUACAUGUGACAAGUGCCGACGAGGCUGAGAGAGACAGAUGGUUGGAAUCGGUGCUUCGACAGACUGCCCGUGAUUUUCGCAAAGCUGAGUUGCGUGUGAUGGAUGCUGACGAGGCUGAGACAGUUGACACUCUUCGGUAUCUGGAAUUGGUGGUUUGUGAGCAAGCCCAACUUUUGAGAAAGCUGGCGCCUCUUCGAUCUCCGAAUGGCUUCUUCGAUUUCUGAGCUCACCUCUUCGAUCUCUGAAAUCCCAUCGCAUGCUGAUUUUUAUAGAGGUAUGCAGGACGUUCAAAGCACUCUUGAAUUUCUGCCUGUAAAAACUCUCGUUUUGCACUUCUACGAUCUUGACUUGUCCGAUCUCCUCUUUCUUUAACACCUCUGAAAAAUGUCUGGCCCUUCCGACCGUCGUUUUGACUUGAACCUUAGUGAAGGAGCAGCCCCUCCUUCUCCAGACAACAUAUGGUGCCCGUCCCUCAUAUCCCCUACUGGUCCUCUCACCGUUGGGGAUUCGGUGAUGAAAAAUGACAUGACUGCUGCGGUGGUGGCCCGAAACCUUGUCACCCCCAGAGAUAACAGACUGCUCGCUAGACGGUCUGAUGAAUUGGCUGUUAAGGAGUCUCUGGCUCUUAGCGUGCAGUGUGCGGGUUCUGUGUCCAACAUGGCCCAACGCCUAUUUGCUCGAACCCGUCACGUUGAAUCGUUGGUGGCUGAAAUACAAAGUCUUAAAGAGGAGAUUAGAGGACUCAAGCAUGAAAAUAAACAAUUGCACAAGCUUGCACACAGUUAUGCCACAAACAUGAAGAGGAAAAUUGACCAGCUGCAGGAAACUGAUGGUCAGAUUUUACUUGAUCACCGGAGGUUUGUGGGUUUGUUCCAACAGCAUCUGCCUUCGUCUUCUGGGGCAGCACCGCGUAGUGAAGCUCCAACUGAUCAACCUCUGAUACCUCAUCCUUCCGUGGCCCCACCGACUGCUGAGACUCCGCCGACUGCUGAAACUCCGCUGACUACUGCAACUCCGCCGACUACUGCGACAUCUCCCAAGCAGCCUUUGUGAAGGCUCCCUCUUGUAUUAUGCUAUGUUUCUUUAUUUCCCAGUUUGCUGUUCAUUUCCACGAAGUUUAAUGUUAAAAUCCUUUGCAUAUUUGUUAAUGUUUCAAAAUAGAAAGUCACAACCAAAAAUAAUUAAACAAGUAAUAAAAUUGACAAUCAAGCAGAAUAAAUGGGUUGCCUCCCUUAAAGCGCUUGCUUUAACGUCUUCCAGCCGGACGAUGAACACAAUUACUCCCUUCUAAACUUGGAUAGGGCCCAUAACAUGGAAUUGAUCCUUGAAUGGACGGUGAUACUUGACGUGAUCCGGCAAUGGUUUAAAUUCUAGUGUAGGUGCCUGAAUCAUCAAAAUCAACAAGUUAGUAUAUACUAAAAUCGAAAUUGGAGAAGGUGGCUUACUUGCUUUGUCCGACAAGAACUCAAUGACAAACACCACAUUUUUUAAAGUUUCAGGGAUAUUGGACUUGGCCAGAUUGAAUGUGAUGGUUAGGACUUGUCCCAUGUCAUAAAAUUCAACUUCUUUAGGAAUGGUUGUCUCAAGCACAUCCUCUUUGAUGCAUUCUAGACAUUCCCCAUCCACUUCUUUCUCUUGAUUCUUUGGAAAGGUUUCAAAGAUGCCUUUCUCACCCUCUUCUUCCUUGGAUUGCAUGAUCCUGCAAGGAAUAAAGACAUUUAGUGGAACGGGGUCAGGACGAAUUGAAUUUGGGCUUACCUUGGUUGUAGUGGACUGCAUAGAGGGCAUAUGGGGCUGCGGCAAGGGUGUUGGGGCUAGGGUAGGCUGCAGCAAUGGUGGUUCUUCCUUUGCCGUGGCCUUGUUAUCCUCCUCUUCUUCGAGCAGUAACUGUUCAUCCAUGUUUUGGCUUGGUUUGGACAUCUUGGGUUCAUCUCCAACCUCUAUGCCACUUUCCAAGUUGAUAGCUUCAAUAAUUUCAACAGUUGAGUCAGUUACUUCACUUUGUUCUUGCAUUUGCCCCAUGAAUUCCGCGAUCUCUCCCAUUUGAUUCUUCAAUUCGCUCAUCACUUGGGCUUGAUUUUGUGAUUCCUGCGUCAAAGAAGUUAGUACAUCAAGAAUUUGAGCACAAUCUAUUGACGAACCUGAAUUUGAUUGGAAUUGUUGCGGGGCAGGUUGUGGUGGCUGCAUAGGCGUUGUAUAGAACUCCUCAUAUGGCUGCCAAUAUUCUCCUUGUUGAGCCUCCUUGGCUUGAUUUUGUGAGCCCUGCGCCAAAGAAUUUAAUUCAUUAAGAAUUUGUUCAUAAUUUAUUGACGAACCUGAGUUUGGUUGGGUAUAUUGUGUAUGAGGUUGUGGUGGCUGAGCAGGGCUUGAAUAGAACUCAUUAUAUGGCUGCCAAUAUCCUUCGUGUUGAACUGGUUGAGGUUCCCACCACAUAGUGUUUGAAUGAUCCCUCCAAUCUGAAUUAUACGUGUUGGAAAACAAGUUGUUCAUUGAUUGAUUAUGAUCAUGAUAACUCUCCCAACUCCUUUGUGGAUGUUGAUCUGCUUGAUAUCCUUGCGUAUAGGACACAUCGAAUGUAGGGGUGCUUUGUAUUGUGGUCCUUUCGAUGUACUGUGACAAUUGAGAAGUAAGAAUUGCCAUUUGAGCUUGAAGAUUAGCAAUUGUCAUGUCUUACUUCUUUUAGUACCUGAUAUCAAAGAAAUAAAACUAAAUCAAAUAUCAUAAGUAAACAAAACAGGGUAAUUAUAAAAAAUAUAAAAUAAAUAAAAUAAAAAUAAAAAUAAAAUAAAAUAAAAAUAAAAAAUAAAAUAAAUAAAAAAAAAUAAAAUAAAUAAAUAAAACUAAACAAUUUAAACAAGACUCAAGACAAGGGAUUAGCAACUUUGCUAAUCCCCGGCAACGGCGCCAAAAUUUGAUGCGUAAAAUAACUAAACACACAAAUUUAAACCCUUUUUUUAUCAAAUGUAGUAAAGUAUGUAAGUAGGGAUCGUUCUAGGCCGGGGAUUAGGAGGGAUUGCUAAACACUUGAAAACUGACUUAAAAACAUAAAAACAAAAUUUAAAACACUAAACUAGACUCAAAGAAUGCAAAACUAUACUUUAAAAACUUAAACAAACAUAAAACUCAAAACAGCAACCUAAUGACUCAAAACUGCCUAAAAACCACUUUCUGGGCAGUUUUGAGAACCUAACAAGAACUUGGACGAAGUUGGAUGAAAACUUGAAUCAAAACACUUAGAAACACAAAAUCAAAACACUUUCUAACUAAUCUAAGACUUCAAAAUAAAGGGGGAUUUGUUUUGGACGAAAAUUUGAAAACAAAAACAGAAACUUUAAAACAAAACAGAUUGUAAAAACGUUUUUGGAUGAAAAGGAUGGAUAAAAGGCUAGUUAGGAAGUUCUUCUCCACACAUGACACACUUGCAAACAAAAUGAUUUUCAGUUGUUCUUUCAAUAAAUUAUGAAACUCAACACCCCAAGUUAAUUAGAUACGCUUAAAUUAACCUUCAAGUUCUCCUUAAGUUAAUGAAUUGGAUGGAAAAGCGCAUACAACAAUUCAAAGCAUUCCUCAAAGGUUCCUUACGUGAUGAGCACAAUAAAGAUACAAUCAAGAAUCAUGAAGCACAAUGAGAACUAUAAGUGUUGACGAGGCAUUCGUUACUAUGAUGAGCAUGAAACUAGUGCCAGAAAUUCAUUCAACGCGAUCGUUUUCAAGCGACCUUCACUACUUGUGAUUAUAAGAUUGUAACUAUUAGGUGAAACUCCCUCAUAAUCUAGCAUCAUAUUCAUGCAUGAAAACUAAGUGUGCACUCUCAAUCAACAUACACAAAUAAGUUAUCAAUCAAGUAGAUGAACGAAUUGAAUCCGCAACUUAUGAAAUAACAACUGAAUGUAAUCAAAUCAUAUUGCAAGCAUGUACAUGGUUUCGAAUCACCCCCCAACUAAGGGGGUUUAGUUCCUCAUUCUUGCAAUACAAAGAUACAUAAAAUUAGACAUUAAAAUCAAAGGAAAGAAAACACCUAAAAUGCUCCAACUUGGAAAGCAAGUGCAUCAAUGGAUCUCCCUUCCUCCUUGUUGCGGCAUGAAGCUUGUGGACAGAUUUUUGGGUGGAUUUAUGGUGUAGAAUGGAUGGGAAAUGAUAUGGAGGGGUUUAGGGUGAGUGUGGAAGAGUGUUUGAUGGUUGGAAGGUGGUGGAGAACUAGGCAAAGAGGGUGGAAGAAGGUGGAGUGGCUGUUAUGUUUUCUAGGCACUAGAAUGGUGUUUUUGGGGUGUUUUGCUUCCUAGGGUGUGUAUGGACGAAUUUCUGUGAUAAAAUGAUGAAUAUGGGGGAUUGUCCUUUGGCCAAGGGGUGUAAACAUGUAUUUAUAGGCCCCAAAAACCUUAGAAAAUCAGGUUAGGUUAAGGAUGAAAUGCAUGGCAAUUUGUGUGUGUGGUGUGCAAUGGUCCAAGGGUGAAAAUGAAGUAAUGAUGCAAAGUGUGAAGGGUAAAAUGGAGUGGUCUUGAAGCUAGGGAGCAUGAAUGAUUGUGUACAUUGCAUAGAGAUGGAAAGGGAGGUGAAAAUGUGUCAAUAAAUGGGUCAAAGGUGCAGCAACAUGUGGUACACAAGGCAUGGGAUUCCAAAUGUGAAUGAUGGAGCAUCAAUUGGUGCAUGCAAUGGAUGUAAAUGUUGUCUAAAAUCUAAUGAGUGAAGGGAACAAGAGGUAUCAAGCAAUUGAGUGUAAUAAUUAAAUGAAUUGAAGCAUGAAAUUAGAAAUUAUGUAGGGGACAAGAGUGAUCAAGCACGGCAUGGAAUUUAAAGGGAAUUCUAUGUGGUUUGCAUGGCAAGGAAUGCAAGUUGGGGUGACAGAUUUUUGGGUUGUUUUCUUCAUCUUUUGGACCAUAAUUCUUCAUAUUCUUGGCCUCUUUAGUUCUCAAAUUCGUCCAUCCACUUGGCCCAUGCAUUUGCUAUCCAUUCCAAGCCCGAAACAUACUCCAAAGGCCUCCAAAAUGCAUCUUCUUGCAUACUUUGUCCAUAAAAUCUGAAAACACACGAAAAUGACUUUAAACAUUAAAAUAACUAAGGAAACACGACAUAAAUGCACAAGAACAAGCCAACUAAGUCGCAUAAAUGUGCUCCUAUCACUUAUGCCACGGUCUACGCGUAGACACGUCCAUGGAGAAUUCAUCUCUCAACGCCCCACCAUAGGCUAUUCGUCAAGGAUGGUUUAAUCCAUUCUUUCAUCGAACUACACCCGUGGUUUGAUUGUCCUUCCUGAAGAUUUGUAGGCAGUCAUUUCCGGAUUCAACCACUCCCCCCAAUCAACCUCAUUCUCCCCUCAUCGGAGAUCAUGGGCUAGUCCGAUUGGGUUGUUACCUCCAUCCACGGAUGUGCCCUAAUUUGGUUUCAAGAUCUGGGAGACGAAAGUGUUUAUGAUGUGAUGAUCCACGAUGUCUAAAGCUUUUUCAAGUUCUUCAGAAAGCAUCUGGCCGAAGUUGGUAGAAUCCAUUGCGGGAAAAGCUUUAAGUUUCUACAGAAAUGGGAAGGUUUCUGGGAAAGUUUGAAACCUUAGAGAGAGUUCUAAGAAUUCUAAAAGCGUAAGAGAAAAGGGGAAAAAAUUAUCAGGUUUUAUAGGCAAAUGAUGAGGGGAGACUUUGAGGGUUUGUAAUUGUUUAAUGAAUAAAUCUCAAACUAACUCCCCUAAUCAUCAAAAUUUUGGAAUUGGAAGGGUUUAAAAUGUCAUUACAAUAUCUCAUUACACACGAUAAUGAUGAGGUUCGAGUUUCAAGGCAGAAUCUCCAAGGAUUUACGCUUCGGCAUCUCUGCGCUUGGGGUAUGGGAUGCGUGAGACGACCGUAGACAAACUGAUGUCGUUGAAACUCGACACGUGUUGUUUUGUGGCAGUCGAGGGGAGUGGCAUAGAUACAGGAAUCAAGUGCAUUAAAUGCUCUAGUUAGUGGGUCUUAACUUCCUUAGGACGAUUGGCCAAGUGUCUUUGGCCGAGUAGCAUUUUCACUUCUUCGAAACCUCUAAACCAAAGGUUCUUUGCCGAAGGUUUCAAAAGCGAGAGGGCAAUAUUUAGGCCCAAAAUAUUGGAUUUGGGCUGAGUAAGAUUAUGAGCUCGGCCCAUAGUUAAGUAGACAAGUCCCAGGUCUGUGUGAUAAGAAGCCCAACCCAAAGUGGUUUAGCCAAGUUUAAAUUAAAGAUGGACACUUGAAAAUCAAGAAUGAAUUCGGCUAUGUCCUAAUUUAGCUAAGAGUCUUCAAAGAUCAGGAUGGCAUAAUAAGAUUCGUAAUAUUCUAAGGAUCUGGUUAGAAUAAGAAAUGAAUUGAACACCAAGAAAAGGCUAGAUUCAGAGUCCUUGGUCUAGUAGGAGUGAUCGAGUUCAAUCUAAAUGAGAAGAUGAUUCGUUAUUAGAUAAAAACAUGUUGAGGAGAUUUAGUUCGAGUGGACAAGACUACUCCAAGUUCGGCUAACUACCUAUCAAGGUCUCUAUCAACAAGGGUUCUUUGAGUCCUUGUUGGAAGGUGUCACUUAAUUAGCUUUCUCAACGAAGUGAGGUGUUACCAAGUUACAUCAUUCGGCAGAUUGAAAGCCGAGCAUAUUUUAUGAUUGGAUAUUCACAAAUAUAUUUCAAAGUUCAGCACUUCGACUGUCGAACCACAUUUAUAAUCAAGACUUAUCUCUUUUGAGUAUUUGUGUUCAUAUAGUCUGAUACUGAUUCAGGUUUUAUAACCCAGAGGCCGAGAUGAUUUCCUUUCUCGGAUGCAAUUGCAAGAUACAAAGUCAACAAUGCAUUUGACACUGCCCCCACCACAUUCAUUCACUUACUGACCAAGCGGUCGUCGAGUUGGCAUGCUCCACAUUCAACUGAAGGACGUAGUUAGCUCAUUAACUAUUCGGCCUGCGUGCCACGUAGGCCAAUUAGUUUUAGGGUCAAUAUGGAACCAUAGGAUAAUGCUUGUCGAUGUAUUGAAAUUGUCGUUGGUGUAGGAUUGCUCAAAGUACCCAAAGCAAAAGCAAAUACUCCUAAGUCAGUUUAUUGAUAAAAUUAAAAAUGAGUAUUAUAAGAUGAGAAUGUAGAGUGUAUGUAGAAGUGGGGUGUAUCUAGCAAAUGUAAUGUGUAUGUUUAGAGUGUGGGGGUAUGAGAGUAUUAUGGGAAAGUACGUGAGUUGUAUUAAGGUAAUUUUUAAUAGAAAAAAUAAAUGUGGGUGUAUUAGGUAUGUGGAGUAUAUUUAACAAUCUGUUGAGUGUUAAUAUAACAAGCCUUUAUACAAGCUCUUCAUUUUUAUUUUAUUUUUUUUAGCAAAAACCUCUUCAUUUUUUUUUUCAAAUAAUAGAUUUGUUAGAUCAGAUGAUAUAUUAGGAAACCAAUUGCAAAAACCUCUCCACCAAUGUGGUAGAAGGCCACUUGCAAAACUUCUUCAUUCUAAAUGGCCUAAUAUAAACUUACAUAGAAAAUCUAUAAUCUCAUCUUAUUCAAUUGUAAUUAACCCGGUAUUUAAACCAUGUUGAGAUUGGUGUCAAAUAAUCCAAUCCAAUCCUCCUCCGGUCAUAAAAUCCCCCCCCCCCCCCCCCCCCCCCCCCCCAAAAAAGUCACGAAUAGGGUGGAUCUCAUUCUUAUAUGUUACUUAACAAUAAAAAAAGGAUUGAACAAAAUGAAGUAUGGACUUCUCCCUAGAUGUUUGUAUCGCUAGACAGACACGACUUGGAGAAGGGAGAACAGACUCGAAAUACAGGGAGAGAGAUGUUUUGUUCAUGCUAUUACAUGACCAUCCGAGGUCGGUCAUUCCCAUCUCCCUGGAGGUGGGUAAGGGAGCGAUCCUCAUCGGAACUAGUUUUUUCUUCUUGAUAAUACUUGGAUUCUCACUAGUGAGUAUUUAAAUUGCUGACCAUGUUAUGUGGACCACUAAAUUAAAAACACCUGUCAAAUGAAACUUCUCCCAAGUCCUACCAUUGUUUCAACCAAAUACACUAUUUCUUCUCCUACUUGUAUCCAAACAUCCAUCUUCUCUCCUACCAAGUACACAACUGCCAUACCUCACCAUCACCUCCCUCUCCUUUCCCCCGAAGCCAUGACAGCACCCCUCAAAUUUCACCAAACCCAUGACAGAUCAGAUACAUCUUGCUAACCCUACGAAGGAUAUUUCACCCAGAAGAAAAAUUAUGAGGGAGCUUGAAAUUAUUCGUUGAACUUUGGGCGAAUGUUUCGUCAUACCAUAGAUUCCACGACCGAGAUUCCAGACGACGACGGGGGUGCUGCGAUGGCUUCCACGAUAAAGAAUAGGAGGAUUUUGGUGCGGGAUCGACAGAGAAAAGAUGGAGGAGAUUAGGUUUAUAAAAUUAUAAUUGUAACAUGUGUUUUGUUUUUAUUGGGCCACCGUACAGUCAAUUUUUUUUGCACUGGCUAAUGAAUAACCAAGUAUUGUCCUUUUCUUCUUGCUUAAUACUGUCCGACGAUAAAGAAUAACAGGAUGAGCAAAUGUGUGCCCUUCCAUAAACUGUCUUAUGUCGGCCCUCCUCACGGCUUCCCUUUCCAGUGCCAUGAACUCAUUCUUAUCUGCUGCCUCCUCAUUAAGCUUCUUUUGCUCCUCGUCAGCAGACUCCCCUUCCUUAAAUUGUCCUUUGUCGGGCCUCCUCACGGCUUUCCUUUCCAGUGCCAUGAAAGCCUCCUCCUCAAGCUUCUUUUGCUCGUCGUCAGCAGACUCCCCUUCCCUCAGUUGUUCUUUGUCUGCCCUCCUCACGGGUUUCUUUUCCAGUGCCAUGAACUCAUUCUCCUCUGCUGCCUCCUCCUCAAGCUUCUUUUGCUCUCUGUCAGCAGAUUUCCCUUCCCUAAAUUGUUCUUUGUCGGCCCUCCUCACGGUCUUCUUUUUCAGUGCCAUGAACUCAUUCGCUUUCAGUAUUUUCGAUUUUUUAGGUAAAUCUGGGAGUGCCCCAAGGUUCUUACAAUUACCCAAGUGUAAGACUUGAAGCUUGGAAAGGCCACUGAGGGAAGGUGGCCGGCUAAAAGCAUUGCCUCUUAGAUCUAAAACUUCUAAAGAAGAUAGGCCCCCAAGAUCCUUAGGAAUAGCAUCAUUUGUUAACUUGCAGUUCACAAGCGAUAAAUGCUUAAGGUUCUUCUGUUGUACCGUGGAAGGGAGAAACUUGGACAAACUCUUGCAGUCAUCGAUUAUCAGUUCCAUCAGUAAGUCCGGUGAUAAAUAAUUCAGGUUAAACAAGUGUGCUGCGGAAUAGUGAAUCUCUGACAAAUCCGGCAAGCCUUUGAGUAUCAGCUUCUCUAGUUUUAUGAUUUCUAGAAAGUCUGGGGAUCGUGCCAGAGUGGAAUGAUGCAUGCAACUUCCAGUGAGUUUGAGCGCUCUCAAAAUUUGCAUCUUUUGAAAUGAUUCUGUACUGCAGCCAGGCUUGUCAGAUUCAUGCGAAUCUAAACUGAGUCCUAUAAUUUUUCUCGUACCCUGUUAGGAAUACAGAAAGGAACUGAGUAAGAAACGGAUUAUUUUCAUUUGAACGGCUUAUACACACGAAAGCAAAGCUAUAAACUGGACGUAUAACUGUAAAAGGGAAGCACAACCUCUGAUAGGCAGCCUUAUUAUUUACUCUCAGCUGGCUGCACUACCUCUUGAUCGAAGCCAUAGAAUUGUGCUUACACUUCAGUUGUGUCUUACAACCGUCUAUAAUAGUUAGUUAUCAUGUCAGCUUUUGUUACAUGUAAUAUUUUUCCCAUUGUAUUUAAGAAGAGCAGGACGUAUGUUUUUAGUUACUUUGAGACAAUUCAAUAAAUUCAAGUACCUUAGUUCUAUCUUAUACUUUCCUUUCGGUCUCUAUUUCUCUUUUCGUUCAACCUGUGGUAUGGGUUUGUUAAUUGUUAGGUUUUUUGGCUCGUCAAAGUGUCCUAGUUGGUUUAGGAUUGUUUUAGGGAAAAUUAGAGGUAUACCAAUUCUUGUCCUAGUGGGUUUAGGAAAGAAUUUCAGUUUUCCUUAUUCAAUUUAGGUUUGAAUUUCUAGAAGUCUAUUUAGAUUUGGACAAGUGUAUUUUCUUAAUCCACUUAGAAUAGGAAUUCAAUUAGCCUUGGAACAUGUAAGCCGAACCUAUGCCUAUAAAUAGGUUGCGGGCAAGACAUAAAUUGUAGGGGAGAAAAACUGUGACAGCCAAAACAAUAGAGAGAGAAUAGUUCUAGGGUUUUGCAAAAGUUCUGUAAUUCUCUAUUAUUAAUCAAAAUCAAAGGAGUCGUGAUUUCUCUACCUAGAGAAAUCAUAACUGGACGUAGGCAAAAGUUCUGCCGAACCAGUAUAAGUCGUGUGUUUCUAAGUUUUCUAUAUUUGCUAGUUUAGUCUAUUGCCGUUGGUUACAUUAAAGAACAAGGUUUAGUGUGCGGUUUUUCAACAAUUGGUAUCAAGAGAUACGUUCAAGGCGUUCUAGGAUGUCAAAAGAGAAGAUGAAUGCCGGCAACAGAGGUAGGUCAAAAUCCAAGAAGAAAAAGGAAAAGAAUGAAGGUUUCUUCGAAUGUGGUUCAGCCGAUCAUUGCAAGAGGAACUGCAAGAUUUGGAAAGAGAAGAAAGCCAAGAUGGAAGGAAGCUCAUGUUCAAUUAGUGCAGUCAACGAGCAUGAGAGUGACGAGGAGCUUCUUUCAAUAACAUCAGGCUCCAAGGCGUUCACAAAUUGGAUUUUAGAUGCCGGAUGCACUUUUCAUGUGUGCAGUAAGAGCAUGGUUCGGUACUUAGAACUAAGUCGACAGCGAGGAAGUCUUAAUGGGGGACGAUUCUUCAUGUCCUGUAAGAAGAAUCGGCACUGUUCGAAUCAAAAUGUUCAAUGGGAUGAUACAAGCUUUGGGGAACGUCAAGGUAUGUCUCUAGACUAAGAAAGAAUUUGAUUUCCUUGGGUACUUUAAGAUGAGGCCAGUUAUGGGUACAAGUCUUAAAAAGGAAGACUCAGGGUAACCAAAGGAUUGAUAGUGGUAAUGUGGGGUGACCUACAAACCAAUAAGUUGUAUAAGUUAAUUGGGACCAUUAUAGUCGGAGGAGCAGCUGUUUCUGUAAAUCAAAGUAUAGAAGACAAGACUAAACUCUGGCAUCAUAGGCUCAGGCACAUAAGCCGGAAGGGGUUGCAAGAAUUACACAAGCAAGGCCUAUUUGAAGGUGUGUCAUCUUGCGAAAUGGAAUUUUGUGAAUACGGUGUUCUCGGGAAGCAAAAAAAGGUAUCAUUCGCAAGUAGCAGUGUAGAUAACCGAAGCAAGGAGCAACUCAGCUAUACUCACUCAGAUGUUUGGGGCUCUACACCAACUAAAUCAAAUAGUGGAGCCAUGUAUUUUGUUACUCUCAUGGAUGAUUUUUCUAGGAAGGUUUGGGUUUAUUUCAUGACAUAGAAAUCCGAGGUUUUUGCAAAGUUCAAGGAAUGGAAAACAAAAACCGAGAAUCAAACUGGAGGAAAGAUUAUAUAUUACAAGUGAUGAAAGGUCCAAGCUCAAAUCAAAGUCUACACAUUGCAUAUUUUUAGGUUUUGAGAAAGGAGUUAAGGGUUUCAAACUUUGGAAUAUCAAUAACAGGAAAAAGGUUGUCAGCCGAGAUGUUGUCUUUGAUGAGACAAUCAUGCCUUUGAAUAAAGUCGAGAGGAGUAGGGAGAAGAACAAUGCUGAAAUUGAAGCAACAAAGAUUCCGUUAAUCAGUUCAGAUGAAGAAGAAGCUCAGGUGGAGUAAAUCGAGCAAGAGACCGAAUCUGAUGGUUUUGAGGAAGAAGAACAUCAGCAUCGUUCACCAGUUAGGAAUCAGGUGGAGCAAGAAACAAGGCAAAUUGAAGGCACUCUAAUCCGCCAGACAUCCCAAAGGGUUCGAACUCCAACCAACAAGCCACUUGCAUUCCAGAGAUGCAUAGCACUAGAAAUCGGAACAAGAAGAAACCUGACAAGUUUGGGUUUGAUCAAAACGAAGUUAAUUAUGCUCUUAACAUUAGUCAAGGAAAUCUGACUACUUAUCGAUAAGCUAUAGCGAGAGAUAAGCGAGAUAGUUGGAUAAGUGCUAUGACAGAAGAAAUGAGUCUCUUUACAAGAACUCUAUUUGGGAGUUGGUUCCUAAGCCCAAAAACUGAAAGCUAGUUGGAUGCAAGUGGGUAUUUAGGGAAAAGGAAGGACUACAUGAACAAGAUGUCAUGCGAUUCAAAGCAAGGCUCAUGGCUAAGGGGUACUCACAAAAGGAAGGGAUGGAUUAUGAUGAGAUAUUUUCACUUGUAGUCAAGCAUACUUCAAUCAGAUUGCUUUUAGCAAUGGCAAUUCAGCAUGACAUGGCCAUUGAGCAGAUGGAUGUGAAGACAACAUUUCUUCAUGGGGAUCUAGAGGAGACAAAUUUCAUGGCUCAACCAGAAGGGUUUGUUGAAUAUGGGAAAGAGAACCUAGUAUGUUAGCUAAGGAAGUCCCUGUAUUGCAUGAUACAGUCUCCAAGGCAGUGGUACAAGAGGUUUGAUUCCUUCGUGCUGAAAAUUAAUUUUAGAAAAUGUUUAUAUGACUGUUGCGUGUACUAUCAUGUGUUCCAAGAUGGGAUGAUCAUAUUGUUAUUGCUAUAUGUGGAUGACAUGCUAAUUGCUUGUCAACACAAGCCUAGAAUUCAAGACUUGAAGAAGAUAUUGAGCAAGGAGUUCGAUAUGAAGGAUCUAGGUGCUGCACAGAAGAUCCUUGGCAUGGAAAUUCAGAGAGAUAGGAUCGCUAGAAGGAUCUGGAUAUCACAAGCCAAUUAUAUUCAGAAGGUUCUUGAGAAGUUCAACAUGCAAGAAGCAAAGGUAGUUUCAACUCCUUUGACGGCUCAUUUCAGGUUAAGUGGUCAACAGCGUCCUAAGUUCGAGGAAGAGCAACAAGUAAUGGAGAAGGUGCCUUAUGUUAAUGUCGUGGGUUGCCUUAUGUAUGCAAUGGUAUGCACACAUCCCGACAUAGCUCAAGCAAUCAGUGUCUCCAGAUAGAUGGCAAAUCCACGAAAGCAACAUUGGGAUGCAAUCGAGUGGAUUUUGCGUUAUUGGAAGGGUUCUUGGCAACAAAUAAUUAUGUUUGAGAAGCAAAAGGAAAAUGCAGGGGUGUUAGGAUAUGUGGAUGCCGAUUAUGCACGGGACUUGGACAAGAGAAGGUCAACUUCUGGUUAUGUGUUUACAUGCGCAGAGGGACCAAUCAGUUGGAGGACACUACUGCAACCAGUUAUAGCUUUGUCGACCACAGAGGCAGAGUAUAUUGCAUUGGCCGAAGCUGGAAAGGAAGCAAUUUGGCUUAGUGGCUUGGUAAGUCAAAUGGGAAUCACUGAAGAUUGUGUGAAGUUGAAGUGUGAUAGUCAAAGUGCCAUUCACUUGGUAAACAAUCAGGUUUUUUUUCUGGAAGAUCAAAGCACAUUGAAGCAAGGUAUCAUAGAAUCAGAGAUUGGGUGGAGUCUAAGGAGAUUUGGAUUGAAAAGAUCCAUACAGAUCACAAUGCUGCAAAUUUCCUUACAAAGAUAGUGUCGGCCAAGAAGUUCAAGCAUUGCUUGAACUUGAUCAAUCUCGUUGAUUGAUUACAGUGGAGCACCUCCUCACUUGAGGUGCAAUAAGGCAAGAAGACGAUUGCCAAGGUGAUGACUCUUGAAGAUUUCCAGAGCUGCUUCAAGAAGGUUCAAAGGUGCUCUAGGGUGCAACGAUCAAGACUUGGUUUGACUCACCAAGGUGAAGAUUGUUAUGUUUUUUGGCUCGUCAAAGUGUCCUAGUUGGUUUAGGAUUGUUUUAGGGAAAAUGAAAGGUAUACCGAUUCUUGUCCUAGAGGGUUUAGGAAAGAAUUUCAGUUUUCCUUAUUCAAUUUAGGUUUGGAUUUCUAGAAGUCUAUUGGAUUUGGAUAAGUGUAUUUUCAUAAUCCACUUAGAAUAGGAAUUCAAUUAGCCUUGGGACAUAGAAGCUGAACCUAUGCCUAUAAAUAGGCUACGACAAGGCAUAAAUUGUAGGGGAGAAAAACUGUGACAGCCAAAAUAAGAGAGAGAUAUUAGUUCUAGGGUUUUGCAAAAGUUUUGUAAUUCUCUAUUAUUAAUCAAAGGAAGGGUGAUUUCUCUACCUAGAGAAAUCAUAACUGGACGUAGGCAAAAGUUCUGCCGAACCAGUAUAAGUCUUGUGUGUUUCUAAGUUUUCUAUAUUUGCUAGUUUAAUAUAUUGCCGUUUGUUACAUUAAAGAACAAGGUCUAGUGUGCGAUUUUUCAACAUUAAUUUCCAAUCAACGUAUUGUAUAGUAUAUGGUUGACACAUCGGUAUUGAAAUUUAUCUGAUGAGGAUGUGCAUGUACUUCUCUUUUGUUGUGCACAAGAAUUUAACAGAAUUUGAUUGUGAGUUACUUACAGAGUUGUUCCUCAAUACACCUGCUACAUCUUCAGGAACCCGCAAUCUGCUACGUUCUUCAGGGUUGCCAGAGGAUUCAGCAAGCCCGAUUUCUCUGCCCAUGUCUCGAAUCAUAUCAUGCAUCAUUAGAUUACCUUCUUGUCCGGUGGCUACGCCUAAGGAUGUGUUCUUCAGUAUUCUAGUGAUCCCGUCAAUUAUUUUCCUGAUAAACUCUCCUUCAUACCUGGUAGUUAAAACCCAAAAUUAAGCUUAAAUAAGAUUUAUUUUGCAACUGCCAGAUUAAAUUAGAUCAAGAAUUGUUUAGUAAUUAAUGUAUCAAAAUCGUGGAUUACGAUUAAAAUUUUGAAAACUUCUGAAAGCAUUAUGUACUACGUUGACCCAUGUUAUUAGCUCCAUAUCUGACCACACAAAAUCUCGUAUCAUAGUUUCCAAGCUCUGCAGUACAAUGUGUAAAAUAAAUAAAUAUUUUUUUAAUUAAUAUUUUCGACAUUUGCUAAAUAGAGGCUUAAAAAACCAAAACUUAUGUUAAAUGAAAUUAAAUAUAUUAUGCAAGGUUAAAGAAGAAAAAAGGAAGAUAUAAGUAAAUAAUUACCCGUCAGUCUUUGCAAAAUCCUCACCGGCCAAAUCUGCAGCUUCAGUAAGAGCAUUUCUCCAUAGCCAUAGCUUUUCGUCCUUAUCUUUAACUUGAUGGAAAUGGUUUUCGUGUUCUUAAAUGCUUUUGCAAAAGUCCCAGACUGAUUCUUGACAUCCGAAGGAUCAACAUCAUAAAAUAUUGGCAAAACCAUUUGCUCCAUUGUUCUUUUACACUCCAUGAUCUUCACCAGCUCCUCAAGACACCGGAUUGAAUCUGCAUACCUCCUUGAGAAGAUGAUGACAGCAAUUCUAGACCCUCGGAUUGCUCGCUUCACUUUGUCUGAUAUAGCUUCCUCUCUUCGCAUUGACUCGUUCUCGUCGAUAAAGGUGUCGAGUCUGGCCGCUUUCAAUUUCCAGUAGAGGUGGUCCGUGAAUGUUUUGCGCGUAUCUUCACUAAAGCUCAAGAACACGUCGUAAAUCUCAUCUUCUAAUGAGGAGGAGGAGGUUGUGGGGGGAGGAAGGUGAGGAUGGACAGUAGGCUUCAAGAGCUGUACUGGUAUACAUUAAUUGUUGCUGCACCUUUUACGAUUAAAACUGCAAAAUUAACAGUCUUCCAACUUGUAUUCUUGUGUUGCACAGAUAGAUAACACAGCUACUUUCAUAGUUUCAAUCCGACACAUGCAAAAGAAAAUUUAUGUAACCGUAUGUAACAUACUCAUAUCAUACUCAUUGGAAGGCAAGUAGGAAGAAUUAUACGUCCAUCCUUCUCGUCCGCCAACAGAUAAUAGUCCAGUUGUAACAUACUCAUAUCAUAAGACUACAAAAAUAUACAUAAAAUUUUCAGUUUUAGGAUAAACGUAGAUUAGACACAAAAACAUACAUCAAAUUUUCAGUUUUAGGAUAAAUUGACUUUUUUUUUUUUAAUUUUCAGUUUUAUCAGAGACAUAACAACAAGAUAAAAUCCUUCGACCUUUUCUAAAGCAGUGGAAUAUUUCUAAUAAUACCUCACAAAAAAUUAAAUUUAUAUUGAAUUUAACAUUUUCUUUAAUUCACAAGGAUAACUAAAUAGAAUAAUAAUAACAAGAAUAAUCGAUCCCUAUUAUUGCAGUCAAACGAUGUCUCAGGAGAAGGAGGGAACUAUUGACCAAAUUACAAGCAGACAGAAUUACAAGCCAAAGCCCUUGGUUUCAGCCCAAAAAAUAACAGAGUGAAACUGCUCGAUCAAAGACAAAUCCAACACCCAAGUAAAAUUAAAUGAGAAUUCCAGAACUAGAUAAGAAAAAUAAAGACGAUCGAAAGAGAGGAAAAACCUGUACGAUCCUCAGCCUCUGACGGAUAAAUAGAAGCUAAUUCCCCUAGUUACAGAAAUAAUUCGUGGGACGGAGGGACGAAAGGACGGAGGAUGAAGAAAAUGAGAAAGAAAGACGGAGGCAUAUGACAAUUAUUGGAGGGUAUGAGAGAGGAUCCAUCGAAAGAACAAUUUAAAAUGUCAAAUGCAAUUCUUUUAAUGAAAAUAAUUUGAGUAUUUAAUUUAAUCAAAAUCAUCCUAGAACUAUUAUUUAAUCAAAAGAGUUUAAAAUUUAAUCAUAAAAACAUAAUUAUUCAUAUACUAAGCCUUAGAAACAUAACAACUUACUGUUUGAAUUAAAAGCCCAACCAACCGUAAAUGCUUUUUCCAAACUUAGCGGAACCCAACCGAGCCAUUAUCCUAUUCAAAUCCAACUGUGAUUAAAAUUUAAAAUUCCAUGUUGCUUUUUCCAUGCAUAAAAAACUAUUCAGACUCAAAAAAAUUUGUUAAGGGAAAGGGAUCAUCUCGGAUCUCUUCUUUCAAAUUUUAGGGAUCUAUAAAUUCGGUCCAUUGAAAUUUAAUCCAACAGUUACAAAUAAGAAUCUACUUUAACCCUAUCAUAGUUGACAAGGCAUUAAUGUCUACCUUGGUUUUUACUCUCUCUCUCACAUUUUUUGGGUUUUCUUCUCUAACCCUUACUUCCGGAUCAAGAAUUUCUCCUAAUCUCACAAACUGAACCUAAAGAUCAAAUAAUUCGAAUCGUUGAAAUUUGAUUCAACGACUACAAACAAGAGGCCUCUUGAAAGUUAUAAUAAUUGUGACCGUUCGAUUAAAUUUCAACAACCCGAAUCAUCUGAUCCUUACACUCAAUUUUUUAGGAUUAGGAGAGGAUCUUGAUUCUUUCUUCUCCUCCAUGAAUCUGCAUAAUUUGCCACCAAUUUAUUUUCUUUUCCUUUUUUUUAGAAAAUUGUUACACAUAUUUAGAGCAUUUUAGUUUUUAUGCCCAACAAUUUAGAGGUUAUGCACAUGAUUUGUCAAGUUGCUAGUGGUUUUUUGAUAUAUGGAAUUUGAAGCAUGGAAUCUCGGUUGGUUUUUAUAGUUUUUUUUUUUUUUUUUUUUUUUUGACAAACCAACCUAAUUCUUCCAGGUUUAUCAUGUAACUCAUGUUGCUACUGCAGGUUUUAAGAUGCUUCAAACUUUAACAAAACUAAUCAAAAUUUCCAUUUGUUGUGUUAGACGAAAAAGAGGAGUAAAAGAAAAAAAGAGAAGGAAGAGAACGCAGGAACAUAUCAGAAAGGAUAAGGGAGGGAGAAUAUGAAAAGGUUGGAAAUUAAUGUUCUUCUUGUAAUUCACCCUGCAAUCCUCUUUCUAUAAAAUACAACAAAACAUUAUAAAAUAAAUUACAAAAUCGAUGAUAUAAUUCACUUUUAAAUCAGAAUAAUUCGCACAAAUAAAGGUACAAAUGAAUGAUAAAUUUCAUUUGUGAAACUUGAUGCGCUCUCUGCGACAGCCUGUCCCGGAAUUUUGGAAUAUUAAUUGGUCUCGAACGUGGAAGUUACUAAAAUACCCUUGGACGUUAUAGUGUGUUGUGUGUAUGGUGUACUUAGGUUUUGGACCCAUCCAUUAUUUUCCUAAGUUUAGAACUAAGGGAAACUAAAAAGGACUUAGUUUUGUUGGUUUUGGUGGGUGACCCAUGUGGACACACACACACACACACACUCUCCAUCACUCUUGUGCUCUCUCUCCUCCCUCUGGGACUUCUUUCUAUUUUCCGUACAAACCGUACGGACGAACUUCGAACUCAAGCUUUCACGCACGGAUCGACGUUAAAAAGGUAAUGUUCUUGUUCCCUACAAGUUCAUGAGUCCCUUCGUACCAUUUUUAGGACUUGAGAGCUUGUAAAAUCCGAGAAAUCAUCACCCUCGAUUUGAGUAUUGUUCACAUGGUCGUAAUUAUGGAUGUUUCAGGGGAUUUUAAGCUCGUAGGAAGCUUUAGGACGUUCUUACGAAGCUCGGAGGACAGAAAUCAAGCAAAUUGGACUUCGGGAAAUCGAGUUUGGCGAGUUUGAAAGUUGGCCGGAAUUAUCAUAUCUUCUUCGACGAGAUCCUGUGAUUUUUAGAGCUUGAAAUUGGUAAGAAUGUGUUCUACUCGUUGUAAGCUUCAAUUUGGUUUAAGUUUCAUCAGUUUUGCUUCAAAAAUGAAGAAGUUAUAAGGAUUUUAAGUUUUUCCAGUUUCCGACGACAACGACAGUCGCCGGAGUUUGAAGGUAGGAGACGACGGAAUAUUCCUAACGACGUUGAUUAGUUUUAACGGUUUCUGUUACUUUUUAACGGAAUAUUCCUAACGGGGUUAGGGGAUUUCGUUAGGGUCCCUGCGCGUGGCCGCGCGUAGGGCCAUGCCUUUGUCGGAGCAUGACUGGUGACGGCGCGUGAGGGCUCCAAAAAUUAUUUUAAAAAUUUUGGCGUGUUCAUAGAGUUGUGUAGGUCACGAUGGUAUAUUUAUAUACCUCAUUUGAGUAAUGUAUAAGAAGUUAUUAGUUAGUAUUGGUUAGGUGCUUUAAAUUAACGUUUUUAUAGUUGUUUCGCAUAUAGGGGAGACGUAUCCCGAGGACAAGCACAGUUAAGGGCGACUCGGGGGUUACGACCCUUCGACAUACCAUUGAGUGGGCUUUUGGUUUUAAGUAUAUAUGUAUAUACUUGGUAACUUUCCUAGAAAAUGCAUUUAAAUAAGUUAUGACUUAAAUUGCCAUGCCAAAUGAUUUACAUUUAGAAUAUGCAUAAGAUGUUUGCAUGUAUAUAUAAUUGUGGUGCUAAGGACGCUCAGGUAAGUCCCAGGUGAGUAUAUGAAUUGUAAAUGUGAAUAACGGUUGUGAUUAGUUGAAAAACAUUGAGCUCAUAAACCUACACCCCGAUGUUAGUGAUUUAGCCAGAGAUAUGGCACAUAUCUGUUUAUAAUGUCACAUCCCGCACCAUAUGCUCACAUUGGAUCCAAUUUAGGUGCACAAUCUUGUUGUACAGACCAUUAUAGGUGGUUCCGACUUGUAGGUGACUAGUGAUUUAUCGUACAACUAUCAUGAGAGCGUAGCAUUGAGCAUAACUAUAUUACACCCAGUCUUGUCGUACAGACCCUUCCAGUGGUUCCGACUCGUGUGCAGUGUAGAGUCGUAUAUGUCACAUGCAGUGACUCCGGCUAUAUUGAUUAAUGAGCUAUGAAUUCAGCCGUACAUACUUCUACUGGGGUUCCGGCCAAUAUGUUAUUUUCCAUGAAUUUAUUUCACGUGAGUACUUAUUAUGUUUAUAUCUUGGCAUGGUGUAUUUAUAAUUAUGGAUAUGUGAAGCAUGAUUUGAAUAUAUAUAUUUAUAAUCUAUUUUUGGAAAGAAUUAUACAUGUUUUACGACAAGGGGUUAGAGCAUUUUGUUAAUGAAAUGAUUUUGAAAAGUUUUGUUUUUACCCACUCACACUUUCUAUUUUGCGCUCCUCCAGGUUUUAGGUAGACUUGAUGUUGGUGGCAUUUUAGGAUUUCGGCAGUUCUGACAAAAUAUAAUAUCCAUAGGACCUCUUCUGGUACUGUAUAACUAGUACUUGUCCUACCGGACUGCACCUAGACUUUCUACGCUUUGAUUAGGUGUAAUUACACUUGUAUCUCAUUCCUAGCACUUUCUGCUUAUUAGUGCACAUUAAUAAGCUUUCGUUUUUUUAUUUAUUCGUAUAUCUCUUAUCCUUAUCGUUUUUGCACUGUGUACAUGGCUACAUCACCCUCACAUGACAGCCAGCACGCCUUGAUUUUGGAUCGGGGUGUGUCACUCUCUUUGUAAUAGAAUCCAACAUUAUAUGUUUUAUUGUCAAGAAAAGUAAAAUUCCACAUCAAGCAGUAGUGUGGGUUAUUUUGUUGUAGUUUCAAAAAUAGUGUGAGUUAUUUUGGUUUGAUUUUCAGAAAGAGUGUAAUUUUACUAUAGUUCCAUAAAUAGUGACUUACUUAUAUAUUAGUUUAAGAAAUAGUGGAGGUUAGUUUGCUAUAAUUUCAUCAAUAGUGUUUAUUUUGUUCUAUUCCAUAAAUAGUGUGAGUUGUUUUGGUCCAUUUUAGAAAUAAUGGGUACUUUUGCUUUAGUUCCGAAAAUAGUGCGGAAUAUUUUGAUUAAGUUUCAGAAAUAUUGUUGGUUAUUUUGUUGUAGUUUCAAAAAUAUUAUAAGUUGUUUUGGUUCAAUUUCAGAAAUAAUGUUAGUUAUUUUGCUGUAGUUUCAAAAAUAGUGUUGUUUAUUUUGAAGGAAAACUAAUGAAAAUGAUUUCAAAACUUUGAAUUUUAAUAAAAAAAAACUAUCUACUAACUUUAUUUAGUGAUAAGAACGAACGAGAAAGAAAAAAAAAACACUAGCUAGAAGCACGUACCACACCAACUCAUUUACUUCUCCCUCCCCGUCGUCUCCAACAUUUGUGCACACCAUCAGUUUGCAAUCAAUCCAACUUCAUGAAUCAGUGUCCGAGUCCUCCAUGGCAUCUUAUCCUCUUUCUCAAGCCGUGAAGCCUACCUCAAGCCAUAAGCCCAUCCAAUUACAUUGCACAUGAAGGAAAGCUCUACUGCAAACACCACAACAUCCAACUAUUCAAGGAAAAGGGAAAUUACAGCCAGCUCGAAGACGAACGCAUACAAUGAUUGAGCAAGUGAGUCCUAUGGUACAUUUUUUUAGUUCUUGUUUUGUAAAUUGAUAAGAAAAUUAAGUAUGGUGUAGAAAGCUAAGAAAUUGAAGAGAUUCAAAGAAAAUUCAAGUCCCCAGUGAGCAAGAGAUGCAGAGGCAAUGCCGACCAAGAAGAUGCGAUGGUUGUUGUAUUGAGAUUGACUUUUAUAUGAAUUACAAAGUUCUGCAGCUUUGUAACGAGGGUUUGGUUUGAUUUGGGUAUCUCAUGAACAGAAAGUGGAAAAGAAGUUAGGAACGACUGGGUAUCUCAUGAAGAACGUCAUGUUCAUAGGUAUGGGCAUCACCACCAUCAUCACUAUCAUGAAUGUGGUUGUUGCUUAGAGGAUGCAGCGAAACCGGAGAAUGCACUAUUUCUAAAAUGGAGCAAAAAAAAUGAACCAAGAAAAGAGACACUAUUUAUUAAACUAGACCAAGAAAAGAGGCAUUAUUUAUGAAAUUGGACAAAAAAAGAGAGUAUUCAUGAAGUUGUACCAACUACUAUACACUAUUUAUGAAAUUGAACAAAAAACUAAACUAGUUAUGAAACGUGACCAAGAACUAGGUACUAUAUAUGAAAGUGGACAAAAAACUAAGCAAUAUUUAUGAAAUUGAAUCAAGAAUGAGACAUUAUUUAUGAACCCGUACAAAUUACUAUACACUAUUUUUUAAAGUGAACCAAGAGGUAGGCACUAUUUAUGAAUCUAAACCAAUAAAUAGUGCAAUACCGUUCAAUUUCAUAAAUAGUAUAUGUGACGACCCGUCCUAAAUUUCCUAUAUAAAAUGAUGUUAUUGUCCUUACUGUUAUAAUGGAAUCAGACAUGGAUGUUUUUAUACAACUUUUAAUAUUUUUUUGUGCUAUCGUAAUUAAAUAAUACUUAUUAUUACGAAUACUUGAGCGCGAUAGAUCCGAACUGGGUUUGAAAUGAAGAAGUUACGCCUAUUAAAGUACGUUUAUUAACUAGUAAGAUUUUACAUGGGUGUACUAUUUAUGCCGUAUUAGCGAGCCGUGUUAGUAUGUUAGUGGGUUAGGUUUCUGUGGAGUUUUAAAUUACGAAGUGGGAUCCUUCCCCACUGUCAUCACGGUCUCUUCCUACCGCACUAAGUGAGCAUUUUUUUUUUUGGGACAAUUGUCAGGCUUUUUUGUGGGUGGGGUGGGGGUUUUAUUUAUUUAUUUUUUUGGGCGCGCGGGUGGGUGGGGUGGGGGUUUUAUUUAUUAUUUUUUUGGGCCGGGGGGGGGGGGGGGUGGUACUUGGGUGAGGUGGGCAUUUCUUUGGCUCAAGUGCCACCGCAACUAGGCUCCCAUCCUUCUAAGUGAGCAAUUAUUCUUAUCAUUUCUGUCAUCAAUCAUUCCCUUACUUUUUUUUUUUUUAACCAAUCAGACACUUCUUCACCAUCCAGACACUUUCAUUCUCUCUCUAACCUUCUCCCUCAUCUUCACUCUCUCUCAAACCCGUGCUUUCCUCUCCCAAACCCGUGCUCUCCUCUCCCUCUCCAAUCAGAUAAUUUCAAGAUCGAUCUCAAAUUUUCGGGAAUCCGAAAUAAUUUUGGGUUUUUGGACUUUUGGGCUUUUGGGCUUUUUUGUUGGCUUUUGGGUUUUUCAGUUUUCGGGCUAUAAUAACUUGCCUAUGUUGCUGUGCAGUGUGCAACCAAUCUGCAUAUUUAUAGUUCCCAAGCAUAAAUGAAGUGAUCAAGUUAUUCUGUAGAAAUAAAAUCAAACCAAAAUCCUUGCAUAUAUCCCCUACUCACAAUAGCCAAUCUAAUCUGCCUAUUCUACAACUCAUGCAUGCAUGCAACAAAAAUAAAUUAAGUAACAAAUCCAAAAGAAAAAAAAUUAAUUACAAGCCAAGGUUUCAAAAUAAAUGAAGUAACAAACCCAAAAACAAAAAAAUUAGUUACAAACCAAAGUUUCAAAAUAAAUUACGUUACAAACCAAAAGCAAAAUGAAAAGCUUAAAGUUUAUGAAGACUGUUGGCUUCUUUGGCCCCUUGAUCUUGUUGAUGGUUGUGGUUGCUUUCUUCUUGUUGGUGAAAGACCUCCUAGUGUCAAUUUGCAAACGUUAUAUACACAAGGUAGCCAACAACAUCAAAAGAAAAGGACGUGUAUCCCUGUUACAAGGAUUCCAUUAAUAAAGUAGGACUAGGACAGUACAAAAUGUAAUAGAAAUUUUUUUUUUCUCCUUAAGCGUAGGACUAGCUUCAUAUAUAUUCAUAAAGUGGAAACACAAUUAAAGAGUCAUAUAGUCAUAAAGAGAAUUCAUAUUAUUCAUAUCUAACUAAUGUUUUUAAGAAACAAAUACUUUUUAAGAAAAAUAAGAAAUAUUAUUAUCAAAACAAUUGUUGCAACCAUACUGUUUAUAUAGGCAGAGACGUUCGAUGAGGCACUUAAAAGAAGUGAAGUGUUGAAUUCAAUGAGGCAGAGACGUUUUCUACCAGACUCCCAAUUCUGCCUGGUCAAAAAUAACAACAAAACAACUGAGGAAAGAUAUAUGAUCUAACAUUGCAAUUGAAGAUUCCUUAACCUAAUGAUGUGCAAUUAUGUGGGUAUUUGACCAUUCAUCAGUUCAACUUCUUCAACAGUUUAACAUCUUCAUAUAUAAAAGAACAACUAAACAAACUGUAAAUACAUUUAUGGUGCUGCAUUACAAACAUCCCAAAAUCCCACGGUUAAUUAUGAACUCCAUUCAUCAAUUUACACCAACUCUCGAAAUUCAUUUUAGCAGCUGCAAUUAUUGCUACAACUAUGAACUAUCAGCUAUCAACUAUCAACUAUUAACUUGUAACAAAUUUAUGCUUCAAUUGUGAGUCUGUGACAGAAGAGAAACCCUAAUCUCGAAUUCCAACCACCCAUUCAACCCCUAAACCCUCAGUAUGCAGUAUACUCUAUCUUCCAAGUGCUAAGUUUCACAAACCCUAAUCUCGAAUUCCAACCCUAAAUUAAAAUUCAAACCCUAAAUUAGCUUGUGAACUUUACCUGAUUUGGGGGAGAAUCGCACAGUGCACUAGAUGACUGGAAUCUAGAGAGAUUGAGAGACUGAGAAUGAGAGCGGCGCCGAUGGCUGUGAUUCGUGAAGGAAGGCUCAUCCACUGUGACUCUGUGAGGGAUGAGAAGUCGAGAGAGAUUGAGAGAGAAAUCAGAGAGGUGAUAGUCGAGAGAGAUGUGACUCAGGUGAGUCACUUGUGUGGCCGGAUUCGAAAACGGCGAGACAAAUCGGCGACGAGGGUGGUGAGAUGAGGGUUUAAGUACGAGGCGAGCCACGAGAAAGAGUGAGUGAGAACUGAGUGUCGAGAGAGAUGGGAAAGACAGAGUGUAAGUGUAGGGUUUGAUUUUUAUUGAACGGUUGAAAUUAAAUCUCCACCAAAUAUGACGGUUGUUAUAAUUUCAAAUAUAUAUUUAAAAAUUAAAUAAUAUAUAUUUUUUAUUUCGGUUCGAUUUAGGAAUACCGAAAAACCAAAAACUUGAAACCGAUUCCCGUAUCGAAAAUUUCGGUUUGGUUCGAUAUUGAGUACCGAAAGUUUCGGGAUUUUCGGUUUGGUAUUUUUUCGGCUUGGUUUCGGGAAUUUUUCAGUUUGGUUUGGGAUUUUCGGUAUUUUUUUUUUCCACCCCUAGUAACCGUCAUUGGAGAUAUCCACGUGGCUAGAGAAGACCAGAAAAAACAUAACAUUAGAAAUAUUUGUGUUUUCCUAUUUUAACCUUAUCAUAGUUGACAAGGCAUUAAUGUCUACCUUGGUUUUUACGCCCUCUCUCACAUUUUCUGGGUUUUCUUCUGUUGAUGCACAAAAUCAGUGAGAACUUUGGUACAACAGAAAGUUUUAAGUUUGUGACCUUCGCUAGAUUGCUCUGGUCAUUAGUGUGGAUAAGUAUGUAAAUGGAUAGAGACAGGGAAGCAAACACAAUCUUGUACGUGGUUCACCCAAAUUGGCUACGUCCACGGAGUAGAGGAGUUCUCAUUAAUUGUGAAGGGUUUACAUAAGUACAUAAGUUCAAGCUUUCCUUUAGUGAGUACAAGUGAAUGAUUUAGUACAAAUGACAUUAGGAAAUAUUGUGAGAGAAUGAUCUCUAUUUAUAAAAGAGAGCUUCUAGUUUCAUUCCGACAUUGACAUGUGUCGUGUUGUGAUUGGCUUCUGAUGUUGACACGUGUCGCGCUGUGAUUGGCCUCCUGGUUGGAGGGAAACUCUUCUAGGUCCUUGACGGUAUAACGUUGACCGGUGCUCAGUAGUUUCAGGAUUGGUCAAGUAUGGUACAAACAUCUUCUCUAACCCUUUCUUUCUUUGGCUCAAGUGCCACCGCAACUAGGCUUCCAUCCUCAUGAGCAAUUAUUCUCAUCAUUUUUAUCAUCAAUCAUUCCUUUAUUUUUUAUUUUUUUAACCAAUCAGACACUUCUUCACCAUCCAGACACUUUCAUUCUCUAUCUAACCUUCUCCCUCAUCUUCACUCUCUCUGAAACCUGUGCUCUCCUCUCCCUCUCUGCAACUCAUGGAAAUUUAUCAAACAUCGUAGAACGGACUUCAAAUCACCAUCAUAGUAUUCCUCUCAUCCUCACCAACCCAACCAUAUAAAUAGAAUCAUGAACAACUGAGUUUCUGACAUCAAACUCAGAAACUCCGACUUGGGUGAGAAUUUUACCAACGACUUUUCAUUCAAGUACGCUAACGUGAAAAAGCUCGAGUUCGAAAAUGCAAAGUUUAUGUUGUGCCUUCCAAGCCAUUUCAAUCAAUUUUCAUCCAAUUUUUGGACUUUUAAAAGUUACAAACUUGUUCUUCUCUUCUUAAGCUUCAUUUCCAUAAACAAAUACGUUAAAAAUGGUUGAGUAAUAAGCAAGAUAUGAAAUUUUAAAGUUUUGACAAAAUGAGGCCAAAAUUUCCAGAAUCCGGCGACCUCAGUGGCUUUCGAGCCAUUUUUUGAUCCAACACGAUGAGUUAACCAUGGAAGAGGGUACCAAUCUCUUCGUCUCUUCAAGAUGUACAAUUUUUGUUUUUGAAUCACUCAAUUUUGUUAAGUAUUGACAAAGUUAUAGACGUUUAAAGUUUGUCCAGUUUUCUGGCGAAUUACCCAGUUUCCGGCCACUUUCCGGCUAUCUCCGGUAACCUUUGGGCUUCCAAAUAGAUAUAAUCUUGUUGUACACUUUCCAAGCUUCAUUUUGGUAUAUUAUGGGACAAUUUUGGUUGUGAAACAAAUGAGAUAUUGCUAUUAGUUAACUUUAACAGAAUAUUCCUUCUGAUGAGGGAAUAUUCCGUUAACAUUAAUUGUUAACUUUUGUUGACUUUUUCGAAAUUUUCUCGGAAACCCUCCUUAGCGUAUUUCGACGCACUGAUUCCGAAUCCGCCAUCCAUAUUUCCAAAUUUAAUUGUUUUAGUUGAGUUUCAUUGAUGGGACACAAUAUUACGCUUAGGUGCAAUUACCAUCAAAGACUCCAACCUUCUUAGCCCAAAGGGAUGUAGCACCGCAGGCAACUGUGAGUGAGUCUUUUUGUUCAUAUAUAUAUGUGUGUGUGUGAUUAUUCCUGACAACUACUUAUAUAUAUAUAUAUAUCUGUGUAUUACAAUAUGACAUGCCAUGUUUAGCUUUACAAAUAGACAUUUCCGCACACUUUAUGUUUUAAAUAAUAAUUGUGAGCAUAAACUUAUGACAUGACAUUAUUGUAUUCUACCUGCUCAUUAUUACAUGUUGCACGGUGGCUCUUAGAUGCUUGUACUGUCCUGGGCCAAGGAAGAGCUUCAUGUGUAGUUCACAUGCACCAUUUACAUUCGCUUUGGAUCCAAAGUUAGGUGCUAGCCUGUCCUUUUGUAUGUUGUUUAUGUUGUGUCGGAUUUGAAUGUGAUGCAACGAUGUAGUACUAGAAUGUAAAACCUACACCUAACCUGUUUAUGCAGUUGAUCCCUGUAUGACUUGUUGUGCAUACAUGAACUAAUGAGCAGUGACUUCUUAUAAUGAUGAAUUGAGUUUGAUGUUAAGAUACCUGUUUAUUGUGCCCACAUGCAAUAGCUUACUUGUGGUGCAUGAUAUCUAUUACUUACUAUUGUUUUAAUAUUGUUGGGAAAACUAUAUACUUUUUUUUAUAGCAAGUGGAUAUAUUUUUCGAAAAUGUUUUACAAGACUUUAUUUUCAGGCCCACUCACCCUUAUUUUUCUCUCCUUCAGGAAUUUAGUGGCAUAAGUUUUGUAACGACGAGGAUGGUUGACAAUAGGAGACUUCUCCUUUUGGUAUAAAUUUGAUUACCCUUGUUUUACUGCAAUUUAUCUAUGCUCUAACAUCACUUGUGUGAUAUGGGUUCAAUCCUACUCACAUGAGCACUCUAAACUAGUCACUUUUAGGUUUUAAUUUAUUCACAUUCUCCACAUCACUACACUUUUGGCUUUAUCACCCUCCAGGUGUCGGCCAUCACAUCUCGAUUCGAGUGUCCAGGUGAACAUUCCAGGUCGGUGUGACAAUUUGGUAUCAAAGCAUAGGUUAAGCAAUAUUGCAAUCAUCACACAUGUUGUGUAAGCAAUCUCAAUUCUAAAAUUCUUACGUUAUAUUUAUGCCACCUCGUCAAAUACGAAAUAUGCCAACUUUUUAUGAGUUUUGUUCAACUUGGAACAACUAUUGUUGACACUUUUCUACAUCUUACCAACCUCCCAGAAGAACGCUUUGGCAACCACCUCUAGACUUAAACAAAGAACCUCAUUGCCAAGGAAAACACCUGAAAUGAAGAAGUUUUGUUGGCCCUAAAGCUGGGCUAGUGUGUCUGUAAUUUUAUACCACCGCAGAUCUAUCAACCUAUCCCAAUACGACUAUCCAAUCAUCAUUACCAACCUUUUUGAGUUAGGAAAUCAUAUAUAAUUUUGAUUCCGUGGCAGUACUCGUUAAAAUAUCACCUAUCAGAAUUCCCACAGUUUACUUUCAUCAAGAUUUCAGAAAUUUCUUGAGCGACAACUUUUGCUAAAGUGGUGGCACUUGACAGAAUAUCAUUUUAUCUUUCAAACAUAGCAAUUAUGAUUCUGGAUCUUCAAGAAUUUGGAAACUGAAUUUUGAGGGGUAUGUGUAUCUUUUAAAAAUAUAUAUAGCAACUUGUCCUACCAACCCGACUUUAAAACUUUAAAACACAACUUCACUUUAAACUUUUAGAUGGUUGUGGUUUCUUACAUCACAAAAAUGAUAUAUGAUGUAAACUAAUGAACUUGAUUCUCCGUGGAAGGGUAUGUGUAUCUUUUAAAACAUCUAUAGUUGACAAAAUGGAAAGGUACAAAGCCAUUAAACAAGGGUAAAUCACCAAAAUGGUUCUUGAGAUUUGCAUAACUCAUCACUUUGGUCCCUAAGAUUCCAAAUCGAUAAAAGUGGUUCCUAAGAUUGUCCACUAUCCAUCAUUUUGGUCCUUUCGUUAAAAACUCCGUUAAGUUGACUGAUCCGAGUGAAAACUUAAAAUAAUGAGUUAUGCAAAUCUCAAAGACCAUUUUGACGAUUUACCCCAUUAAACAAUUAUGUACACCUAAACAAUGGUCAAUGAUGCAGUAACCAAGGCUCUCAUGCAUGUAUUGGAAUCUACCAAGAGUCUCAUGCAUAUUGGAACCAUCAAAUAUAUUUAAUUGAGUUUUAGAGCAACACAAAUAGUUAAGUAGUCAUUUAAGAACAUUUUAAGUAUUUUUAGGGUAGAGCAAAAGUCCAAUUCGGACUAGAGUUUCAUGGUGUUGUAUUCCUUAUAAAUAUAUGUACUAAACCCUUGAGAAUGGAGAUUGGAAUGAAUCAAAAUAUAUUUUGCUUUGUGCAAUUGGAGUGAUUUCUCAUUUUAAAAUCAAGCAUUUGGCUUGGUCAUGUGAGCGAAUCCACGAUUAGCGACGUGAAUGAGCUCCGUUGCCCCUGGAUGAGUGAUUCCCAGGUUAUCUAUCCCUCGUUUUUUCGAGACCCUUGGUCUUCCUGCGUCAGUCUAAAAAUAAGCUAACUUGUAUACAUGUUACCAGAAUCUCAAAAUGACCGAUGCCCCGGAAAUAGCCAUGCCCUAUUGUGCCUCCUCGUUCCCAGCUUAUUCUGAAAUGGGGGUUUGACUCAUAGUUUGCUCUGCAAUGGGAGUUUGACUUAUAGUUUGAUCUGCAAAGGGAGUUUGAGUUAUAGUUUGAUCUACAAUGGGAGUUUGAAUCUUGACGAAUAAAAUUAUUGAUCGAAAUCGUUCUAUUUAUUAAUGCUUGUUCAGAAAUAUAAUCAUACCAAACAGAAAGGCUCAAUCCAUUGCUAACAUGAGCAACCCUAAUUUCCUACCAAAAAGAACUUAGUUCAAUAGAUUUCUUAGGAAACGAUUCUUAGUCGCUGCGAACCACUGACUACGCAACCGAAACAAAACCAGAUUAAAUAAGAGCACUUUGAGUAAAGAAAACAAAGUGAAAUCUGCUUUCCAUGCAAAGAAUCUCUUCGCUCUCUGUUCAACACUUAUGAUACGUUUUAUUUAAAAAUGGGUUCUCAAAUUGGUCAUCUCACAGGAUAUUCUAACUCUAACACAAACCAACCAUUACUAUUAUGCUUCUUGCUGCAAUCAAGUUUCAUGACUCUAAAUAAACCCAGAGGAACAUAUAAACCAAAAAAGAAUAGGGUAAAAAUGUAUUUAAGGGUUGACUGCAUCUUUGAAUAUUGAAAGUAAGAAUAUAGAGGAAUUUCAUUAUAGAAAAUUAAGUACCUAGUCUUGUCAUGUGCACAUCCAAGAGGGAAUUUCAUGAUCGCUCAAUUUCAAGUCUAGCCUCUCUUUCCUAAUGAGAGAUUCUACUGCAGCCUGAUAGACGUAUUCAAACAUUUAAUAAUCCACAGAAAUUAACUUAACUCAGCCACAUUGAAUAUCAAAGCCACCUACUUACCAUCUUAUCCAACUCUUAUUUCGUAUAUUUUUCUGUUGUAAAGAAGCAAAGUUUAUCCUGAGCUCUGCAAUAAAAUAAUUCAAUUCUUGUUCCUUGCUUCAAUAAGAUCCCUACAAUCAAACAAACAUAAUUACUCUAGUAAGCAACUUCAAUUUAAAAUGCAAAGAUAUAACAUAAAGGAAAGUGUGUUAUUCAAAAUCAAACUGUCAAAACAACAAACUGAUACUGUGAUACACUUAACAUGCCAAUUUAUAUACUAUAUAACAAUACUAAAUCAAGUAAUUUAUAAAGAUUAGAAAUGGAUUCAAAAAGCAAAUAAAAUAUUUUUUUGAAUGAAAAAGGUAUAGAAAACAAAUUUAAUUUGUUAACUUUGGAAAACUGGAGAGAUAAAAAAAGGAAUUCUUAGUUUUUACUAUGAGUAUGACAACCAUGUGAUUUCUUUGUUUACUGGGAUUCAUGUGUGUCAUUAGGAUUGCCUAAUUAGUGAUUUUAGAGUUUGACAACAAAUUACUGAUUAACAUGAUUAACAAAUUUCAUUUUAUAUGUAUUAAAAUGAUUAACAAAUUUUUUAUUGAUCAGUAUAAAAAAGGUGUUAAAAACUAACCUAAUUUAUUAAGUUUGAAAAAAUUGGACAGAUAAAAGAGAGUUUUUAAUCCUUACUAUAACUAAAAUAACUAUGUUAUUUCAUUAUCAAAAAGGAUCCAUACAUAUAAUGAGGGUUAAGAAUAUCACUGAUUAAAGAAUCUGCAAGACAUAAUCAAAUUGGACUCAAACUUACCAAAUUUUUAUUCAAAUAAACUAAAAAAAGUAGUUGGAAUCAAACUAACCUCCGUUUUCUAUAUGCAGCAAACUGCAUCUUGUUUUUGCCUUCGUUAACAACAUAUCGUUGGCUCUGUACACACAAAAACACAGUAAACAUCUCAUUCAUUACUAAUAGCCAUUUCAAUCAAUUAAUUAUUUAGACAAAUUUUUCAAUGAUUCCAAAGAUCAGACAAAAAUUGCAUGAGAAACUUGAGAUUAUAUGCAAUUGUAUGUCAAAUACCCUGAAAAAUACCAUAUAUCCAAUAUUAAGUGCAUACAUCUAUAAACUAAUCUUUAUAUAUACUUUAAAAUAAUACAGAUCAAUGUAAUCUAAAACAUUGGAAACAUUAUCAUACAAUUAAAGAAUCACAAUGCAGAAAAUUUUCUUUCCAUUAUUUUCAGAUAACCUUUCACCCCACAAGACUGUAGUUCAAUCUCCAUCGUUAAGGGUCAUCAAAAAUUAAAGCAGUCAGUAUAGCACACUCACAACAGAUAUGCUCUCUCAAAAAAAACCAAAGAGAACCACACUGGGCUGCUCAACUAUCCAAUUCAUACCAAGAUCCAACAUUUUACAUCCGUUCAGUCCCCAGCCACGGGGUUGAUUCUAUUUCAACCCUCUCAUUCAUUCUAUCUGUUUACAUCUCCAUCACACACUCAUACAUAUCAAGACAACAGAAAGAUUCAUAAAUCUGGGUCUAUAACUCAUGAAUACAAAUCUCAUUGAACCAACCCCAUUCUCCGAAACAAAAAAUUGUUUCAUGACCAAAGUCAUUAACUUAUUUAUGGAUAAAUGUCAAGGUACCCAAGAACUACCACUGAAACAACUGCAAAGAUUCAAAGUUCCACAGCAAUAUAUUAUCUGCAACUAAUAAAAAAUAUAAACCACCAAAGCUAUUUGCAUAUCUGUGAUUGAGCAAUUGAGCAACCAAAACGCAAGAUAUACUCUUUGCCAGGAAAAUCCUAACAGAGGACCACAAUUGUUACAAAGGAAAAUCAUUACAGUUUGAUCCAAAUUAACCACUCAAAUCUCAGUGAGUAAAACUAAGCAAUGAUGCAGGAAAUCAAUUAGAAGCUUGAGAUAUACAAAAAGUUAAAUAUUGGCCCCCAAAAUUGGAAGUAUUCCCCUAAUUUUAACCAUUAACAGCGUAAAGAAUUGAAAAUUACGAUUAACCAUUAUGUACUUGAUAAUCACAAAUGAGGUCAUAAGGAAAAAAUUAACCACUCAAAUCUCAAUGAAUAAAACUAAGCAAUGAUACAAGAAAUCAAUUAGGAGCUUCAGAUACACAAAAAAUUAAAUUAAUUGACUAACAAAAAUGGAGCCAUUCCCGUAAUUUUAACCACUAACAGCAUAAAGAAUUGAAAAUUACAAUUAACCAUUAUGCACUUGAUUAUCACAAAUGAGAUCAUAAGGUCCAAAAAAUUAACCACUCAAAUCUCAGUGAAUAAAACUAAGCAAUGAUGCAGGAAAUGAAUUAGAAGCUUGAAAUACACCAAAAAUUAAAUUAAUUGAGUAACAAAAUUGGAGCCAUUCCCCUAAUUUUAACUACUAACAGCUUAAAGAAUUGGAAAUUACAAUUAAGACCAAUGUUCCCCCCCCCCCCCCCCCCCCUUUUUUUCAUUGCCAUAAAAGGCAGAAAAACAAAGGCUUCUAAAACCCAAACCAACCGUCUCAUUUCUUCCCAAAAAUAAACACAUUUUAAUCCAACAUUCAUAAAUGCAUGGUCAAACAGGGAAAAAAAAUAUGUUAAUUUGGGUUUCAGCAGGAAUUUCAUCACCAACUUGUUCCACACCCCAACUCUUUUCCUCGAUUUGUCUCCCUCUGCACUCUAUGCGCCCUUCACCAGCCUAUCUAAGAUCCUAAACAUUUCAACAUUCAUAUAAAAUUCCAUUAAAGUAUAAAGUAUACUUAUAUAUAAAUAAUAAUAACCUUCUAAAACCAAUAUCUUUUAAAAGCAUUCCAUCAAUUGAACAUCACCUCCCUGUCUAAGAAAACUGAUGACAAUCGUAACCUAAACUAUGAAAUACCAAAUUAAAUAUAAAAACAUCACAAUGCCAAACCCAAACAAAACAGAAAUCAAUUUAAAAAAAAUUGCCCCAACCCGUCUCUCUCAUUUUCCCCUUCCCUUGCUCUGUCUUCCCACCUGUCUGUCUACUCUCUAUGCCUCUCACGAAAUCAAAACUGCCAAAACCAUGAACCAACAGAAAACCUGCAAAAUACCAUAAACCUCCAACUAUUUACUCCUUGCCAUAUUCAUUUUUAUACCUAUCACUUCAACCAACAGAUGGAUUCAUCCACUCACAGCAUAAAAAAAAAUUUAAAUCAAAAUUAAACAUUAUACUUUAUGUCAUCAUCUCCCUCUCAGUGUUCCCUGUUUUCAAUACAAACCAAAACCAGAAAACUUUCAAAAAUUGGAGUCGUUUGACUCAUCUUUUUUCACAAAUCACAAACCCUUUUAAUCCAACAAUUGCAAAUACAUAUUAAAAUUGGGAUAAACAGAAGCAGAGAUAACACACCCAAAAAAUAACAGCGCCCUUCCAAUUCCUGCCAAAUCCGAGAUUUAUGAACCGAGAUAACAAAAACUGCAACUGAUCACAAAACCAAAUGGUUAGGGUUUGGUCCAAACUGACAAAAAUCAAAGGGGCAACAAUCUGAAAUUACAGUUAUAGAAAUCAAAUAUAUUACGGAAAAUAACAAAUAAUUUGUGAAGCAGAGCAGAAGUGGGAUUUACCUCGAUGCUUAUGUAGAGGGUUUGGAGGAUGUCGUCCUCAUGGUCCGUGCGACCAAUUUGAUAAGAAUUAAUCUGACUCUCGUCAAUCCCAGAUGGAUUCGAAUGCAAAAAGGGCCAAAUCUCCUUCCCCCCCCCCCCCCCCCCCCCCCCGGGGAGGGAUCAGAACUCUAGAAAUAGAGACCAGUUUUAUGAAGCUGGACAAAACACCCACACGUUUAAAAGGAUCAAAAACCCUCCACAAAGCAGAUAACAGAAAUAAGAUCCCUUUAAAUAUGAAAAAUUUUGGGAUCGAAACACCACAAUAUCGAAGAAAAACAAACAAUUCGAGAAAAACAGUGGGAAUAAGGCACAAAUCAGAGAAAGAAGUGAGAUUUAAUUACCUCUUGAAGGCUAGAGAAAUUGGGUGCAGGAUGAGGUGGCAAGAAGAUCGUGAAGCAGAGAUCGAAAAGAUACUUAAAAUUGCAACUGUCCUAACAGCAAAUGAACCAAAUUAAUCUGAAACAAAAUAAACCCCAUUACUCACUUCUCACCGUACAAAAAAUGACAAAGGGAAACAGUCCUAUCUUUUUUGAGACCUCAACAAAAAGUUGCAAACUUUCAACAGCUAAAUAAUAAAUAUUAAAAUCGAAAGUCUGAUUGAGGCAUUUCCUUUAAAGAUUUCUCAACUCACCAAUUUGUUCGGCAACAUCAGAUCCAAUUGGGUGGAAUCAAUAAAAAUAAAUAAAAGAAAAAAGGGAAAAUUCCCACAGAUUUUGAAAUGUACAGAAUACCCCAGAUGGGCAAUUUGUAACAAAACCCCAAAACAAAAAGUUGGGGGAAUAAGAAAGAUCUAAAUCAAAUCCCAGAAUUAUUAAAAAGGCAAGAAAGUCAGUUCCGUUUUACUGAACCCAGCAGCUUUCUCUUCUCUUCAGAAACAACUACAACCGGAAGAAGAUAAUCCCAAAAGAAAAAGCAUUAGUCCCAAACAAUUAAGUAACUUCAAUUUAACUGACAGAAAAAAACACUCAUUUCUUAUAAUUUCAUAUCGUAAUUUGAGGAUUAAAUUCUGCAGAGAAAUUGGCAGAAAGAAAAGUGAUAGAUAGAUUAUCGAUAUAGAGAAAGAGAGAAUGAAGGCUCCCAGAACAGAGAGAAAUAUUAUGUAGUUGAAUUAAAGUUUCAAUAAAAAUGAUUAAUCAGAGAGCCGAAAAAGGAGAGCUUUGGAGAAGAGUUUAAUUAGAGAGAGAAGACAGAGAUGUUAACCAUGGUUUUUUCACUAAUCAGAAAAACUAAUCCGUUCAAACCAACUCACCAUGAAAUCACAGCGACUUCACAAAUCUUCUUCAAAUCCACAUCGUACAGGAAGCACAGAGUGCGUUUGGCGAAAAAUGGCGAAAAAGAAGUGAAUCAGCACAAGAAACAGAAGAUACUAAAGCCAACCCAGUUCAGCAAAUGAACAUGCUAUUAGCUAAAGGGAUACAAAUUUUGUGAUUGAAUCAGAUAUCUCUAUAACAAUGUAAUAUUUGAACUCCAAUUAUUGAAAUCCAAUUAAUACACUAAUAUAUGCACACAAAUAUAUAACCCAAUAAUUUAGCAAGAAUGAAAAGGAAAUAAUGUGAACAGAGAGAGAUGUAUAAAGACCUGGAGGUAUGUUGUCAGGGUUGUGGCUGAUAACAACAGCGUAAUCACCAGACGCCCUAGCGAGGGUUCCACGGUCCCCAACAUGGUGCUCAACGUUAUAGACGACGGUUCCCUCCGGGAUCGAUCUGAGAGGCAACACAUUUCCGACCACCAAAUUAGCCUCUUCCGGAGAUGACACACAGAGAUUAACAUCAUGCGGAGGUGUGCACGCGCACACACAUAAAAUAUACAUGCAUACUUAAUUUUUCAGACAAUAAUACCUCACAACAUAAGUUGCAAGCUGGGACUAUUUGGUUGACAGGUGGAUGAAUGUUCGUUCAUCUCUUACGUCAACAGGAGGAUGAAUGCCCCUGCAAAAGACAACAAAGCAAUCCACAAUCAUCCAACAAAUAAGCACAAUUUCUUUCCAGUCAGUAAUUAUGAUCAUAUCUACUGCAGCGCUAAAAAGUACAUUAUUCAUGGCCCUGAUGCUGAACAGUGAAAUGAAGGGUGGAUACCUAUUUUCUGCAUCUUUACACUCAAGGGCAAGAGAAACCUGCCAGUCCUCAAACAAAUUAGGACCCUCUUGUGGAUCGGCCAAUGAUUCUUGUUGACCCUAAAAACUACCAAGCCUACGUGGUGCACAGGCCGAGUAAUCUAUAAGCUAACUACGUCCUUCGGUGAAUGCGGGGCGUGCCAACUCGUCGGCCGAGCUCGGCCGAGGAGUAAAUUUUGUUGAUGUUGCAUUGGGUGCGCGGCUGACUUCUGCGUCUUGCGAUUGCGGCCAAGAAAGAAACACGUCUCGGCCUCUUGGGGUCUCGAACCUGAAGACAAGAUUACUAUUCUUACGAAGUUCAAUAUCAAAUUCGGCUUUCAAUGUGCCGAAUGUAAUAAUUGUAACACCUCACUUCGCUGAGAAGGCUGAUGAGAUGACCUCGACCAAUAAGGAUUCAGAAAUCCUUCUCGACCGAGACUUGGAUAGGUAAUCAACCGUCCUCACCGCAGUGCUGUUGAUGCCAACAGAAGAUACUGCGAGAUCGACUGAUUCUACGGUGACAGAGCUAUCUAUGCCGACUUAAGAUAUCAUCGGUUGCUUCCACAAUGCUGUUGAUGCCAACGGAAGAUGUGUCAACGAAAAAGAAGGAAAAAAAUCUCAAGUUGUUGAGAGUUUGCGCAGGGCAGUUUUGUGUUGAAUUGUAGGGGGCUUGAAUGAUGCACAGCCUCCCCUAUUUAUAGCACUGGAUCUCUUUGAAUCCGAGUUAAAACCCUACUCGGACUAGGUCUUCUCCUCCAGAUCAACACCAACUCGACCAGUCCUAUUUUCACUAGGAUUGUGAACCUAGUCCUUAACCGAGCCGAAUUCGCUUCCAGGUUAUUAGUCCUGUCGAGACUCCUCAUUGCACUAGGACUCGACUUCUUGCGUUAUGACCUAGCCGACCUAGGUUUGGAGGCCCACGUACUGAACGAUCCAUGGCAUUUUUGUCGCAAGGCCUUCCGGGCCGAGAAUGAUUCUAUACUCGGCCCAAACUAUUAUUUUGGGCCCAAACAUUGCCCCCUCGCUUCUGAGGUCCUCGGCCUGAAUUCGUUGGCCGAGUUUCGGCCUUGAAGAAGCGAAUGUAAUCCUCAGAACCCCAGUGCUCUAUUUCCAAGGCGCAUUUAUUGAGCACGAUUGCACGAUCUUGAUCCUGCUAACCAACUCGCCACGUGGCGUCUUCUAACACGGCCAAUCCCUAAUAAUGACGUCUAAGGCGUGCGGCUACCUGAAUCGUCAUGCCAUCAUGACCUUAUGGCUGAACAUAGCCACUCUACCUCAAUCCGCGAGCCGUUUGUCAUUGUGCAGACGUUGAAACGUCUUCCGCCAUUAAUCUCGCCAUCACACGCAAUCGUGCACCCCAAAAACCUGAGACUCUCGGUCUUCUCAACUGCAUUUCCUGAAUGUUCAUCAUGAUCAGCGAUUCCUUUGAUCGAUUUUACCCUUUGUUUUGAAUUUUGAACGAUUGCCCUUCCUUCCAAAAUCCUAUAAAUACUGAAAUCCCUCAUUCAUACUUUACGCUUUCAAAAUCUCUCUGAAAUUUCUUGCCCUUGUUCUCCAGCGCAGUUCUUUUUCCAAGUCUUCGUUUCUCAAUCUUUAAACCCAGAAUAUUCUUUUCUUGUCAUCCCUUCAAACCAUUCACUAUGGCUUCCUUUAUCUCCAAGCUUUCUAAGGAGUGUGACCAAUGCCAGAAAAUCAUCGAUCGGAGUUCAAUCAAGACCAUCCGAUUUGAGAGUGACAUGAGCACCUCUCACCAAAUCUUGGGUCCUCUUUUUAAGGCGGCGGUGCCACCAACCAUCACCGGGCUCCUCCAGAAGCACUGCCUGUCAUCUUUGAUGCAAGGAUUUGAAUGGUCGAAGUGGGAGGUGGCGAGGCCUCAGGGUUCCUGGCCCUCAACCACUACAGCCUGGGCAGCCUGGGCAGCCUGGGUUGUACGAAUGGAAAGGCUUUUCGGCAAGCAAUGGAAAGCCCUAGGCAUUUAUGAUGCCAUUCGCCUCUCGUCCAUGGAUAUCAUCCUGGACAAGGAGCUCCUCCUGAUGGCCUCAUGUUUUUGGUGUUCGGCUACUAACACCAUGGUUCUCCCUCUCGGCCCCAUUGGCCCCACCAUCCUCGACCUCACUGCCAUCUUGGGGACUUCCCCAACUGGAAUCCCAGUCGACGCUGCCCUUCCUGGGUACCCGUCGAACCUCAAUUUGAAGGUGCUCUUCGACAAGCGGGCCCUUGAGACGCUGAGCGGUGAUGGCCAAACACCCUCGAAGGAAGAGGUCCACAAGCUUCACAAAAACUUCUUCAACUACAACACCCUCUAUCUCCAUUUUGCCGGCCGAGGAGAUGAGGCUUUGCGAGAAGGGGAGCACGAGGCUUUCCUCUUCUAUUGGUACAACAAAUUUAUUUGUUGUACCAAAUCUAAUAAGUGUCUAGUCGAGAAUAUGCAGUGGCUGAAGCUUUAGCUAGCGGUCACACUUUGGCACUCAGCCCGGCCAUUCUCGCACAUCUCCUACGCUGCUUGGCCGAAGUCAUUCUAAACAAGGUCGAUCCGCAGCAGAAUGGGCCCCUCUGGUCUUCUAACUCUGGCUGCAGGUCAAUUUUGCCCCUCUUCGGCCAACGAUGGCCGAUUUCUCGCCCAAAGAAGUGAUCGGCCCCCAACUGGCUCUUCGGCCAAUCCCCCCCACCAAGCUGAAGAAGUGUUCAGAUACUUUUUCGCUCUCGAUGACCUUUCUGAUGACGAAUUCUUGAUCUGUCGUCGUCGAGAAUACCCUUCGUCGAUCAGACUUCCUACAUCAGCAUGGGGCGCGGACGAAGAGGCCAACCUUCGUCAAUCCUAGGGGUCCUUCGUGCUUGCCCGCGACCUUCCUCUCGGCUGUGAGGGCCGCCGAGUGAGUUGGGAAGUGUAUCAUCCCAACUUCCUCGCUCGGCAGCUUGGCUACCUCCAAGGUUGCCCGGUCCCCCAUCUCUCCUCUCGGUCCGUCCUAAGCCGUGGACGCGAAACUGGUUCUUCCGAGAAGGAAUGUAGUGACGUAAAAAGGGAGUUCCAAGAGCGGUGCCAGAAAUUCCGCUUUCGACCGGCCACUCCAGAAACUCUUUGCACCGAUACCUUCGGUGCUUGGUGGGAAGAAUAUACCCAACAGUUCUUUGGUGUUCCGGUCGAAACCGUUCUCGCCAAACUCUUCGGUGGUCGACCUAAGAAAGCUUCUGCCCUCCAAACCCAAGGUAAUGGUUUAUUUCUACCUUUUUCUUUCAAUUUUAAACUACUGAUCUGCUUUGCUGACUUGCUUUUGCUUCCCCAGGUAGCCGGUCCUUGAAAAAUGUGGAAGUGGUCGCUGCAGCUGCGGCUGAGAAAAAAUCGGUCGCCUUGAAGAGGGCUAAAACUGCUGUGCCUGUCUUGCCGAGCAAACGGACUCGUCAAGAGGCCGAGCCGACCAUCAAACCCCCUCGGCCUGCCAAGCGGGUCAAAAAGCUGGCAAAGAAAGGAGCACGGGAGAUCCACGUCAUCUCCAGUCAAACUACGGGGGCGACGACUCCCAGUGUUUCCCCUUCUCUCACCGUCAGCCAAGCCUUGGUCAAGAAACAGCCAACUCCGACUGCAAAAACAGUCCAAGCACGUCCUGUUUCUGAGGUCGGUGCACCAGUUGUAGCUCCAUCAGUCGAGGCUACGCCUGUCUUAGAAAAGGCAGUCCCUGCGACCGAGAAGACUUCUCCCGCACAUCCAAAACCUUCGAUCUUCGUUCUGGAAGAGAGCGAGGGGAGCGACGAAGUUCCAGUGGCGAGUCGCCCUCAUCCCCGCCGUCAACUUCUUCUUGGGUUUGAGGUGGCUGUUUCAGUCGGCCCUUCCACGGCCGACCGUGGCAAACGACCGACCGAGGAACCAGUAGCGGCGACCGAAACGCCCGGUCCUCCACAGGACCAAGAUGUCCAUCCUGCGUCCGAAGCGGCUGUCCCAGUCGGCCCUUCCACAACCGACCGUGGCAAACGACCGGCCGAGGAACCAGAGGCAACGGCGGAAACGCCCAUUCAUCCUCAAGACCAGGACCUCAACAUUCAUCCGCAGGAAGUUACUUCGGCCUUCGUAAGUGCCUUCUAUCGCUUUUCCUUGAUUAUUUUCCUGCCAUAAAACUCUAAACCAGAAAAACACUGUCAGGUGCCUGCGUACUCUUUUCAUCUAAACUUCUAUGCGUCGAAGGGUGUUAUCUAUAUUUCAUGGCCGCCUCAGUGGCCAUCAAACGUAGAUAACCUCCAUCGGCCGCGUGAACUGAGGAGCAAUCUAAGACACUGGGCUCGGCCAUUGAGUUCUUUAGGUUCGAGCAACGAUCCUGAAGACAUGGCCGAGGUCUCCUCUCGGCAGGUUAAAAGAAACGAAACCUUCUUGCUAUUUUUUUCAUGACCUCUUUUGAGCUUAACCUGAUUUGUGUGUGCAGGCUUCGUGGGAGGUCGAAUUCAAAGCUCUUUUGUCCAGCACCACCGGAGGGUUUGGUCAUUCGGCCGCCUCAACUGACACUGCUGAUUCAACUGCUCUGACUCGGUUGCAAGAGGUCUUGUCGCUUUCGGCGUCGCAAGUCCUUGAGCGUAAAGGUCUUGAUGUGCUGGGUGCGUGUCUAAACGACCUUGGAGCCGACGGUUAGCUGAGCGGCGAAGCUGUCGUUCGGGCGUCAACCGCCUUGGAGCGGGUUCGAGAAACUUUCAGUAUUUUCGAUAGCGCUCUAAGGGCCGAACAAGACCUGCAGGCUGCCAUGGCCGUUCAAGAUACUCUCCGUCCAAAGAUUGACACCUUAAAGGCUAAAGAAGAAGCCUUGGCCGACCUCGACCGUCAAAUGGCCGAAUUGGUGAAACGCCGAUCGGCCAUUGCCUCCGAGCUUGCCAAUGACUUCGAGUUGGGCAGCAAGGUUUGUUUGACCGAGUAUGCGGCGAACACAAAAUGGGUCGAGCGGUUGAAGUUGGACAAGAAGAACCGGCAGGCCGAGGUCAUCAUGGGCGAGGUGCGGUGGUUGGAGCUGAAGGCCCUGCUCGGCACUCUUUUCCCUUCUUCACCUUGAAUGUAUUUGAAUGUAAACCGAUCGACUUACUCAUUUUGUACAUGCUUAUCAAUCUUAAUGAACUGGUUUUCUAUUCCCGCAUUUCCCAUGUGACCGGAUAAUAUUUCUUCAAAAACUUCCCAUUGAUUGGUAAUCUGUGAACUACACCGGUCCGAUCUUUAAGAUGAUACGCCCCUUUUCUGUAUACUUUAUGUACAACGAACGACCCAUCCCAAUUUGGCGACCACUUGCCGAACCUAGGGUCUUUUAGUCCUACGGGUAACACCGUUUGCCAAACCAAUUCACCCUCACCGAAUGUUUUCUGACGCACCUUUUGAUUAUAGGCUCGAUCGGCAAUCCGUUUUUGUGCCACCAGUAAGUUAUAAGCGUCAAGUCGCGUUUAUUCCAAAUCUUCUAAUUCCUGUCUCAUGGACUGAUUAUAUUCGGCGCUAAACAAACUAUUUUGUUCAAUUAAUCGCAACGAAUUUAUGCUUAACUCGACUGGUAACAUUGCAUCGUGUCCGUAGGUUAAUGCGUACGGGGUUGUCGCAGUCGCCGAUCGGGGCGAUGUUCGAUAUGCCCAUAAUGCCUCGUUCAACUUCAAAUGCCACAUGCCAGGCUUUUCUUUUAUUAUUUUUUCGAGGAUGCCGAUCAACACUUUAUUACUUGCCUCGGCUUGCCCAUUCGCUUGUGGAUAAUACGGUGUAGACUGUUCGAGCCGGAUUUUCAAAUUUGCCGUAUACUCUUUAAACCUCUCUGCUGUGAAGAUUGUUCCAUUGUCAAUUAUGAUCGUUUCUGGUACGCCAAAUUUGGUCACAAUGUGUUCCUCCACGAAGUCGCAAACUUCUUUAGAUGUUAGCUCGGCAUAUGAUUUCGCUUUGACCCACUUAGUAAAGUAAUCGGUUGCGACUAUUAUCCAUGCGUGCUUGGCAGCUCCAGAAGAUGGCGUGAUUUUGCUGAUUACGUCCAUGGCCCAUCCUCUAAACGGCCAUGGCUUAAUGACCGAAUGCAACGAUUCAGCCGGGACCCUUUGUAUAGGCCUGUGAAUCUGGCACUGUAUGCACCCUCGUGCAAACUCGAUACAAUCCUUUAAUAUCCUUGGCCAAAAAUAGCCGUGUCGUCGAAGUAGCCAUCGCAUUUUUUGUCUGGAUUGAUGAGCUUCGCAAACCCCUUCAUGGACCUCUGUGAUUGCCUGAGCACCUUCUUGGGGACCGAGGCAUAGCAGUAACAAACUAUCUUCGCCUUUUCGGUAUAACUCAUUUUGGUACGUGACAUAGUUUGUGGCGUGAACUCGUGUCUUGCGACUAUGUUUUCCAUUGGGAUUGUCAAGGUACUGCAUAAUGGGUUUUCUCCAAUCAUCUGGUGUUGCCUCGACAGUACAAACCUCUAUAGUGUCUUGUCGUUCUAGCAACGAAGGUAAAGACAUGACUCGGGUACUUAUUACAUCGUCGCGUCGGAGGAUUUACUGGUUAACCAAGGCCGGGUAUAGCUGUCGUAACACCGGUAUUUCUCGGCCUAGCUUGCCCCCCAAGAGUUGUGCACCGGAGGCAAUUUGAGCCAACUCGUCCGCGUCGGUAUUAUGGAUCCAGGAAAUAUGUUCGAACGUAAUACCGUCGAAGGACUCGGCCAAAUAGCUGGCAACCAUGUGGUAUGGUGCUAGGGUACAACUCAUGCAGCGGAAAGACCCAUUAAGUUGGUUAAUCACAAGCUCAGAGUCGCCGAGGACGAGGGCACGGGUGGCCCGUAAGUCAUGAAGGAGGCAAAGGCCGAUGAUAAGGGUUUCAUAUUCGGCCUGAUUAUUGGUGCAGUCAAAAUCCAACUUAAACGAAAAAUACCAACGAUCGUGAUUAGGAGAUUGAAUGACAACCCCAACGCCGACCGAGGAUGAAGUAGUGGAACCGUCAAAAUACAUCGUCCAAUAGUUGUCGCGUGCUUCAACCAUGCCGAUUUCGACAUCGGUGUCCCCAAAACCGUAGGGAGAGGGGUGUUGAGCAAGGAAGUCGGCCAAUGCUUGGCCUUUGACAGCUUUCUAGGGCACGUAUUGCAAGCUAAACUCGGACAACGCCAUCGUCCACUUCCCAAUUCUCCCUUUUAUGAUUGGCCGGGUAAGCAUGUAUCGGAUAACAUCGGUCUGGGCAAUGACUUGUGUGACCGACGGAAGCAUGUAAUGCCGGAGCUUGGAGGCGGCGAAGAACACGGCAAGACAGAGCUUCUCAACGGCAGAAUAAUUGAUUUCUGGUUUAUUAAGAUUUCGACUGAGGUAAAAAAUAGCCUGCUCUCGCCCGACAUCGUUAUCUUGGGCAAGGAGGCAGCCGAUGGACUCUUCAGCCGCCGAGAUAUAUAGUUUGAGAGGUUUACCGCGCCGUGGUGGAACAAGGACAGGUGGUGUCGUGAGGGAGACUUUGAUUUGUGUAAACGCUGCUUGAUGCUCGUCUGUCCACGCAAAUAUAUAUGAGUCCUUAAGUUUCAAAAGCGUCGAAAACGCUUUCAUUUUCCCUGCCGAGUUAGCUAUAAAUCGGCGGAGAAAAUUUAUCUUGCCGAGUAAGGACUGUAGUUGUUUCUUCGUCGUUGGGGGUGGAGCACUAUAAUUGCACGUGCUUUAUUUUCGUCCACUUCAAUCCCACGGUGAUGUGCCAGGAAACCGAGAAAAUUACCGGCCGACACAUCGAAUGCACAUUUGGCAGGAUUCAUUUUGAGGUUGUGUUGGCGCAUACGAAGGAAAGCCUGUCGGAGAUCAUCCAGAUGAGUCCGCCGUUGUUUGGAUUUAAUUACAACAUCGUCGAUAUAGACUUCGACGAUGGUUCCAAUUAAAUCAUGAAAUAUGGUGUUCAUUGCCCAUUGGUAUGUGGCGCCGGCAUUUUUUAGGCCGAAUGGCAUAACAACCCAUUCGUAAGUGCCGAGUGCCCCCGGGCAGCAGAAAGCAGUUUUGUGCACAUCGGCUUCGGCAAUAAAAAUUUGGUUGUACCCGAUAUGUCCAUCCAUAAAGGAUAAGAUCGCAUGAUUCGCCGUGGCAUCGAUUAACAGAUCUGAAAUCGGCAUUGUAUACUCAUCUUUGGGAGUUGCCAGAUUCAGAUUUCUGAAAUCGAUGCAGAUGCGCAGUGCACCAUUUUUCUUUAAAACAGGAACAAUAUUUGCCAACCAUUCAACAUAUCGAGCUGUCCGAAUGAUCCCGGCUUUCAAAAGCCGAACCAGUUCGUCCUUGAUACCGAGUUGCACUUCGAUCGAGAAUCGACGAGGUGGCUGACAGAAAGGUUUACAUCCGGGCUUAAUACGUAAUUCAUGCUCGACAAGAGUACGAUCUAAGCCGGGCACUUCAUGGUAGCUCCAAGCAAAACAAUCUUUGAACUCCGUAAGCAAGGCACGAAGUUCGUCCUUCAUUUGUUGGGGAAGUAAAGCACUAAUAAACAAAGGAUGUGGGUCAUCGGCCGUCCCAACAUUAAUCUCUUCCAGGGGGUCCUUAACUUGGGGCUGAUGAUCUUCGAGCUUGGCCGGGGCGGCUUUAACUUUGUCAAGAGAUAAGACAGGACCAUUAUUUCCUUCGGCAAGGAACUCGACGAGGUUAACGCCCAAAUUUGGUUGUUUAGAUAUAGUAUACCAAUGGGCCAGCAGUCGUUCCAUAGUAGAUGAAACCGCGGCCCUACGUUUUUCCCGAUCUGUGUCAAACAUCAGCUUCGGGGAGGAAGUUGGCUAAUCCGAGUCUCGCCGAAUCUUGGUGGACAGUCUCGGCGCCAACCUCGAUAGCUUUCUGAACAGAAAUCCGAGUCGGCCGUCCUUCAUCAUUGAAGCCUUGCAAAGUAAUGUAGCCGACGUGGUCAUCAUAAUACCGUGCUUAGAUCAUGUUAGUUUCGAAGGGUUGGCUAUCGGCCGGGUGAACCGUGACUGAUUUACCGUCCCAAAAAACGAGCACUUGAUACAAUGAGGAAGGAAUACAGCUGGUUUGGUGAAUCCAAUCUCGACCGAGUAGUGCAUUAUACUCGGUUUUGGAAUCAACCACGAAAAAGGCGGUCAUGUGAGUACGACCGGCAAUAUUCACUGUUAACGGAAGUACACCUUUGGUUUGGGAUUUGUCGCCGAUGAAACUACUCAUUAUGAUCCCUGACGGAAUAAGUUCGUCAUUAGAGCGACGUAAGGCCUUCAUGAUGUUCAUAGGCAUGAUAUUGACGGUAGCUCCAUAGUCGACAAAAACUUUAGAAACUGGAUAUCCCUCGAUGUGGGCCGUCACAUACAAUGGCUUUAAAUGAUGGAGGUUGGCCGAUGAUGAGCGAGGAAACAAUUCGGCCAGAGCUGAUUUGAUAUUGUCAUCUUUUGUUGCAGAGUCAACUUCAACAACAGAUACAAAAUCAACAUGGCUGGCUUCCUCGGCGACUACAUCACCAUCGAGGAAAUUCGGCUGAGCUGUGCUUGAUUGAAAAUCAGUGGGUAAUACAUGGACCAUACUGAUUUCCAUGUUAUCCAAGACUGACAGGCCCAUCGAGUUAGGAUCCUCCUCGCUAGCCUCAUCUCUCAUCUGGUCGGCGACUACGGCUUCCGUUGUUGUCAGAGUUGGACAAAGAGACUCUUAUGCUCAUUCUUCAAUGGUUUGAUCCUGCGGUGCUGCUUCGGCAACUUGUUGGUUCUGCGUGAUUGCCUCAGGUGAGGUUGAGACCGACAGUGUGCUUGGGGUCAAGAUCCGAGCCUACUCCUGGUAGUGUAUCUGGGCAUCCCUGGUGUCGAGAUAAGCAUCUAAUCGCGCAACACGUGCUAUUUCAUCGGUCGUAAGGCCGAAGAGAGAAACAGCCGAAAAUACUUCGAAGUGAUAUCGUAUAUACUGAAGGUCCUCCAUUGAGAAAGAAAGGUCGGCUGCAUCGAUAUCAGUGUAUGGGUCGACUUCAAAUCCAAGGACACGAGCUUCUCGUAUGUGCUGGAACCUUGCUUUCAAUCCUGGGUCUGAGGUUUUCUGAAUGAUUCGCUCGACAUUAGGACAAGUCAGGACUAGAUCAAUUGUGUCUUGACAUGCCUUCAGUAAACCAUACAGAUCAUUGGCCGAAUGUUUCUUAUGAAAUUCUCGCAUGUAUUCCAAAGCCUCCCCGAGGAAUGGUGGGUGCAAAUUCCGUCAAAUUUUGAUCAAAGGUUCUUGUAUGGCCGGCAGGGCUAAUUUGCUUUCAGCCUCUUGCCUGAAAUGCUCGAGGCGUGCCUUCAUCUCCCCCCCCCGAAGAAGAAGUUUGAUCCGUUUAUCAGCCUCUUCGAACGUGGUUUCGACAUCUCGGUUGACCAGCCAUUUCCCUUGAACCAACUCUGUCAUAAUAGCUGGAGGUGGUCGUUCAUCAUCAGUAGCAAUUGUGUCAUUCGGCCGCCAUUGAGGGACCGAAGUUUCUUGGGUUGCCCUUCGGCGGGCCAUGCAAUCUAUCCUUUGGUGCUGGCGUUUCUGGGAUUUGGAUAGUGCAGUGUAGACGCCUUUCGAAGAAUGAUAUGUAUACCAACGUUGAUCUCUAGGUUCGGGAGGUUUGAAAUUUUUUUGGCUCCGCGAUGAUUCCGAACUGCUAGAAUUACGUUUAUAGUAGUCCUCGUCAUAAAAUGAAGCAUCAAAAUCAAGGCGCCGCCUGACUGAAGGUGUCUCUUCCAUCCUCACUUUAGGACCGAGCCUAUAAAAAACCCCCUGAUGUUGGCCUAUGUUGGCAACCUUUUGCUGGGUUGCGGCCGUAGGUCGUUCCGUUAUAAGCGAAGAGGGCUUCUCCUCUGGCUCACUGCCGACCUUUGCUCUACAUUUACUGCACAACACCGCCGUCCCACUGUCUUCAUCGGUGCUAUAAUCCAUCAUAGGUUUGACAAUAGCGGGUCCCGUUAAAGCUGUAGGUGGUUCGUUUGAACGAAAAAUCGGCCAUGAAACGUGGCCGAGAAUUCUGAUUCCGAAAUCGUUGCGUCGCAACAACUUCGGCCUUCCCUUUCCCUUUGUCUUUAGGUAGGCACGCAUCGACCAUAUUUACUGUUGCCGUGGGGAACGGGUCAGUAUCAACAUUCAUCUUCUUCUCUGGAAAUUUCAGUUUGCCAUUAUCAAUCCAGCUUUGGACGUUGUCUCGAAACACGACGCAAUUGUUUGUCGUGUGUUUGCUUGAAUUGUGGUAUUUGCAUUAUAUCUUUCCUUUAAGCUCUUCGGCCUUGGGAAUAUUGUGCCCAGGCCGAAGUUUGAUGAUCCUUGCUGAUAACAGUUGAUCAAAAAUUGCAUUGGCCUUUGUAAUAUCAAAAGUAUAAACUUUUGACGGUUUCAAUGCUCCUUCAGUAGCCGAGCGGAUUUUGACUUCCUUAGAGUCAACUUGAGUCAGCGCCUUGCAAACGUAUGGCUUAUCUAUUACUAUCUCAGUUGCAUCUACACUAACGCAUUCAUCCUCGGUUGAUGCAUAAUUGACAGUAGGAUUCUUGUAAAUCGUCCCCCGAGAUGGAGCUUUCGAAAUCUUCUCCUCGCGGAGCAAAUAAUCAUACUGCUCGACAUGUUGGGCUAAUUCGUACAUAUCCCGAAAGUUUGCCCCUAAGAAUUUCUUUUUGUAUUCGACGUCAAGACCGUUCAGAGCAAGUCUGACGAAUUCAACUUCGGGGAGAGGCACUCGGCACCAAUUCCUGGCUGAUUUGAAUCUAGUAAGAUAAUCCAUUGGUGACUCGUCGGACGCCUGAGCCAUCCUUGCUAGUGAGGAUACUGACAUUUCCAUUCCCGGCCGAUAAAACUGCUCAUGAAAUUUCUUGACCAACUCCUCCCAACUCUGGACGGAGUUCGGUGGGAGGUUAAUAUACCAAGCGAACGCUGAGCCGGUCAAUGAAAAAUUGAAAAGUCGCAGCUUGUGAAAGUCACUAUUAACGUCUCCGCAUUGUGCGGUGAAGCGAGCUACAUGUUCUAACGAGGAUAAAGAUGAUUCUCCGGUAAAAAGGCUAAAAUCCGGGAUCUUGAAACCUCUAGGGUAUUCGAACUGUUCCACAUAAGCUGGAUACGGGUGUAUAAACUUAGGGAACUUCGGCCCUUUCUUCAUGGCCGAAUCGAUCAUCCGUUGAACUUCGGUCAUAUCGACGGGCGUUACUUCCACUCUCUGGUCAGAUCCGUCUGACCUACUAUUCGACCCUCCUUCUCUUUCCAAUUGAAUUGGCCUGAGCCGAGCAGGAAUUGGCUCGACCGGUGCACUUGAUAAUAGAUUAUUCCUCGGCAGCAAAUGCUAGGCAAGAUCGAAAGUUCUACCAUCGCUGACCUUACUAACCAGUAUUUCGAGUAAUCUGGUUUGUGCUUCACUGGAAUUGCGUAUCACGUCAUGAAGUUUAUCAAUUCCUCGACUCAAUGUCUGUUCAACCGUCCGAGAUUGCUCGUCAAGCCGUUUUCGAAGAAACGACCUUGUGGGUGGAUCGGAUCCUUCGCCACCAUCUUCAUCACAAUCUUCUAUUACUCCUUCAUUGAGAACACGAGUGUUUCUGUCAGGAAUUUCAAGACUGCGAACCUGACCGCCGAGAUUAACUUCCCUUUCUCGGCGAGUUGCGCUCGUGGACUCAGGUGUCACGGCGCUGAUGGGAUUUUGCGCUUGUGGCACAUUGUAUCUUAUGUUCUGAUUUGGUAGAUCGGCUGUCGACUUUCCCAUAGCUGUUUUCUUUUUUACCGAUUGUGUUUCAAUUGGCAUGAACUUCGUAGUUUAGCACUGGGUCCCAUUGGGCGUGCCAAAAUGUUGACCCUAAAAACUACCAAGCCUACGUGGCGCGCAGGCCGAGUAAUCUAUAAGCUAACUACGUCAUUCGGUGAAUGCGGGGCGUGCCAACUCGUCGGCCGAGGAGUAAAUUUUGUUGAUGUUGCGUUGGGUGCGUGGCUGACUUCUGCAUCUUGCGAUUGCGGCCGAGAAAGGAACACGUCUCGGCCUCUUGGGCUCUCGAACCUGAAGACAAGGUUACUAUUCUUACGAAGUUCAAUAUCAAAUUCGGCUUUCAAUGUGCCGAAUGUAAUAAUUGUAACACAUCACUUCGCCGAGAAGGCUGAUGAGAUGACCUCGACCAAUAAGGAUUCAGAAAUCCUUCUCGACCGAGACUUGGAUAGGUAAUCAACCGUCCUCCCUGCAGUGCUGUUGAUGCCAACGGAAGAUACUACGAGAUCGACUGAUUCUACAGUGACAGAGCUAUCUAUGCCGACUUAAGAUAUCACCGGUUGCUUCCACAGUGCUGUUGAUGCCAACGGAAGAUGUGUCAGCGAAAAAGAAGGAAAAAAAUCUCAAGUUGUUGAGAGUUUGCGCAUGGCAGUUUUGUGUUGAAUUGUCGGGGGCUUGAAUGAUGCACAGCCUCCCCUAUUUAUAGCACUGGAUCUCUUUGAAUCCGAGUUAAAACCCUACUCGGACUAGGUAUUCUCCUCUAGAUCAACACCAACUCGACCAGUCCUAUUUUCACUAGGAUUGUGAACCUAGUCCUUAACCGAGCCGGAUUCGCUUCUAGGUUAUUAGUCCUGCCGAGACUCCUCAUUGCACUAGGACUCGACUUCUUGCGUUAUGACCUAGCCGACCUAGGUUUGGAGGCCCACGUACUGAACGAUCCAUGGCAUUCUUGUCGCAAGGCCUUCCGGGCCGAGAAUGAUUCUAUACUCGGCCCAAACUAUUAUUUUGGGCCCAAACAAUUCUACAGCUUUUUUAUUGACCUACCAUACUGCAAAUUAAAAGUACAAAAUUAAAAAUACUUGGAAUAGCCAAAUAUAUGCAAAAAUCUUUCCUUGCUUCAAUUCAAUUGGUCGAUAAAGUAUAAGACAUAACAAUUUUCCUUUGGUAUGACUUCUACAUCUCAUAUAUACAUUUCACUUGAAAGAAAAGCAUCAUGUUCAUGAAUCAACAAAAACACUGCAAAAGUCUAACCUUGUUCAGGUCAUUUCUCCAAAUUGAAACUCUCUCUGAAACCUUGCUUGGUAGGUAAGAUUGUGCCAUCAAAGCUGCUUCAGGUAUCCGUCCACUAUAAUGAAAGAUAACGAAACCCUAUAAAGCAGACCACAAAAAUUAAACAAAACCCAAAAACUAAACAGUAAAAAAUAAAAAUAAAAAAGAACUGCAAAUAUUCUAUAAAUCGUAAUAUGAACUGCAACCCAUCAAUCAUCCCUCAAAAUAAACUGCAAAUCACAAAAUGACCUACCCCAAAUCGGCUGGAGAACUCACCAGGAAACCAAGGCUUUUCUGGGCUUAAAAUUUCCUUCGAAUUGGGAUCAAAUUCACGGUUUUUGAGCAAGAGGUCCAUGUGCUUCGUAGUUUCUGAGAGAGAGAAUCGAAGAGAUUUCUAACGGCUUGGUGGUUUUUGAGCAACACAGUGCUGUAGUUAGUGAUUUCGGUGCACAGAUGGAUAACUUCCGUGGGAAAAUAUCAAACCCAAACAGAAGUCCUCUGAAACUCCAAUUUCAAUAUAAUCAAACACAAACAAAAUACCAAACUCAACUCCGAUUAAGUUGUUGAUGGCUUUGAGUUCUAAAACAAAACGAAUGCUAUCAACAUUUGCUUACAACCCUAAUUACCAAAUUCUUCAAGCUGCCUAAUCAAAAUCUAAGAUUAUCGCUACAAUGAACAUAGAAACACUAAUUACACAUAAACAUCGCAUAAAAAGCAUAAAUAAAAAAAUCCACAACAUCAGCAGAGAUAACGAAAAUGAUAAAAACUCUAAAAAAAUUUAAACAAAAUUUAAAAACUUUAACUCACAGGAAGCUCUUUGUAGCGAUUUUCUCAGACAAUGGCAAAUUUUCCAUAGCUGAUUUCAGUAACCCGAAAUCAAUUUAAAAAAAAUAAAUAGAUUUAAAUUCCAAAUUGGGCAUGAAACUACUUGCCUUGAGUAGGGAGGGUUUUACAAAACGCCGCCUUUGGAGACCAAGCUUUUGAGCGGCUGCGGCGCCUGGUGUGACGGUGCGAGACAGAGAGAGAGUUUGAGAAGCAACGAUUAAUUUUUUGGAUGAGAGAAACGGAAUGAAGCAGAAGACUCGAGAAUAGGCAUCUUCAACGAUGAUGGACGCUUUACAAAUAAAAUCCCCAAAAUCACAAAAAGAAAAUUUGAACACAAAAUCCAUUUGUUAAUCCAAAAUCACCAACAAAAAAAAAAAUCAAAUAAAACAAAAAGGAAAUUAAGAGAGAGAUCAGAAUACCGUUAGUUAAAGAGUGGACAACGUCGGUUCCCCGAGCACUGUAAUCCCUGAAGAUCUCUUCCGCCGUUGGCGGACUCGAGCCCAUCUUCCUGCUGCUCUCAUUCAUCUCACCGAUGCUCUCAAGUUACAGAAAUCGAGGCCAAUUUGUGUGUUUUUGGUUUUAGGAAGCAGAGCCGAUGUUAUUCCAGAGAUGGUGUUGUGGCUGCUGAGGUUUGAGAAUGACAGGCGUGAGAGAUGAAUGUAGGAGAGAAAGAGGAAGAGUGAGAGACGAGAGGAGAGCGCCCAACAAUCAGUGCUAAACCAUACAGACACAAUUACCCUCUGAACUUUUGAGAAUUACCCUCCCAACCCAGCCCUAUUUGGCUGGUAUUGUUGUAAAUAGCAUGAAAUCGAGUGGCUUCGUGCUAAACCAGACGAACAAAAUUACCCUUUGAACUUUUGAGAAUUACCCUCCCAACCCGACCCCAUUUGGUUGACAUUGUUGUAAAUGUCAUGAAAUCGAGUAGCAAAGAACUGAUGGCUUCUACAGUGCCUUUUUCCCCUACUUUAAACUUAGAGCAUUUCCACCAGAGGUGGAAUAGCCCAGCACCCAGUUAAAAAACCAUGUUGGGACUCUGUCAAUCCCCUCCAGCUCACAAACUUGCCUAUCACCCAGCCCAAGCUGGUGUCCAAGCUAGCCUAAACUUGACUGACCAAGGAACCGGCCUAUUUGCCUGGCGCGUGGCUUUCACGUGGCCAUGGGCACGAGUACCCGACAGCCCUUCAGAGGUUGGGCCCAAGGUGCAGGCGCACUCACAUCCCACCCCGGGUAGGCGACAUGGCCCACUGUCUGUCGUUGGAUUUCCAACGGCUAGUUUUUCUAAACCGUUGGAUUUCCAACGGUAAAAAAAAAUUGAAUUUCACUUUUGAUUUGGACCGUCCGAUCAUAGAUCAACGAUCCACGUUUUUCCCCCAAAAAUUAAAAAUAAAUAAAUAAAAGGGUCCAACGGUCAGAAUUAUGACUGUUGGCGACAUGGUAGCUUAUUGGCGGUUGGAUUUGAAUAUUUUUCAAAUCCAACAGUCCAGAUUAUUUAACUAAAUUAAAAAUUGUUAAAAAUUAUUAAAAAUUAUGAAAAAAUACAUAAAAUUUAUUAAAAAAAUUAAAAAAAUAAUUCUAUAAAUACCUAACCCUCAUCUUUCACCUUACACCACAUUUCAAUAUUUUCUACACUUUGAGAGGAAAAAAAUGUCUUCGUGGAAACUCAUUGAAGAUGUUACGUUGUGUGAAUGUUGGGUUCACACAACUCAUGACCCGAUUACGGGUAAUGAGAUGGAUAAGCAAGAAAUGUGGAGUAAAAUUACAAAAUCGUUUUGCGAUGUACAUGGAAAAGACGCCAGAAGUAGUCAAGGUCUUCAAAGUCGUUGGAAAAAACUCAACGCAUCCUUUACUUGUUGGAAAAACGCCAUCUAUCUCCGGUAAUCUACGUAGUGGGACAAGUUUAGCAGAUCAGAUGACAAUAUUUUUAUUUAUUUAUAUGUAUUCCACCCGUAUCAAUAUUUUAAUUUAUUUAUUUGUGUUACACCCACAUUUUUUAUAAUACUGUCUUAUCCCACAUAUAUAGACACUACAAGCACAAGCUUUCUACAAUGCGAAUAACCACAACAAAUCAUUCAACAAAUGGGAAUGUUGGCAAAUUGUGAAAGAUUGCCCCAUAUACAAAAUUGUGUCAACCGGUCCAGAAGUUGUCAUGCACGGCAUGGGUCUACACAGUUCGCCAGAACCAGUCACGGCCGAACAAGAAGGCGACACAUUUGAAGACACGGAAGGGAUGCCUGAAGAAGUGCCGGAGACCCAACCGAUUAGUCAGUCCCUCAGGCCUCAAGGUAAAAAGGCAUCAAAGAAAAAAUGUUGUUCUUCCAAAAAUGACUACACUAAAUAUAUGGAGGAACUUGCUCGCCAAGGUGAACUGAACAUGGCGCGGGAAGCGGCUAGAGAUGAGGAAAAAGUUGCUGCUAUGGCAGCAAUAUUAGCAACUACUGAGAGACGUGAUGCGGUGGCUAAGAGACAAAGAGAAAUAGUUAAUCGAGAGAACAAGAUGAUUAGAGAAGCACUUAAUCGAGGAAAUGAGAUACUUAGAGAAUAAAGGAUAGCUCAAGCAAAUCGUGACAUUAUGAACAAGUCUCUAGUAGGACUGUCUCUGAAUUCAAAAUAUUUUUGGACAUCGAAAAAAAGAGACGUCGUGCGAAGGAGGCGUGAAAGAGAUGCGGAAACAAGUCGAGGGGGUUAUAGCUACACAAAUCCUAGCAACGAAGAUCCUAGCACCACAUAUCCUAGCUCCAGAGACUUUUUAUAAUUUCGUAUUUAUUUGUAGUACUUUAUUUAAUUUCUUAUGUAAUUUUUAUGUAACUUCGUCUUUAUUUUUAGUACUUUAUGUAAUUUCUUAUUUAUUUUUAUUUAUAGAUGUAAUUUCUUAUUUUUUAUUAGUACUUUGUGUAAUUUCUUAUUUAUUAUUAGUACUUUAUGUAAUUUCUUAUUUAUUUUUAUUCAUAGAUGUAAUUUCAUAUUGAUUCUUAGUAUUUUGUGUAAUUUCUUAUUUAUUAUUAGUACUUUAUGUAAUUUCUUAUUUAUUUUUAGAACUUUAAGCAAUUUCAAUUUUUUUUUGUACUUUAUUUAAACACAUCAAAUAAGAUUACAUAACCUCACCAAAUAAACUUUAAAAAAAAAGCACACCAAAUAAAAUUACAUAAACUUAAAAAAAAAUACACUUUAUUCUUCAACCACAUGCUCAUUUUAAUUAUCUUCACCUUCUUGCAAUCUCUACUGGUGCUCAAUCAAGUCAUUCUGACGGGUUACGUGCCAAUAUGACUCCUGCACAUCAGUGUACCGCUGAACGAUCAAUUCAUUGUAACGUUCAUCUCGUUCCAACGACUCAUGUUGCACAGGAUCUUCGGUCCGAUCAUGAGCACAAUAGAUACAUGUUCUUGAGUUGUUCAUCGGAUCCGGCUCAUAUUCAUCGACGACAUCAUAAUCAUAUUCAUCUUCCACAAUCAUGUUGUGGAGAAUAAUACACGUCAUCAUGAUGGAUCGAAGAGCCUCGACAUCAAACAGUCUAGCAGUAGACCUGACAAUCGCCUAACGAGCUUGCAGGAUAUCAAAACAACGCUCCACAUUCUUCUUACACCCCUCUUGACAUUUUGCGAAGUGUUUUUCUUUUUCAUUAUGUGGAUGUGGCAUUGUUUUGACAAAUGUAGACCACCUUGGGUAAAUGCCGUCUGCAAGGUAGUAUGGUCCUUGCAGCAGAUCGUCGAACACUGGAGAUUGAGCAUGGACAUUUAGGUCAUUCUGAGCUCCUGGAACACGAAAAAAAACAUGCCAAAUUCAUGUAUCAAAUGAAGACAACUUUUGGCUCAUUUUCUGUCGCCAUAAGCUCCUUGCCACGCACUUGGACAAUUUUUCCAAGUCCAGUGCAUGCAAUCGAUGCUUCCAAUUAUGCCAGGGAGGCCUCGCAUGAUCGCAUCUCAUCCUUUCUUAGAAGCCUUCGCAUGACCCUUGGAGUGGGUGUCCCGAGGUACUCAUUGGUGUACAGGACUUCAAUUGCAGAGUAAAACCGCAUCAGGGACUUUAGAACAAUUGUUUUUCCCAUAUUCGCGAUCUCAUCCACUUGAUUUGCAAAUGCUCCAUAUGCAAGCAUUCGCAAGGCAGCCGUAAUUUUUUGCUCUGGAAGAAGACCUAGAACAUGAAAAGCAUCAUCUUUUUGCACAAAAUAUGGAUCAUGGUUGCAAAUAGCACUCAUGAUUUUGUUGAACAAACUUCGUUGCAUUCUAAAACGACAUCUGAAAACAUGAUCAGGGAAUAUGUUGUUGGGAAUAAAAUAAUUUUCCAAGAGAUCUUUACCUCGUAUUUCCCUUUUUCUAUCAAAGUUUGCGGCACGUCUGGGUUUGGCUAUCUGACCCACAACUUCCAUGACACAGCGGGAAUGUGAGGCCUUCUGCCUUCUAUGGUCAUCAUUCGAGUCCUCCUCUAUUGUGAAAGCCUCAUCUCCACCUCCACCUUCCUCGAGAUUGAUCAAUUCUUCCUGUUGUGCCAACAAUCUUUUCUGUUGCUCCACAAAUUGUUUAUGCACUCUCCUUGAAGAAGACAUUGUAAAAAAAACUCAAGAUUUGAAAACGAUGAAAAAGGAUUAUGAGCUAAAAAGAAGGAUUGAGUUUGGUGUGAGGAUGAAUGUAGAGAUGUAGGGUUUAUAUGGACAAAGAAAAAAGGAUGAUGUUCUGGACAAUGCCACGUGGCACUACGUGAUUGGUUGAAAAUAUUAUUGAAAUCUUGGCUAAAUUAUUGCAAACAGGAAGUGACACGUGGCGCGUCGGGAUUGGUUGAAAAUCUUAUCGGAGAUCUAUCCACAAAAUAGUACGUUCAGAUAAUGACAUGUGGCGUAAUAAGAUUGGUUGAAAAUCUUAGCGUAAUCUUGGCUAAAUUAUUGUAAACAGAUAGUGACACGUGCCGCAUCAAGAUUGAUUGCAAAUCUUAACGGAAAUCUAUUCACAAAAUAGUAUGUUCGGAUAAUGACACGUGGCGUUACGAGAUUGGUUAAAAAUCUUAUCCGAAAUUAAAACUAUUUUAUUUAUUUAUUCUUUUAUUAAAAAUUUAAAAUAUUUUAAAUGGGCUAGGUGCCAGCGCAUUUUGUAAUGGUGGAAAUCGUUUGUGCCAUCGCAUUUUUAAACUGGGUGCGAGCGCAUUUUUUUAGGGGUGGAGAUGCUUUGACCUAUUACUGUUCACUGAGAUCUAUUACUGUUCACUUGAGUGGAUAAAUGCGCUGGGUGCUGACGCAAAGUCUUUAGAAGUGGAAUAAAAAACCCCACAUACUAUAUGUGUGUAAAUAUAAAAAAUUUAAAAGGAAAAAAAAAUAUGCGAAGGAGAGAUGCUUGAGAGAAAUGUGAAAGAGAUAGUGACAUGGAAAUGUGCAAGAUGUUUAUAUUUAGAUUUUUUAUUUUUUAAUUAUAAAAAUUAAACAUAUGCAAUGAUGAUAUGAUGUUGAGGAAAAAAAAAAGAAAAAUUUGGUUGGUGCAAAAUUAUAUUAUUGUCUAUGAUUUUAUAUUGUGAUAAAAGACUAAAUUAUUUUUACACUACCUAUCAACAUGUGAGUUUUAUCUCAAUUUGAAAAAUGAUACAAAUAUAAAUAUAGUAUGAAAAAUAUAAUUAGAGUAACAUUUUUGUUAACUCCCAACCAGAACAGUCCUUGAAGCUUCCUCUUCAAAACUAUAGAAAUACGGUACGACGUGUUCUUGAGCUGUUGAGUUGACUUUAACAUGGUAUUUCUCUACCAUUUGGGCAAAACCACAACCUCUGCCAGCCAGCGAAGAAGGAUUAAUUAAUGGAUACCAGGGCAGCCCUUGAAGAUUCCUCUUCAAAACAAUGGAAACACGACGUGUUCCUAAGCUUCCGAGGUAAAGACACGCGCCGGACCUUCACCGACAACCUUUACUGGGCAUUAAAGCACGACAGCGUCAACGUCUUCAGAGACGAAGAAAAUCUUCAAAGAGGCGAAACUAUAAGAGACGAGUUAGUGGAAGCAAUCAAACGGUCUCAGAUCGCCAUUAUUGUCUUCUCAAAAGGGUACGCGGAUUCGAGAUGGUGUCUUGACGAGCUGGAGACGAUCGUGAAGUGUAGAUCAACUAUGGGGCAAACGGUCUUGCCGAUAUUCUAUGAUAUUGAUCCUUCACAUGUUAGGGGUCAAACUGAUAGUUUUGCAGAGCCAUUUCAGAAAUAUGAACAGUGCUACCCGAAAGAUAAGGUGCUGAGGUGGAGAGAUGCUUUGACUCAAGCUGGAAGAUUGGCUGGUGGGAAUCUUGAAAACACUGAUGGGUAAUUCCUUGGACAAUCUACUUUUUAACUUUCUCAUAUUGAAAAAUUGGCGGACAUGAUCAUUUUUCAAAUACUAAAUUGAUUAGUAUUCAAUAUGUGGUACAUAUAUGAUCGACACGUUGUCACUAUUUGAUUGCCAUGUAAUGGAUAUUUGAUUUUGAUAAGUUGAGCAGUUAAAAUUUGAUUUUUAAUCAUUCUAGUAGAUCUGCAUUUUUUGCGAAAUGUCAUUUGUUGGCUUCUCAAGUAAGGCUCAUAAUUUUCAUUUACACAUUGCAAUGCAAAGCUUAGAAAUCCUGAAAAGUGAGAAUCUGCAAACGCUGAUCUAACUAUCAAUGUGGGCAAAUUGAGCUAAUCACAUGGAUCAACAUAUUUGCAUGUGUUUGAAUGAAUGUUUUCAGAAGUUGAACAAUGUAUUUAUUGAAAUCUUAUUUGAUCCCAAAAUCUGGUAUCAUAAUAAUGAAUAAUGUGUUAGUUGAGUUCAUCCUAGAGUUACAUUUUGCUUACCUUUGUAUUUUAACUGAUAGGUAUGAAGGAAGGUUUAUAAGGAAAAUUGUUGACGAUGUCACUAGAAGACUGAACAACACAUACUCAGGUGUAGCCGCCAACCAAGUUGGAAUAGAUUCUCGUGUGCAACUGAUCAUCAAUGAGUUAGAUAUUGGAGGAUCAGAUGAUGUUCGCAUUAUUGGAAUUUUGGGUAUGGGUGGAACGGGUAAGUCAACGGUUGCACAAGCCAUUAUCAGCAGAUUUAGACAAAGGUUUGACGCUACUUGUUUCCUUUCAAAAGUGAGGGAAGGGGAUAUGGUUAAAUUGCAAAACAAACUUCUUUGUGAUAUCUUGAAACCAGCCAAUGUAGAGGUAAGUACUGUCAAUCAAGGGACCGAGGAGAUAGAACGAAGACUUGGCAGCAAAAAGGUACUUGUCGUAAUUGAUGACGUUGAUUGUGCGAAACAAUUACAUCAGUUAGCUAUAAAACGUGACACCUUUGGCCCAGGGAGUAGAAUUAUUAUAACAACAAGAGUCAAACAAUUGCUAAAGAUAUUUAAAGUGGAUAAGACAUGUAACGCACAGAUAAUGAAUAAACAAGAAGCUUUUGAGCUCUUUUGUUGCCAUGCCUUUACUGAGCGUUGUCCUCCUGAUAAAGAAUAUCUUGAACUCUCAAGCAAAGUUGUUGAUUACUGCGGAGGUUUGCCACUAGCACUUGAGGUUUUAGGUUCUUAUUUAUGUACAAAACUCAAAAGUGAAUGGAAAAGUGCCUUGAGUAAAUUGAGAACAUAUCCUCAUAUGCAAAUUCACGAACAGCUUAAAAUAAGCUAUGAUGGGCUGAUUGACGAUGAUGUGAAGGAUAUAUUCCUUGAUAUAUCUUGUUUCUUUAUUGGAAUGAACAAGGACCAUGUCACAACAAUAUUGGAUGGCUGUGACUUUAAUCCAGAAAUAGGAAUUGGAGAACUACAUGAUCGAUGUCUUGUAGCUAUUGAUGAAGGGAACAACCUGAUAAUGCAUGAUUUGCUUCGAGACAUGGGCAGACAAAUCGUACGCGCAAAAUCCCCUAAAAUCCCCGGAAAACGUUGUAGAUUGUGGGAUCAGGAUGAUGUCAAAGACGUAUUGAGAAACAAAUCUGUAAGUAAUUGCUGUCAAAUUAUACGAUGAUAUGUAUUAAUUUAAACGGAACUACAUGUUGAAUGCAAAGAGAAAUUAAGUCUAAGAACAACUAUAUGACUUUGUUGCUUGUUUAUAAAUCUUCUUUUCAUAUGCAAUGAUAUAACCCUUUUCUUACUUAGUUAACUUUGCAUUCUUCUUCUUUUUUAUUUUCUUUUAAAAGGGAACAGAGGAAGUUGAAGGACUCAUGUUAGAUUUGCAAGAAUCCGACAAGCCUAUCUUCUGUACAGAAGCACUUAAGGAGAUGCAGGGACUGAGGUUGCUCAAACUGAAAGGCGUAAAGUUCACUGGAAACUGCCAACAUCUUUCCAAAAAGUUAAGAUGGUUGUGCUGGUCUGAGUUUCCUCUAAAGAUCAUACCAGAAGAUUUUAAUCAAUCAUACCUAGUUGAUAUUGACCUGAGUCAUAGCGAAAUACAAUUUUGGAAUGAUUCAGACGUGGUACAGUAUAAUCCCAGCCAAACCACUGAUUCUUUCCUCCAUUUUUGUAAGUACCAACAUUAUGCUCUCUCUUCUAUUUGGAUUGAUUUCUGUUCUUUUUUCUCUGACAGCCGCUUGAGAAGUUGAAGUUUCUUAAUCUUGGGUAUUGCCGUCGCCUGAAAAGAUCACCAGACUUUUCAAAACUCCCAAAUCUCGAGAAGCUGCUACUCAAUGAUUGCGAGAGUUUGUCUAGGAUUCACCCUUCCAUAGUACAACUGAAGAACCUUAAACAUUUAUCUCUUGCGAACUGCAAUCUAAAAAAUGAUGCAAUUCCUAAGGAUCUUGGGGGUCUAUCUUCUUUAGAAGUUCUAGAUCUACGUGGCAAUAAUUUUAAUGUGCUACCCACCCUCAGUGGCCUUUCCAAGCUUCAACCUUUACAAUGGGAUAACUGUAAAAACCUUGAGGCAAUCCCAGAUUUACCAAAAAAAUUGGAAAUCUUGGAACCGGAUGAAUGCGCUGCGAAGGAAAAAGUGCCAGAUUUUUCACAUAUGUUGAGUGUGAUGGGAUUGCAUCAGAAUCACUUUCCCGAAUGGACUGAGAUUCCAGGCAUGGAUAAGUUGUCAGACUCGGUGACAAGGAUUCCCAUUGAAGGGUGCACCGCUUGUGAUGAAAUUAUCCUGCAGGUCCUCUCUCUCUCUCUUCGACCAUCUCUCUCAUGCACACAUAAAUGCAUUUCUUAAUCGCUUGUAUAAAUCUUUGCUCCACACGGUUUAGGGAUGGAGUGCGAGUUAAAAUGGUUGGUUUUAUAUCCUGGAAAUGUUUUUCCUCAGUGGUUUAGGGGUGUCGACUUUAAGGAUGAAUUAGUUGGGCCACAAAGUUUAUUUAAAUGUGUUGACUGUAUGCAUCAUAUUCUCUUCAGAUAACUCCCAGUCUGGUGAUUGUCUUCGCAUUCCGUGUUGUAAGUUGUACCCGGCGCUGGGAGUUUAUCGUGUGUGCAAUGAAAGUGACCAUAAUUGCAUCCUAUAAGACUUUGUAUGGGACAUUUUUUUUUAUCCAUUUUUCUUUAUUUAUCUGGUCUUUUGAGUAAUUUCCUGUCCUAUUAUAUCUUCCAAAUUAUACAGAAAAACUCCAUUGUGAUUCAUAUUGGUGUCCAAGAGAGCAUUAGUUAGUUCACCAUUUUGGUACAUUCCACGCUCUUAGGUUUGUAUAUUCUACAGAGAGAAUAUAAAUGGAUAUCUAUUUUGACAUAUUGUCCAAUGAACAUGUUUUAAAGGUGAGGCGAAGCCAAUACGUUUUCAUGGACAACCUCGCGUAGGCAAUAACCUCACAACACCUAAAAUUAUUAUAGGGCUAAUCUUAGUAUAUUACUCUAAAGUCUUUUUUUGUUUUCAACAUUUCAUACAUUAAGUUUUCUUUUUUCAUCCAAAUUUGGUACUUAAGGUGAUAAUUCUAAAACACUUUCAUACAUCCAUUAAGUUUUGUGUUAAAACAACCGUUAACAUGUGAUAUGAUUCUUGCGUGGACAAUGAUUGGGCGCCACGUAGGUAUUUAAAAAAUAAAAAAUAAAAAAUAAAAUUCAAACAUUUAAAAUCAAAAAAUAAAAAGAUAAAAAAAAUAUAAAAAUUUGCAAACCGCUGCAAAUCUUCCUUCUUCCCCUCCCCCACAAAUCUUCCCAGUCCAUCAAAAAGAAAAUUAGGAGAUGCCCGGAUGAAGUCCUGGCUACAAGAGAUUUUAUUAUAUAUAGCCAAAACAUACACUUCAAUUUCAAAAAUAUCCCUUUUUAUAAAGGGAAGUGUUAUUGACACUUCAAAAUUCUCAUUUUACACUCCUCACAAGUGUAUUUUUCUUUUCUAAUAUAGAAAGUUUGGAGUGUAGAAUGAGAUUUUUGGAGUGCUAAUAACAAUUUCCUUUAUAAAAAUGUCAAUUAUAACAAAAAAAGGACUUGAAUAGAAUCAAAUGGCCAUAACAUUAAAACCAACUUACACUACAACAAAAAUCCUUGACACUAUGUUUGGACGAGGGAAAUAAACUUGGAAUUUGGAUAAAAGUCAGAAUUUAUAAAUUGACAUGCACCAAUUCGGGAUUGGUCAAGUAUGGUACAGACAGUGCUCCCCUAAGUUCCCGAGUGAGGGAAGCUCCUCGAUUGGGGACUUGCAAGAUCCAAGCCGCUGAGUAAUCACGAAACUUCUAAGUACCGAAGUGUGGUAUUGUUUUCACUUGCCUUAUCUGUCUCAUAGGUAGAUGUGGCAUCUUCUCUGGAAGUACUUUUCCUCCAUCUAGAGGUGGUAUCUUUAACAGGUGGAGAUGCACAAGGUAAUGUAUCAAUUUCGCUUGAAGCUUACUUGUAGUUUUAGGCUUGGUCAAGCGCGAUACAAACCAUAUAGUAAGAGUCCCCUAAGUCGCCGAGCUAGGAGAUCUGCCAAAAGAGGUGACAGACAAGGUUAGCAAUCAGAGCUCCCAGCAAUUAGUCCCAGAGCAGAAGUUUGAUUUCGAGUUCCGGCUGAUUGUUCUCAUUCUCCCUAUCUUGCAGGCAGCAGGAAUGAUAAAAAGAAGAAAAAUGAGAAGAGAUGAUAUGAGAUACUUUUACUUUUGAAGAAGUAACUUUCCACAUGCUUAUUCUUGAACUCGGCUGGAGGGUUUUCUGGUUUCCUCCAGGGUAAGGCCGACUCAAGAAUUUGAGGGUCAAAACAAGUCCAUCAAAUCAAGAAUGCGUUCGACCUUGAUGAUAUGGGAUACUUUGGCUGUUGACAAAGUAAUAGAUGAAUCGGCACGUGUUCUGUUGUGCUUGUCUCCACAUGCUUCCUUAUAUCCUUCUCACUUGCCCUAUAUGUUCCUCAGGCAGAUGUGAUAUCUUUUCUGGAAGCAUAAGAUGUUGAAGAUGAGUACUCGAGAGUAAUGCUAGGUAAGUAAUCAGGCAGGGAGUUCCAGGCAGUCAGUUCCUGACUGGAAGCUUGAUUUCAGGCGCUAACUGAUUGCUCUCUUCUCCUUGUUUUGCAGGUAAGAACAAGGGUAAAGGAAAAGACAGGGAAAAAGCAUGAUAUGGGAUACUCUUGCUUUUAACCCUGAUGAUAUGAGAUACUCUUGCUCUGGUGUGGCUUGUUUGCAGAGGUAUUAUCAGGGGAAAAAGAAGCUGAGUAUUUCGAGAGACUCUGCAGAGACUUUGCAGGUCUGCCUGGGUGUGGAGGAUAAAGGUCGACAUAUAUAGGAAUUGUCCCAACAGCGAGUAGUAACGAUGUUCCUGUACCCUUCUCGGUCAUAGUGGGAGCUGCAAGAUUCACGUGUUUUAACUUUGUCAGAGCACUUUGAAAAAGUGGUCUGUGGUAUUUGGAAAGCUGAUGUUGCGUGUGAAGAUUGCAGACAAGCUUUAUCCAAGGAAAUAUGGCUCUCGAAGUUCGAAGAGCGGUGCUUCUUCGGUUUUUGAACAAGCAAUCUUGUCGGGGAUCUGGCUCUCGAGAUCUGGAGAACGGUGCCUCUUCGAUUUUUGAGAAAGCAAUCCUGAUGGGAGUCUGGCUUUUGAGAUUCGGAUAGCGGUGCCUUUUCGAUUUUUGAGAAAGUAAUGGUGGUGGGAGUCUGGCUCUCGAGAUUCAGAGAGCAGUGCCUCUUCGAUUUUUGAGAAAACAAUCCUGGUGGGAGUCUGGCUCUCGAGAUUCCGAGAGUGGUGUCUCUUUGAUUUUUGAGCAAGUAAUCCUGUUGGGAGUGUUUUCUCGAUGUGAGUAAAGGUUGGGCAUUUUUGCCAGUCUGCCUUGCCACGGAGCACAGAGGUUGACACACAUGGGAACUUUCCAGUUAUCAAGCAGUGGUGCUGUUCCUUUACCCUUGUGGGUAAUGGUAGGGUAGCUGGACCUUCAAAAUUUAUGUGUCUAAACUUUGUCAGAGAUCUUUGGCAAAGUUAUCUGUGGUACCCGAAGAGCUAAUGUUGCGUGUGAGGAUUGUCGACAUAUUUUACUUAGGAAAAUCUGCUUCUCGAAAUCCGGAGAGUGGUGUCUCUUCGAUUUUUGAACAAACGGCCAUGCUACCCUUUCUUUUAUAGGGGCACCAAUUGUGUGCAAGAAGUACGUUCAGAGAGUUAUUACUUGUAGGAAUUUUCCCCUUGUUUUUGUACUUUAGAGAUUUAUUAGACCUCAUUUCUCCUUCAUCAUUUCUGAAAAUGUCUGGCCCAUCCGACCUUCGUUUUGACUUGAACUUUGGCGAAGAGGCAACCAUGCCUCCUCAAGAUAACAUAUGGAGCCCAUCUUUCUUAUCCCCUACUGGUCUUCUUACCGUUGGGGACUCUGUGAUGAAGAAUGAUAUGACCGCUGCGAUGGUGGCCAGGAACCUUCUUACUCCCAAAGAUAACAGACUACUUUCCAAACAGUCUGAUGAGUUGGUUGUUAAGGAUUCUUUGGUUCUCAGUGUUCAGUGUGCAGGUUUUGUGUCUAAUAUAGCCCAACGUCUAUUUUCUCGAACCCGCCAAGUUGAAUCAUUGGCGGCUGAAGUGAUAAGUUUCAAACAGGAGAUUAGAGGGCUUAAGCAUGAGAAUAAACAGUUGCACAUGCUCGCACAUAACUAUGCUACAAAUAUGAAGAGGAAGCUUGACCAGCUGCAGGAAUCUGAUGGUCAGAUUUUACUUGAUCAUCAGAGGUUUGUGGGUUUGUUCCAAAGGCAUUUAUUGCCUUCGUCUUCUUGGGCUGUACCGUGUAAUGAAACUUCAAAUGAUCAACCUCCGGUGCCUCCUCCUUCUGGGGAUCUGCCCAGUACUGGGCUCCGAAUGAUCACCCUCUGGUGCCUUAUCUUUCUGGGGCUCUGCCGACUGUUGAGACUUCUCCUGAGCAACUUUUGUGAAGGCUCCUUCUUGUUUGUUUAUUUUGAUUCAUGUAUAUGUACAUAUUUGUAACUUAUCGGAGAUAUCAAUAAAUAAGCUUUGCUUCAUUUCAACGUAUUGUGUUAAAUACACCAAAGCCUUCUUCACUAAGUUCUUUGAAUUUUUUUUUCUUUUGUUGAAGCUUGUAUGUUGAAGCUUUAUAAGUGAAGCAUGUAGGUUGAGGUAGUGCUCCCUUAAUUUCCCGAGUGAGGAAAACUUCUCGGUUGGAGACUUGAAAGAUCCAAGUCACUGAGUAGUCGUGAACCUUCCAAGUACCGAGGUGUAGUAGUAUAUGGUAGGAGUCCCCCAAGUCUCCGGUCGAGGGAGUUUACGAAGGAGGUGUUUUGCUAGUAGCCAAGUUUCGAAAGUAACAAAACUUCACCAUUUUCCUUUCUAAGUGGUAGCCCAAAACUCCUCCUUCAUAUAUAUAUUUGUUAUGAAAGUUGUUAGGCCUAAAGAAGAGGAGGCCUAGACCUUUUUUUUUCGAUUUUUUUUUUGAAUUUUUGAAUUUCCGAAUAUAUAUAUAUAUAUAUAUAUAUAUAUAUAUAUAUAUAUAUAUUAAGCUUUAUAGGUGAAGAUUUGUAGGUGAAGCUUUGAGGUUGAAGCUUUGUUGGGUACCAUGAAUUGAUUUUGCUUCACACUAUCUUGAUCAAGAGUGUGUGAAGCUUUUGGCAUUUGUAGUUGAAGCUUUGGUGCUGAAGCUUUGUAGGUGAAGCUUUUGUGUUGAAGCUUUGUAGGUGAAGUUUUUGUGUUGAAGCUUUGGAGUUGAAGCUUUUGUAGGUGAAGCUUUGUAGGUGAAGCUUUUGUGUUGAAGCUUUGUAGGUGAAGCGCUUUGGAGUUGAAACUUUUGUAGGUGAAGCUUUGGAGUUGAAGCUUUUGUAGGUGAAGCUUUGGAGUUGAAGCUUUGGAGUUGAAGCUUUGUAGGUGAAGCUUUGGAGUUGAAGCUUUGUAGGUGAAGCUUUGGAGUUGAAGCUUUGUAGGUGAAGCUUUUGUGUUGAAGCUUUGUAGGUGAAGCUUUUGUGUUGAAGCUUUGUAGGUGAAGCUUUGGAGUUGAAACUUUUGUAGGUGAAGCUUUGGAGUUGAAGCUUUGUAGGUGAAGCUUUUGUGUUGAAACUUUGUAGGUGAAGCUUUGUAGGUGAAACUUUGGAGUUGAAGCUUUUGUAGGUGAAGCUUUGGAGUUGAAGCUUUGUAGGUGAAGCUUUAUAGGUGAAGCUUUUGUGUUGAAACGUUGUAGGUGAAGCUUUGGUGUUGAAGCUUUUGUUGGCACCAUAAAUUGGUUUUGCUUCACAUUGUUUUGAUCAAGAGUGUGUGAAGCUUUUGAGAAUGUAGUUGCCCUUCAUUGAUGAAGCUUUUGUUAGCACCAUAAAUUGGUUUUGCUUCACACUGUCUUGAUCAAGAGUGUGAAGCUUUUGAGAAUUGUGGUUGAACUCCUUUGAUGAAGCUUUUGUUGGCACCAUAAAUUGGUUUUACUUCACACUGUCUUGAUCAAGAGUGUGUGAAGCUUUUGAGAAUUGUAGUUGUCCUUCAUUGAUGAAGCUUUUGAUUUCCACCAUAAAUUAGUUUUGCUUCACACUAUCUUGAUCAAGAGUGUGUGAAGCCUUUGAGGAUUGUAGUUGCCCUCCAUUGAUGAAGAUUUUGAUUUCCACCAUAAAUUGGUUUUGCUUCACACUAUCUUGAUCAAGAGUGUGUGAAGAUUUUGAGAAUUUGUAGUUGUCCUCCAUUGAUGAAGCUUUGUUGAAUUUCCCAAUUUUUUUUUUUUUUGGGAAACUAGAAAUUUGAAAAUGUGGGAGAGACAACGUAUACAAAUUUUGCUUCCACACUGUUGAGUAAGAGAUUGUGAUGCAAUCCACACCUUGUAGUAGUCGAAGGUUUGGAUGAACUAUAUAAAUUGAAUUUGCUUCGAACAAUCUUGAUCAAAAGUGUGUGAAGCUUCCUAUGAGUUAGAGUGUUUGCAUUGUUAUAGAGGAGAAAUGUCUGAAGCAGAUGCAAGGGGGCUGAAGAGCUUGAUCUUCGUAUACCAUGCACUGAAGCCGUUGUUGGCUUGCAAUAAGACUUUGUUGGUGACUAUAACUCUUGUUAGGCAUAAGUGCUCCCCUAGUUGAGUUGUAAAGCUUGAGGGUUUUUGAUUAUUUGUGAAUGCUAGGAGUUCACAUGUAUAAGUUGUACCACUCGUCUUAUGGUUGGUGGAAUGAAUGGUGGGUUGCUUUCAUCACUUGGUUGGUGGUACGAAGGUGAGUUCCUUCAUCACCUUUCAUCGUUCCUUAUUCACAUUUCAUCACCUGGUUAGUGGCAUAAAUGAGAGUACGGGUUGUACAUUUCAUCACCUGGUUGGUGGCAUGAAGAUGAGUUCCUUCUUCACCUGAUUGGUGAUAAGAGUGGCAAGUUGCAAAAUAAUAUUAGAGUACGGGUUGUACAUUUCAUCACCUGGUUGGUGGCAUGAAGGAGAGUACGGGUUGUACAUUUCAUCACCUGGUUGGCGGCAUGAUGAUGAGUUCCUUCUUCACCUGGUUGGUGAUAAAAGUGGCAAGUUGCCAAAUAAUAUUAGAGUACGGGUUGUACAUUUCAUCACCUGGUUGGUGGCACGAAGGUAAGUUCCUUCUUCACCUGGUUGGUGAUAAGAGUGGCAAGUUGCCAAAUAAUAUUAGAGUACGGUUGUACAUUUCAUCACCUGGUUGGUGGCAUGAAGAAGACUACGGGUUGUACAUUUCAUCACCUAGUUGGUGGCACGAAGAUGAGUUCCUUCAUCACCUAGUUGGUGAGAAUAAGGGCAAGGUGUCGAGGCACAUUGUAGCAAGUGUCGAAUGACACAAAAUGUGUUGAACCCUUUUGAAGCACAAUUGGCUUAUGUAUGGAUGUGUUGGAAUGUAUGAUGUUAAUGUAUGAAUGUGUUGGAAUGUAUGAUGUUUAUGUUGAUUGACAUGAGUGAUGCUUAUGAAUGUUUUGCUAUGCAUGAAGGGAUCCAUGCUUUCGAUAUGUGAACCAUGUUGGUUGUAACACUUAGUAUCACAUACUUUGUGUCAAAGUACGCAUGUUGAAGCUCUGAGUUGGAUUAUAGAGGUAGGUCAACGUAGACCAAGUAUUCCAGUGCUAGGAAUGCAAAAGACUCAGAAGAAGUUGUCUGAAUUCCCUCGUCUUUAAAUAUUUUCCGAAUGGCUUAUGUGACAAAAGAUCUCAAGCGGUUGAGGGUCAAAACAUUUGCAAUGUGUAUGCCUUCUUAUAAUAGCAUUUCCUUCAAUACCUAGUUCUCCACUUUGAAAGAGUGAGGCUUGGCCUCAUAGUCAUAAUAGUCAACGGUACGUUCACCCCUAAUUUCUUGGUACGAAAUUUUAUCCCUCUUGUUGUAAUGGGCUUGCUGAAAGUAAAAAUCAUUCAUUUUACCAAGAGACAAAUACGUUUGGAGACUUAGCAAGUAGCUAAAUGAGGCAGGAGAUGAUGCAAUGGGUGUCCGAAUGGCCAAGAUCUCCUCACUUGGUAGAACUUGACUUCCAUUUCCCACUUCUUGAUAGGCGUUAACCAUAUGGGGGUUCCCUUGGUAUGUCCUUGCUUUAGCUGAGGCGUGGUUGUAAGCUUGUGCCAUCACCUCAGAGUAAGUCUUCCAAGUGUUGGCAUUGAUCAUGUACUUGAAGAAACAAUCAUGUAGGCCUGCUGUGAAGGCUUUGAGGGUGGUCUUGUCAUCUGCCUCAGCGCAGCGAGAAUACUCAUGGCUGAAGCGACCAGCAUGAGUUCGUAAUGACUCGUCCAGCUUCUGGUGAAUAGUGUACAAGUCAUCUACAGAAUGUAAGCGAUCGUUCUGGAAGAUGUGUUGAGAGACAAACAGUAUCCUUAGUUCCUUAAACGAGUCUACUGUCUCGGGUGGAAGACGACAAUACCAGUUUAGAGCUCCAUCAGAGAGGGUGGAAGGGAAGAGAAGACAUCGCUCUUCGUCGGCGUGCAUCCGAUAUGCCAUGGUGGACUCAAAGAGGUUAAUGUGUUCAAUCAGGUCCUCCCUUUCAGUAUAGAGUUGUAAACCAAGCUUUUGUUUUGUCUUCGCUUGAAUGGGGUGUCAAGGAUCCUCUUUGUAAGAGGGUCAGGCCUGGGUUGGUUCCAGUCAGGUAUCUCAGCCUGAUGUUCGGCCUUCAACUUGUUUACUUCCUCAAGGAGUUGUAGGAUAAGGGGAUCCUGAGUGGAGUCAUGUACCACUGAAAUUUUCUUUCGUAAGUCUUCAUCGCCUCUUGGAAGUAGGAAAGUUUGAGCAAGAGCGUGUGGUUUUUCCUUGGACUCGCCGUACUGACUUCUAGGGCAAGUCUGUCGGAAUACCUCCGAGUCCCCUGUACCUUCAUGUUCCUCUGGGACAUGUCGUUCCUUAGAUUGACAGUUGGCCUAGGUCGUGGAAGGGGACCGAAUCUUUCAGAAACCCUUAGGUCAUUGAUCUUCGAGCAUAUGUGGAGGCGAUUCUCUCGACGUUGCUUUAGGAAGUCUCGGCAGUCACGAUAAACGGCUUUAGAUCCUGCCAACCCUUCUGCAAGAAAGUGUCUUCCUCCACUUCUCCUGCUUCGAGUCGAAGCAGCUGGGUUGAGAGAAGUCUCAUGUUGAUCAAUGUUUUGAUGAUUAGCUCGCUCCUCAUCAGGGAUACCCAUGUCGAUGUAAAGUGACCCUCCGUGUUGGGGGGCACCCAGAUGAUGGUUGAUGUCCACAGGGGUAACGAGCUCGCGUGUUUGAGUACGCCUAGUUUCGUAGAGCGUCUCAAAGAGCUUCUCAUACUGCUCCUGGAGGACCUCAUUCUUUAUUGCUAUCUUGUUGUUCUGAGCUUCUAGCUCAUCGACUUUAGCUUGAAGAGCAACCCUAUUUCCUUCAUUCUUUUGUUGUUUCGCACUAGGUGCACGAGGGGUGUCAUUCUGCGUGCUGUGGAUUCCUUCGCUCCCCAUGUUGGAGAGAGAUGCCUAGUCAAAAGAGUGUACAAAUGGUGGAAACCAGCUUGACAAAGCUAAAGAGAGUGGGAAUAAGUGCGAUUCCCACAGACGGCGCCAAAUGUUAAUGAAGAAAAUCAGUGAGGAUUUUGGUACAACAAAAAAUGUUAAGUUUGUGACCUUCGCUAUUGCUCCGGUCACUAGGGUGGAAAAGUAUGUAAAUGGAUAGAGACUGGGAAGCAAACACAAGAUGUACGUGGUUCACCCAGAUUGGCUACGUCCACGGAGUAGAUGAGUUCUCAUUAAUUAUGAAGGGUUUACACAAGUACAUAGGUUCUAGCUCUCCUUUACUGAGUACUAGUGAAUGAUUUAGUACAAAUGACAUUAGGAAAUAUUGUGAGAGAAUGAUCUCCUUUUAUAGAAGAGAGUUUCUAGCUUUGUUCUGACAUUGACACGUGUCGUGUUGUGAUUGGCUUCUGAUGUUGACACGUGUCGCGCUAUGAUUGGCUUCUAAUGUCGACACGUGUCGCAUUGUGAUUGGCCUUCUGGUUGGAGGGAAACUCUUCCGGGUCCUUGACGGUAUAACAUUGACCGGUGCUCAGUAGUUUCGAGAUUGGUCAAGUAUGGUACAAACAAACAUCACAAGGAAAAUAUGCAUUAGGAAAACCUAACCUUCAAACCAUGUAUGUGGAAAUUCAUAAGUGAUUGGUAAAAUUACAUAGGAUUGUUAGCGGUGACGGCUAAACCCUAAUCUUUCCCUAAAUUGAUUUUAAUUUAAAAACAUUUUUUUCCUUUCCUGCUUUUAUUUUCAAACUUCUAAAUUUCUGUUAUUGUUAAUUUAAUAUUUUCGAACUCAAAAUUCUCAAAUCUUUGAUAAAAAUCUGUUUUAAUAAUUAAUUAAGAGUUAGAUUAAUUACUGUGGAUGCAAAUUUCUUCCUCCUUGAUCUUGGACAAUUUUGCACCUACAAAACAAUUAACACCUUAGGUUAAGGCCAAGAGCCUCACGCGCCCACGAUGAAUGGGAGGGCUUUGGCAUAAGAACCUCCGAUGCCAAAGUUAGAAUUUAGAGAGAAAGAGUGUUUAGAGAAUUUUGGGAUUUUUGCCAAAGUGUUGGAAUUAGCUUUUUGGUGAGAAUGGGAGUAUAUUUAUAGGGAUAGGAGGUGGCUAGGGUUUUUAGGUUUAAUUUAGGUUUAAUUAGCCAAUUUAUUUGGCUAUUAAACAUAAGAUGAAUGUUUUGGUGGUUUUUGAAUUUAUUGGGUAAUAAAAAGGAAGAAAUGGUGAAAAAGGUAGAAAAAGUGAUGGAUUAGGUUUUGAAAUGGGGAUAGCCGGCCAUGUGGUGUUUUAGGGUUGAAUUGGAUGUAUUUUGUAGUUAUUUGGAUAUAAUGGAUGGUUUAAUUGACAAUUAAUGGGUUAAUUAGGCAAUAAACCCAUUAAUUAGCCAAUUAACAUAAUUUAAAAGGAAUGUGUUUGGGAAUUACCUUGUAGAAAGGAUUUGAUGAGAUGGACUUUGAAUUGUUACCUAUUUAGGGCAAUUCUGUCUUGGUUGAAAGAGGGUUGCCCGCUGCUUGCGCGUAGGAACCUCGUUGUACUGCAAGGGUAUUUUUGUCAUUUUUGUCCAAAAAUCCACGUGUCGCCCUGUGAAUAUUUUUGGCUCCACAAAUGUCCCCACACCUGUUGGGCUGCUCGCAGAAAAGGGCAGCAGGUGUAGAGAUCUUCUUGCUUUAGGAAACUUAGGACUGCUUCCUAUUUUGAUGUAGAUUCUCUCUUUAAUAGGAAAUUAGAUCCUUCUAGGAAAGGGAAAUAAAUUUCUCUCAAAGCCUAUUUAAAUCCACCUUAAGUGGGUUAUUAAAUCAACUUUGGAGAGCGAUUUAUUCUACCCUACAAGAGAGAGAUAGCUUAGAGGAUAUUUGUUCCCCCUCCUCUAGCAAUCUUCUACAUCUUACCCGUGCAAAGGACCGUCUUUCGUUGAUUUCUUCGUCUUCUUCGUGGAUAGUGCUACCGCGGGGCAGCCGUCGGGGUGGUGCGGCACGUCGGCUGGCAUGGGCCAGGAGUCGACUCGGCAUGGGCCGAUGAGGUAUUGUGGCAGGGACCACUGCUUUAAGCUGCUCGACUUGGCUAGAACCAAGGGCAGCUUGUGUGGCUGGGACCUCGGAUUGUGGCACUGGGGCGCAGUGUUAGGCAAGUCACAUGGCUCAUGUCUUUUUAGGCUUUUGGACAUGACUCGAGCUAGGCUGGUGAUUGAGAGAAAUGAAGAGGUUGCGAACCUCAUGAACUGCUGGAAUGUUGGGUUGAACUUCCCUGCUAGGUACCACGAAUGACGUUGGCUACUUUAACUCUUUUCGUCAGGAGAAACGUGGGCUGUUCCCAAAAGAUGAGGGGAAUAGGAUCAAAGCGGAUGCACUGGCUCGUCCAAUCACUGUUGUGGAUCCUGCUGCAAGUGAAGGUGGGAAAAUGGAUCUUCUCUGCUUGCUCAAGAGAUGCCGGCUGAGAAAAAACCAAAGACUUCUUUCGCUGCUCAUGAGGGUCUGUUUGCUACCAAGAGGUAUGUGAUUGACAUGACUUCUUCCAAUGGGAAGAAAUGUAAGGCUGCUAGAUCUGAGCAUGUGGCGUCUUCCAUAUUGAGAAUGGCUAGUACAAUUGUGGAUAAGAUUUACUCAGCGUAAAGGUUUUAUCAUGCCCCCAGUGCCGAAGUCUGUACCAGGACGUUCUUUGGGAGCCAAGUCCGGUUCACCUUUGUAGAGACUUGCUAUUAUGAAGAGUGGUAAGGUGGACUCUGCUGCUAAAGUGGCGCCAAAGCCUGCUCCCUUUGCUGCUGAGAUUGAUUCGCCUCAGAUUCAAGAUCUUAAGCUUGCAAUUUCUGAGUUUCGUUUCGCUACUUAUGCUAAGAAGAGAGCGGAUGAGCUGCAGCACGUCCGUGUUAGUCUACUUAAGAAGAAUGAGCAACUGAAGGGUGAGAAGGAUGGGCUUGAGGUUUUAAGACCUUCUCUAUUUCUCCGGAAGACUUGCUUGCUUUUACUUUUAAGGCUUCCAUUGGUGAAGUAGUUGGAGAAGUUAGUGCCCAGACUGGGGCAGCCAGGGGUGAAGCGUCGGAUGAUGCCGCUGCUAAGAGCGUUACGGCUGUUGAAGGUGUGGCGACCAAGUAGUCGUGGGAUGUCCAAGCUGCUGUAGUGUAGUAUUUUAGGUAGCCUUUAGGAUUUUCUUUGUUUUUCCUUGUAGCUUUUGUUUUGCUUGAACUCCUUCGGCCUUUGCUAGUUGUUUAUAAACAUGUUUUCCUUCAUUUUUCUUCAUAUUCAUUUCUUUUGUUCAUGCCCUAACCUUUAGACUUGAUAGACCAGUGGCAGGCAUGCUACUUUUUUAUAAGCAGACAAACUCGCGUAGCCUAUGCAGCCGUAGGUGUUGGUGUAGAACUUUGCAAAGUUGUUAGCCAUAGGGUUGGCAGCCGGAUGCCUUACUUACAGAAGCAGACAAGUCCGCGUAACCACUAGGCUGUUAACCUUGACUUUCUUCAAUUCCGUAGGUUGCGUAGCAAGUAUCACAACACUUUAGGACUUGGUGUAGGUUGUUCCGCGCUUGGCAGAGGUGAAGCUUAUCAACUACGUAGCAUGUCGGCAGUGGAUAAAACUUCGUAUAUGCGCGCUAGCUUGUUUAACCGUUCACAAGAAUGUGCGGUUGUAUAAGUCUAGUGCGGCUUCACUGCUCGAAAGGCAAGCCGUAGGCAGUCUUCCGGAAUCCGUAGGCCCUUAGUGCACUCGGUAGCAGCUUUAGGAUUCCAGGGCAGCCGUCCAUCGGAUGUACUGCGUAAUGUGCCCUCUCCGUCUCUAGGGCCCGGUUCCCCACGGAUUAGGCCAAGAGACCCAAAAUCCUUCAGUUAGCUAAGCCUUGAAAAAGACCAUUGUGGCUACUUCUAGGAAUCCCGGCGCAAGCCAUCGUGCAUCUAGUUAUACUAGGGCAGCCAGGCUCAUCCACGUCUGGAUAUUCGGAGUGUAAAGUUUAUCUUCCCGUCUUGGAGAGCUGACCCAUAUGGGUGUCGGAGAAUUGGUUUACCCUCUCGCACUGGAGAGCAUGGUUGGUCCCUCGGGGGGCGCAAUUCCUGCUAUGAGUCCCUAAGAAGGGCGCAGUCUUCUUUUGAAGUGCAUGAGUGAUUAGUUGUUGUAAGCAUGCAGCCAAGCCAAGUUGUGAUUACUUCUAAAUCCUCAUUGAAAAACGAGUGAAACGAACGAGAACUUUAGCUGUAAGGUAGGAACUGCAUAACAACUGGAUAGUCCUCAGCUUGUGAGGUGGUGCCCGUCGAGCUUAUUGAGUCUUCGGGUUUUGAUGUAGCGGGAGGUCACACAUGGUACUUUUUCAGAUUGUAGGUCAUCCAUUUAUUAUCAAUCUUUUUACCGUUUCAUAGUGGUGAGGGUGUAAUUACUCUUGCCCCUUACUCUGCUGAUCUUGUACGGACCUUCCCAGAUGGGAUCCAUCUUUUUGGAGCCUUCUCUGCUGGCAGUGAUGAAGGCUUUUCUGCGUCGUCGACAUGCAAAUGCCAGAAGUCUCCAUCGGGUGGAGUAGGCGCAGCUAGAGUGUGCUCGGCUACUUCUGAGGCAUCGUUGGGCCGCUCUGUUGCGUCACCUAGGCUCGGCGUGAAGACGCAGUAGGGAGCUGUGGAGAUGGGGCCAUGUCAUACGCAACAGGAGAUGCUCAACUACCGGUAUUGGGCCACUCUAGAGUUGAAUCAUUGAGCAAGGGUCGGCUAGGGCCGUGUGAUGCGCAGCAAGAAAUGGUACUCAACUGCCGGUACAUGUUGCUCCUAUGUAGAAUCUUUUAGGGUGACGAGGACAAAACUUGCUUUCGAGUGUGUCCUUCCAGUGUUGCGUUCGUCAGAAAACUUUACAUCCGUCAGGGUCUACGCCUUUAUCGUCGCGCGUCUGGAUUGGGCAGAAUAGUACGUCAUUAGGAUGAUUGCAUGCGUUUGAAAGUAAAACUUGUGCUUCUGGGUUGCAACAACUAUCGCCAAAGUUAGCUUUUGAAUUUUUAAUAACAUCGAGGAGAGCUUUUGAAUUGUAGAAUACAGGUAACUGUGGAAUACAGGUAGUCGGGCCCCCAUCUCUUCUCGCAUGAUGGUAGAGCUUAUUGCUACUUUAGAUACCGUCAAACAUGUGAAUAAGUCCUCCGCUGCUUCUAGGGAGGUGAUGUCGGGUACUUCUUCAAGUCCUUGAAUGUGCAUUGGCGAGCCUCAUCCCAAAGUGCAUACUUCUCUGCCAAAGCAAAAGAGUCUGCCAGAGUUAGAUCUUCUUUCAUGAUCAAUUUUCUGAAUAGCGGGUGGUCUGCUGGAAGUCCUUUUUGGAAGGCUGCUCUAGCUAUCGAGUCGUUGCAUCCGACUAUUUUUGCCUUCUCUACUUUGAACAUCCUCACAUAGUCGCGAAGUGACUCCUUUGGGUUCUUCUUGACGUUGAACAAAUGAUCAGAUUUCUUUUUGAUCGAGCGAUAAGAUGAAUAUUUUUUGGUGAAAACCAAAGAAAGUUCGUAGAAAUUCCGGAUGGAUUGUGGCGGCAGGGUGUAGAACCAAUCUUGCGCCUCGCCUUGUAGAGUGGUGGCGAAUAUCUUGCACAUAAGCUCAUCGUUGUUUCGAUAAAGGAUCAUUGCGCUUCGGUAGUGCUUUAAGUGUCUCUCCGGGUCUUUAUCCCCUUUGAAAGAUGUGAAAUGUGGCAUGCUGAACUCUCGUGGAGGCUCUGCCUGCUCGAUCUCGUCCGUGAAGGGUGACCUGCUUAUGUUGGUCAUGUUCCAUCGUAGUGCCUCGUCGGUGACCUCGUUGCGUUGGAAAUCAUGCAAUCGCUUGGUCAAGAGUCUCUCUACUUCUUCCUGAAUUUGCCUUUGUUGGGGUAGCGGAGCUCUCGGCUGCCCACAGCCAUAACUUGCUGGUCUAGACUGCUCUUCCAUGUGUUUGGCUCGUCUACGCCGCAGAUGCAGUGCAUGUGGUGCGUUCCUAGCAGGCGAGCGAGUUCUUCGCAGGCUGCUGGUUGAACUUGAGCUGGAUUGAGUGACUGCCUCUCUCCGUCUGUCGUGCUGCCUACUCUGAUGUGAGGUGGAUGAUGCUCCUUGUGGGCUUAGCUGCGAAUGAACACUUUGUCCGGAAGGUUGCUCAUGUUAACUAUCGGAGUGUGACCCCAACCGUGAAUGUAUGCUCAUCCGUGGGCCUAGUCGAGAGUACACGUUCAUCCGUGCGCUAAGACGGGAGUAUACACUAUCUCGGGGGCCCAAUCGGGAAUGUACAUUGUCUGAACGUUCGGCUCGUGGCUGGUUGAAUGGCUGCUUGCCGAGACGCUGCUGGAAAGGUUCAUCUGCCCUUGUCCUACUUCGGGAUACCUCGUCCGGGGCAUGUUGGAUCCCGAUGCGUUGCAAAAGUUGAUUCACCAAAGUUGUCUGUUGUGCAAGGGCGCUCGUCAACUCUAUGACUUGUCGAGACAAGUGUUGUUCGCCAUUUGGAUUGGAAGAGCUUGGAAGGAAUGCGCCUCCUUGGGCAGUGGAAAUGUGGUAGACUCCGGGCGCGAGAUUUGAAUUGGGAAAUGUCAAAUCCGCGAAAAAAUAUGGUGAGAAUGCCCCCGGCUCGAUGGUAGGUCUGGAUGGUUGAGAUAGUCUUGGGUCGACUUGGGCUGCUUGGAAAGCCACUGGAGCAUGAUGAGCCGUGAGAGUGGGCUGCUCGUCGGGAGCAGGCUGGGUCACGAGAGCAGGCUGCUCGGCAGGAGCAGGUUGGGCCGUGAGAGUGGGCUGCUCGACGGAAGCAGGCUGAACCACGGGAGUGAGUUGCUCGUCGGGAGCAGGCUGGGUCACGAGAGCAGGCUGGGCCACAGGAGUGGGCUGCUCGACGGAAACAGGCUGGACCACGGGAGUGGGUUGCUCGUCGGGAGCAGGUUGGGUCACGAGAGCAGACUGCUUGGCAGGAGCAGGCUGGGCCACGGGAGUGGGCUGCUUGGCAGGAGUAGGCUGGGCCACCGGAGUGGGCUGCUUGACGAAAGCAGGCUGGGCCACGGGAGUGGGCUGCUCGUCGGGAACAGGCUGGGUCACGAGAGCAGGCUGCUCGGCAGGAGCAGGUUGGGCCGUGAGAGUGGGUUGCUUGACAGGAGCAGGCUGGAUCACGGGAGCAGGCUGCUCAAUGCGCAGUGCAUGUGAAUGCGAGGCUUGGGCUUGGGUCCACGUAAACUUAGAUGGCACGGCUUGGAUCGUGGUCUUGGUACCGUGAGCCUUGGAUGGCAUGGCUCGGGCCGUGGUGAAGGCUUCAUGGACCUCGCCACGAGUGGCUACCGAAGUAGCCACCGCGGUGGUUCCCAUGGUGGCCGUGGUGAAGGCACCAUGGACCUCGCCGCGGGUAGCUACCGAGGUAGCCACCACGGUGGUUCCCAUGGUAGAAUCUUGUGGUGAUGAUGUCGCUCCCCUUAUUGUCGCAUUUUGCCUCACGGAUCUCCGGGCCGUGGUGAAGGCUCCAUGGACCUCGCCACGAGUGGCUACCGAAGUAGCCACCGAGGUGGUUCCCAUGGUGGCCGUGGUGAAGGCACCAUGGACCUCGCCGCGGGUGGCUAUCGAGGUAGCCACCACGGUGGUUCCCAUGGUGGAAGCUCGUGAUGAUGAUGCCGCUCCCCUUAUUGUCGCAUUUAGCCUCACGGAUCUCCGCAAUCCCAUUUCUUGAACAUUAGAAUUUUCACUUGUGGAAUUUUCUAAAUUUCUAGCCAUUAUAUUUUGCUUAUACGUUUUAUCAAAGAACCUUUGCAAGUAAAAAAUUCUAAUAAUAAGAACGUAUGAAAAAUAUUCAAAUGGACUAGAAAAUAAAGAAAAAACCUUUUUGUGCGAGAGUCUUCUACGAGUAUGAAUUUCAACUCUCAAUGAAAGCACCAAUUUGUGGAUGCAAAUUUCUUCCUCCUUGAUCUUGGACAAUUUUGCACCUACAAAACAAUUAACACCUUAGGUUAAGGCCAAGAGCCUCACGCGCCCACGAUGAAUGGGGGGGCUUUGGCAUAAGAACCUCCGAUGCCAAAGUUAGAAUUUAGAGAGAAAGAGUGUUUAGAGAAUUUUGGGAUUUUUGCCAAAGUGUUGGAAUUAGCUUUUUGGUGAGAAUGGGAGUAUAUUUAUAGGGAUAGGAGGUGGCUAGGGUUUUUAGGUUUAAUUUAGGUUUAAUUAGCCAAUUUAUUUGGCUAUUAAACAUAAGAUGAAUGUUUUGGUGGUUUUUGAAUUUAUUGGGUAAUAAAAAGGAAGAAAUGGUGAAAAAUGUAGAAAAAAGUGAUGGAUUAGGUUUUGAAAUGGGGAUAGCCGGCCAUGUGGUGUUUUAGGGUUGAAUUGGAUGUAUUUUGUAGUUAUUUGGAUAUAAUGGAUGGUUUAAUUGACAAUUAAUGGGUUAAUUAGGCAAUAAACCCAUUAAUUAGCCAAUUAACAUAAUUUAAAAGGAAUGUGUUUGAGAAUUACCUUGUAGAAAGGAUUUGAUGAGAUGGACUUUGAAUUGUUACCUAUUUAGGGCACUUCUGUCUUGGUUGAAAGAGGGUUGCCCGCUGCUUGCGCGUAGGAACCUCGUUGUACUGCAAGGGUAUUUUUGUCAUUUUUGUCCAAAAAUCCACGUGUCGCCCUGUGAAUAUUUUUGGCUCCACAAUUACGAAUUAGUCAAAUAAUCUUCGGGAACAACGACCUUGCAUGAGCAAUUAUACUACAACUAAUUGUAUUCUUGCAAGUAUUUUCAAUGAUUUUAACUCUAUUUGCGCAGGUAUUAAAAAUUAUAUCCAGGAUAUCUGCCAAAAUUGAAAAGAUAAGUGCUAAUAGACCAAAAGCUUUUUCUUCGAUAAAAGAGAUCCUUAAACUCUAUUUGUAAGCUCCCUCUAUGUUAGAAAUACGCGUGAUUUGAUCUUCUAAACAUUAAUCUUAAUAUAAUAUAAAUAAAAAUGUAUAGAUUCAGCAUGCAUAUAAAUUUAAAUAAAAUAACUAAGAAUGACAUGUCGGUCAUGUGAUGAUUAUCAACAUUUAGAGAUGGAUGGUUUAAUUCAUCUGUAUAUUAUACGAAGUGAUUAUUGAGGAUUAGAGACUUAGUUGUUAACCUCGUUUUAUUUGAUUAAUUAAGUAGCUUUUUCAUUUACUUGGGACAAACAAAAUAAACAAACAACAAACAAAUCCCAUGAAAAACAAAGACAAAACCAAAUCAUGGAUGGAUCAUAAGACCAUCUCUAAUCAUUGGCCUAAACCCCUGGGUUAGGUUGGAUUUGGUUUUUUUUUUUUUUUUUGGGGGGGCGAGGAAUAAAAGGGGAAAAUAGGUUAUAGGUCAGGGUUGGAGAUGGUCUAAAGGAUGGACCACACUUUCCUCCUAUUAGUGGAAGGAUAAUGUUAAGGGCGGAGGGGCGGAAUAAAAGGGGAAAAUAGGUUAUAGGCCAAGGUUGGAGAUGGUCUAAAGGAUGGACCACACUUUCCUCCUAUUAAACCAUCUCCAAUGGUGGCUUAUAACCUAAAAUUCCUCUCCCCGCCCCCCCAAAACCCACUCCAACCCAAAACCUAAACUAAACCUAAAACUUAAAACCUAAAAAGAAGGCAAAUAUCAGCCACAAUUUAGCCCACAAAAUAAAAUGGGACCCACGGGUGAGAGUGAAAAGUGGGCUGUGAAGCCCACACCCCAAAACCCAACUCGCCCCACGCGCCUCACGCGCCCUUUUGUUUCCUGCUGAAGGCCCACCCACGUGAGUUGGAAAAGUGGGCUGUAUUUGUUACUGUAGCCUAACGGCUACUUGUGUUCAUCCAAAUGCCAAUUUAAUUGGACCGUUGGUUAAUCCAACGGUCCACGUUCAACUUUUUUUUAUAUUUAUAUAUUUAUUGAAUCUAACGGCUUAGAUCGAAUAUAAUCAAAUCUAACAGUAAAAAAAAGAUCUAAUGGUCCAAAUUUAAAUCCAACGGCUAAAAUAAUUUUAAAAAAAUAUUUAACUUAAAAUCCAACAGUAAAUCAUGAUUUUCAUGUAUUGAUUUAGUGAUUUUUCAAAAUUUAUCGAAAUUUAAAUAUUUUUAGGUUAAAAUAUUCAUAAAAUUAAUUUAGGAUAGUCUACAUAAUUUUUUUUUUAAAAAAAAGUUAAUUUAAAAAAAAAAAAAGCCUUAAUUCAUUCUUUGAUAAUCUGGGGCUAAAAUUUUAGGCCAAAAGGGUUGGAGUAGAAAAGCUGCUUCUGGGAUAAAACCUAAAUUUUCUGGGCUAAAUAUUUUUAGGUUUUAGAUCACCAUUGGAGAUGGUCUUAGUGGAAGGGUAAUGUUAGGGGAGACUAAAUUUGUAGACAAAAUUUUAUAAAUUAAAUGACAUGAAAGUUGAUAAUUGGAUUAUUACUCAAACAUUGAUAAACGUGCUCAUUUUUAUUGGUGACACAUCAUUUAGUUUACAAAUUUAGUCUACCUAAAAUUAUCCAAUUCACAAUUGGACGGUUACAACUUACACGUGCGACAACUAACACACACAUAGGAAAACUUAAUCAUGGCCGACCAAGAUCCUCAUGUGCUAAUCAUAGUGGUUAAACAUUUCAUGACCAACUUGGUUUACAGAAGACUUCUCAAAGCAUCUCCAAUGCAAAGACUCAAUUGUACCCAUAAUAUUUUUUAUAUUUGUCAUAAAGAGGUGAUGUAUUUAUGUAUGUUGGUUUUCUUGUUCAAUGUAAAGACUCAAAUUUUAAAACUCAUUUUGAAUUUUAAGAUUUGAGUCUUUGCACUGGAGGAGAAAAUAUUGAACUCAAAACUCGUAUUUAAGUUUUAACAAUUUAGUUGUGCACUAUAGAUGAUUGGACUCAAUUCUUAUUAUUCUUGGUUGAGUAACAUUUUUCCUAGUUGGCAUGGGCGGCUUCACCUCCAACUCAAAUAUCAUAUUGAAACUCAAAUUUGGGUCUCCAUUUUGUUGGAGAUUUAUGUAUGAGUUUUAGGUCUCCGGUGCAUUGGAGAACAUUUAGACUCGUAUUUAUACUGAAAUGUAAGAUUUGAGUCUAAAUUUUUCGGUGCAUUGGAAAUGCUCAAUGUACUUGAAAUAUAAGACAGUACACCACAGCUUAUAAUUAUAAAUAUAAAGUAGUACAUUAAAAAGCAGUACAUUAAAAAGCAUCCUCUAAGGGGGAGAAAACUUAUAUGGAUGAUUACCGCCACAUAGUGACAACCCCGACCAGAAUAUCCUUAUAGGCACCGAAAUUGAGGCAUGCUGGCCGACACUUGGAAAUUAACAAAGCCAUGCAAACGACGUGUAAAAGUACAGAUAAAAUUAAAACCAAAGUCUAGAACCAAUUUAAACUAGAAGUGAUAGUGCGCAGUGUGGAAUGAACCCUUAUUACAAAUGCAUACAAUGAUUUACAGUUGAUCCGGGCUAGAAACCGGGUCAACUGCUAAAACCAGAAACCCACCCCUUCCAGAUUUAUGGGACCUUCUAUAUAUAGAAGGUUCAAUUUAAAAAAUCGUCUUUGCUUUUACAAGCUUAUAACUUCUUCGUUACAACUCCAAUACGCGAAUGGUUUUUGCCUAUGCCCUUGUAGGAUCGAGCUCUAUCCAACAAUUCUUUGAGUGACCCGAAAAGGUCUAUGAAUCUUUAAUGAAAAAUCAUGGAAAAACAAACUUUGUAACUGGUGAUCUAAAAUCCUCAAAUUAAAUUUUUUUACGAAAUAAAUUUGUGUACAUACAAAUUACGACAUUUAAAUUAAUGAAAUUCGGGGACGGUAUUUCACAUCUUCCCCCACCCCCAUAUAAAAAUUUCAUCCUCGAAAUUUUCAGUACCUUACAAACUUCAAACCAUUUCCCAAAAUCAACAAACAUCAAUAACCAAGAUUACAUGAAAAGUCACUUUCAGUACGCACGAAUUAAUACGCUACAUGCCAAUUUUGUGGCACAAUUCCCAACACUUAAAAGGUACAGCUACUAGAACCUGUAGCUGUAAUACCACUAAUGUAACAUCCCACAUCGUCCAGGGGAGUGGAUCAUGUAAGCCUUAUAUGUAAAUUCUCAUCUCAACCUAGCAGGAGGCCUUUUGGUAACUCACUGGCUUCGGGUUCCGUAGGAACUCCGAAGUUAAGCGAGUUCGCGCGAGAGCAUUCCCAGGAUGGGUGACCAGUGACCAACUGGGAAGUUCUCGUGUGAGUUCCCAGAAACAAAACCGUGAGGGCGUGGUCAAAGCCCAAAGCGGACAAUAUCGUGCUACGGUGGAGUCGAGCCCUUGGAUGUGGUGGGAGCCCGGGCCGUGAUGUGACAAUUUGGUAUCAGAGCCAAUCCUUGGCUGGAUGUGUGCCGACGAGGACGUCGGGCCCCUAAGGGGGGUGGAUUGUAACAUCUCACAUCACCCAGGGGAGUGAUCCUGUAAGCCUUAUAUGUAUAUUCCCAUCUUUACCUAGCACGAGACCUUUUGUGAGUUCACUGGCUUCGGGUUCCAUAGGAACUCCGAAGUUAAGCGAGUUCGCACGAGAGUACUCUCAGGAUGGGUGACCCACUGGGAAGUUCUCGUGUGAGUUCCCAGAAACAAAACCGUGAGGGCGUGGUCGGGGCCCAAAGCGGACAAUUUCGUGCUACGAUGAAGUCGAGCCCGGGAUGUGGUGGGGGCUCGGGCCGGGAUGUGACAACUAAAAAUUGUUAUGCCCCGAUCCCGAGAUACGUUCAAGAUCGACACGUGAUUUCAUCACGUACUUGUUCAACUAUCAUGCCUCGUUUUUGAAACAUGACUAAAAUCAAACCAAUAGUCCAUUAGCGUCCUAACUUUUCCUUUUAUUUCAUGGCUAUAUCUAACCAUUGUGUUAGACUGCCUACCUAAGAAAUGAUCAAGUCAUUUGUAGUUCGUGCAUUCUAUUAAGUUUCGAAAUUUCUCAUGCAUCCACUAGCCAUAAAUAUAAAGUUCCAAACCACUCCGAACAUGCAUGAUGCACCAAUAUGUCAUUUAAUUAGUUACAUACAUCAGAAUGUUUUCCAUCACAAAACCACACUCAACAACAUAUAGUAUGUCAAUGAACCAACAAUGCACAAUAUUAAACCUUAACCACAUUGAUCAACCAAUCAAAUCAUAAUCAUUUACAAAACCAUACUUAAAAUCAUAAACAACUCGCUGAAUAUCCUGAAUGAGUCAUACAGACAUCCAUUGUUCUUUCUUAAUUGGUUCACAAAGAUUCUCAUCUUUCGUUCAUAACAUGCUGAAAACUAAGGCUACAGCGGUCAAAGCCUACAACUUCUAUGUUUUCACAUUCUAGACAGACUCAAAGAACUCGUAAAGAUUUCUAAGGAUCUAGUUCUAGAUCAUCUCAAUGGAACAGAAAGGCAAGAGGGAUUCAGACCACUCAAUGGAAUCCAGACGAAGUAGGGUAUCCAGACCAGUCAACGGAACCCUAGUAGAACAUGGUUUUUGACCAUUUAACGGAACCGACAGAACACGAUUCCAGACCACUCAACAGAACUAAGACGAAGCAGGGUAUCGGGACCACUCAACAGAACCCUAGCAAACAUGGUUCCAAACCACUUAACGGAACCAACAGAACACAAUUUUGGACCACUCAACGGAAUUGGGACGAAGCAGGAUAUUCGAACAACUCAACAGAACACCAACAAAACAUGGUUUCGGACCACUCAACGGAACGGACAGAACAUGAUUCCGAACCACUCAAUAGAAUCGAUUACUAAAAUGUGUAUGGUCUUCCAAUACGGAUUAACCAUGCAAAACCAGUCAUAUACCACACUACUAUGUGGUGCAGUCGCAUCAUACAUUCUAUAACUUACGUCAAUUCAUCAUGAUCACAAUUUCAAGUGUAUACACUAUUGAUUCUACUUAAAUAACCAAUAUCUAGUCAUACAAAUAUACGAGUUCUACGGAAUAAUUCUAAUAUGUUCUUCCACUUAUCUUUUCAUACUAGUAGUUGCACAUUAUCACUAUUGUCAUCCAGAAACUCAACAAACACAUAAAUCUCGCACUUGGACAUAAACUGAAAUACACAUCCCUAAUAUGGUGCACGGACCAAGAUAUAGGCCCACUAAUCUCUAUUGGAUCUCUAAUAAUGCUAAUUACAGUAGUAAUCUAAUCUGGGAGAUCCGUACAUUGAAUUUCCGAUUCAUAAAUUCCUAAGAUCCUCAAAUAUCACAUAUAUCUAUAUACUAUAAUUUCGUGACAAUCCAAAGGUCGGAUCUUCGUCUACCACAAGGCCAAGUAGGGGUCAUUUACGAAACUAGGAGUUAACAACAGCAUCACAUCAAACAGACAUCAAAAUUGGAUUCAGGGUAUUGAAAUUAGUCUAGAAAAACAAGGUCGGGUCAUUAACCCACGUGCCAUUGCACGUUGCGAUCUGCAGCCACAACUCAUCCGAAAUUCCAACUAAUACCAAAUAGUCUCAAAAUACACCAAAAUGAAGAUCAUGAAGAGGGGAGCAAGAUUUAUUCCUUCAAUGGAGUCUAGUUUCGUCGAUAAAACCCUGAAAAAUGGCGAUGAGUCGUCGGAUAAACAAAAACUCAUGAAUAUUGGUUCCACGUCACUGGAACUCCAAAAGCCUGAACCAGGUUUUUUUGUUUGGUUAAUGAUGAGUCAAUUUGUGGUGGUGGUGGAUGAUGUCGAGAUGAAUAGGAUGAGAGGAGAUAGAUAGUGGUGGUGGAGAGGUGACUCAACGUCGGAAAUGGCAGAAAAUUUGGCCUGAAAACGCUGCCAAGAACCGGGUUAGAGCACGGGUCGUGGAGGAGAUCCUAAGUUAGAAACUGAGUCAACUGCUAGAACCUGAAACCCACGUUGGGACCUUAUAUAUAGAAGGUCCAAUUUACUAAAUUGUCCCUGCCUUUACAAGCUUAUAACUUCUUCAUUACAAUUCUGAUUCGUGACCUUCAUACGAGCUCUAUCCAAAAAUUCUUUGUGUGAUCCCAAAAGGUCUAUGAAUCUUUAAUGACUAAUCACGGAAAAAUAAACUUUGUAACUAGUGAACUAUAAUGCUAAGGAGACUCUCUUAAAGUGGGAUUUCCCAUGGACUUCCACCAUAUCAUGUUUUAAGCACAAUAUUUUAUAACGUUGACACGAGAAUUAUGCCCAAAAUAUAAGGUGGCGGAAAGUCUAUGAGAAGUCUCACUUUUGAGAGAAUCUCCUUGGCAUUUUCCUUGAAGGUAAAAAAGCUAACAGCUAGAACCUACAGAGCUUCAUUCACCUGGUGCAAGUUAGACAACCAAGCUGAAAAUUCUAUCAUGCUCUAGUGCUUGACAUGCAUCAUGCAAUGGAGGGUCAAGUAUAUAUCUUUCUUUUCUUCUUCUCUUUUUCGAUAUCAAACGGUCUAAAACACUAGUGCAGAGUAGAAAAACACCAAAUUGCAUAGCAGAGUUUUCACUUUUUUGGUAAAACAAGGUCCGCCUAAUAUCCAACGGCCUUUACCCAUCACAAUGGGCCAAACUUCCGAUCCAACAUCGGCUGCUUGAUGCAUCCGCCCCUCGGUCAUAAUUUCCAGUUCGACGUAGGAGAAUUAUGUGAAAACUUAUGCCUUAGAAACAUUUGCUUCAUUAGGAGGGAAUAGGUUACAAUGUGUAUGGUAAUGGACCUUGUUCGGAUAUGGUUUUGGUAAUUGAAGGCCCGCCCCUCUGUUUAUUGAUUAAAAAUUUGGGCUUUUACUAAUUUUCCGGUAGGCAAAGUUAAGGAGUUGGUGACUAAGUAAAAAGGAGUUGUUUGAUGUGCUGGAAACUUGGAAGUAGCAGGUGUUUGGGUUAAUAUUUAAAUAUUGAGCUUGAAUGAAGGAAAGUCCAAGAAUGCUAAAUUAAAUGAAGACUUGCCCGAAGCCCAGCAUCGAGUCCAGAAACAAACUAAAGCCUUUUCAGCCAAGACACAAGUCACGUGUCUAUAACAGAAGUGACAAGUGAUGGAGAUCAACCUGCUAUCAGCCAAAAAGCACUUUCUAGAGGCACUACAUGUAAACAACUGAUGACUCACUACCCUUAAAGAGCUUUCAGACAAGGGCAGAACUAAAAGCAGUCAGGCUAAAUUGCCUAUAAAAAGAAAGGCAAGCAUCUGACACUCAAACACUUAAACACUUAAACAAUCAAACAAACAAACAUACAAACUCUGCUCUCAAGCCAGAUUUGCAUCCAAAAAGCUGAAAUUAACCCAGAUUCGAUUCUUUUAGCAAUAGUUUCCUUAGAAAAACUAUCUUUUGUCUAGUAUAAAAGCUCUGCUACCUUCCCAGUGUUGUAGUAUCGAUUCCCUCAUGUAAACAUGUUUUCCAUCCAUCUCUUUUUAGCAUACAACCUCUAUAAACUCAAAGAGAAGUGACUGCAAGAGGUUCAACCAUGCUAGACAAGGUGAAAUCUUGCCCGAGUCUUUCUAUUUGUCCUCUAAAUUAGUAGAUCUAUUGCUUAAUACGCUCUUCAGCAUGUAUUCAAGUUAUUUCCACUUGUUUUCUAUUUUAAAGAGUCCUAUUUGCAUAUGGAUCUGGUUAACUUAAUAGAUCUGCUUUCAUUAAGAGCAACUUGGAACCAAGCAAAUGACUUAAAGGGCUCUAAACUCCAUCGAACAUACAAGAUCAUGAACUAAAAGUCCUUGUUUACAAGGCAAUGAAAAGAACUUAAUGAAGACUUAACUCAUCUGCGACAAUCCUUUGAUGACAAGAAGUUUGAGUAACUUGGGGCGCAAGUAUUCAACUUAAAACACACUUGUUAUACAUCUGCUAUACUGAGAUAGCAGUGGCACACCUAGCACUUUGUUAAUUUUGAUUGCGAGCCUCAAGACCUACACCUAAGGCCCUACAAAGGCACAUUUUAAAAUUAACUUUAUACUCUUCUUGUAGCACACCGACAAGUAAGAGCCCGACUACUAAUCAUCAAAGUGCCAAUCCCUUGGGGAGCUAUGCUGAGGUCCACAGGCCUUCUCCAGAGAAAUCUUUGCCAGAACGGUAGGACAAUUUCAAAGGUAAUUAACAGAGGAGAAUGUGAAUUUGUUAAUAUAAUCUAACUGGAAAAGUUAACCUUUUGAAUGUCAAUUUGUUAACUUAUUUCAUUAGAUUUUGACUCUUAUAAUCUCUCCCUUUCUUCUUGCUAUGUAUUCGGUGAUGGGGCUUGAUUAUGAAUAAUAGCAACCAAUAAAAUGAUGGUUAAAAAUAAAACGGUAUACUUUCACAAACUCUUUACAUGUAAGAAGCAGCUAUCGCUUGCAAAUCACAGUCAUAUACGUAACAAAAAAUAUAUAUCGUGUUAAAAGGGUGGCAACUUUUCACUUAGGACUUGAUGCAAUCUUCUAUUGACAAAAUAACAGAGUGAACUGAUGGUAAGAGUUUUAAUGCAAUUCUAUUUCUAACAAGGGAGGGAUACAUAUAAUUGGUAUCUUUCAACAUUGGUCAGAUACAUGUACCACUAGACCAAAAGGUGAACCAAAAAGAAAGUUGAUCAAAACUUAACUUCACCUUAUUUUCUCUACAUUAAAAACGUAACAAAGACAAAUUACGUUUCUUUUUCUAUGGAGAUUGGUUGAAAUUUCACUCACAUUAAAGGUUAUGAUUCACGUGAUACCAUAUUGUUGUUAAGUCCAAGGCUGAUUUAGAUAUGUGCCAAAGGCUUCUUGACUCUAACCCUUUAGACAACUCUUUGUGAGCAUAAGAAAAAAAAUCCUUUAUAAUGCUCAUGCUUCAACUUUGACUAUGGAAGAAAUCUUCUUGAGGCAAAAAUCUAGAGUUCAAUGGCUAAGGGCAGGGGAUAGAAAUUCUUCAUUUUCUUCAAGUCUAUAUCGAAGAAUAGAAGUAGGAAUCGUUUGGUUUCUAUUACUAGUAUUGAUGGAUCUAUUGUCAAUUCGGAGGAGGAAGUCAAGCAGUAAGUUAUCAAUUUCUUUCAAUCACUCCUUGGAUGUUAUGUUGGCGAGGACUCUUCUAGGCUUGAUGGUUUGAACAGGCUAGUGUCCAAUCCUUUGGAUUAUGUUCUUACUGAUUCUCUUUGUGCUGAUUUCACUCCGGAUGACGUUAAGUCUAUUUGCUUCUCUAUGCAUCCCAAUAAGUCUCCUGGACCAGAUGGCUUUAAUGGUUUUUUUUUUCAAAUAGCGUGGUCCGUCAUUGGAAAUGAUGUCAUCGAUGCUGUUCAAGAAUUUUUUCACUCAGGUCAUCUUCUUAAGGAGUUCAAUUCUACUAUCAUUACCCUUGUCCCCUAAGGUCUCUGUUCCUGCUACAAUGAGAGAUUUUAGACCUAUAUCUUGUUGCAACACGCUUUAUAAAAUUAUAGCUAAGUCGGUGGCUAAUCGGCUCAAGGAAGUUUUAUCUCCUAUGGUAAGUCUUAAUCAAUUGGCCUUUAUUCCGGGAAGAAAAAUUGGGGAUAGUAUCCUUCUCGCUCAAGAAAUCCUUGGUGACUACCACGAAGUUGAGGGAUCUCCAAGGUGUGCUCUGAAGGUUGACCUUAUGAAAGCUUAUGAUACUGUGGAGUGGGAUUUUAUACUUUCUACUCUUGCUGCAUUUGCUAUCCCGCCUACAAUGAUUAAUUGGAUUAAGAGUUGCAUCUCGUCUCCUAUGUUCUCGAUUGUUGUAAAUGGUGAGCUUGUAGGUUACUUUGGGAGUAUGCGUGGCCUUAGGCAAGGGGAUCCAUUGUCUCCCUACUUAUUUGUCAUUGCUAUGGAGAUGUUGUCCCAUAUUAUUAAUGUUAAAGUAAGAUCCUCUACUCUUUUUCGGUUUCAUUGGUGGUGUGAGAUAAUUGGGUUAACUCACCUUUGCUUUGCGGAUGAUAUUCUUAUGGUCUACUUCGAGGAUGAAGAAUUUGCUCAGGUUCUCUAUCAAUCUCUAUGCAAUUUUCAAUUGCUUUCCAGGUUAGCCUCUGGCGCCUCUAAGAGCCAAAUUUUUUGCCGGUCCGUUACUUAGGAGUUCCACUAAUCACUUCCAAGCUUAGGCUUUGUGAUUGCUCUCAUUUAAUUGACAAGAUUGAAGGAUUACAAGCUGGGAGAAUAAUGUUCUCUCUUUUGCUGGGAGAUUGCAACUCAUCCAAUUUGUGCUUUCCAGUAUCCAAGUUUUUUGGUGCUCACAUCUGAUCCGCCCCAAAAAGUGCCUUUUAGAUGUUGAGGAAGACUCUGCUCUUUCUUAUGGUCUGGUACUUGCUUAGGGCGUUAUGCAGCUAAAGUGUCUUGGUCUGACAUUUGUCUCCCUAAGGUUGAGGGGGGUCUUAGCUCAAAGUGAUUACAAUGUUAGAAUAAAGCUCUUAUGAUCCGCCAUAUUUGGAGCUUAAUUUCUUGUGCUUCUAAUUUAUGGUCUAAUUGCGUGAAGGCUUAUUUACUUCAAGGUAAUUCGUUUUUGGAUUGCCCCUUUUCCUUCUAUUUGCUCUUGGAAUUGGAGGAAAUUCCUUCAUCUCAGAGAGCUGGUUAGACUCAUCUUCUUUCAUGUCAUUGGUGAUGGGCACUCCACCUCUCUAUGGUUUGACAAUUGGCACCCACUCGGGUCCCUUAGCCUUAGAUGGCCUUCUAGUAUCAACGAGGAAUCAAGGCUCCAACCAAAUUCUUUGGUCAGAGAGAUUAUUGAUGAGAAUGGUUCUAGAUGGAGGUGACCUUUUUCUUCCUCUAAUGAUUUAUUGGAAAUUCGAGUUUUUAUGUUUCAGCUUUCUCCGAACCAGUUUAGGCAUGAUUAUGUUACUUGGAUGUUGCCACCCAAUGGAAGCUACUCUACCUCAUCCGCUUGGAAUGCUAUUAGGGAGUCCCAUCCGAAGGUCCCAUGGGUUGGUCUCUUGUGGUUUGGCACAUGUCCCAAGGUGGAGCUUCAUUCUUUGGCUAGCUAUAAGAGGUAAGUUAUCUACUAUAGGUCGGGUAAUGGUCUUUACCCCUCAUGCCUCGCUUAUUUGCUCUUUGCUUGACUGAUAAUGAGUCUCACAAUCACUUGUUCUUUAAGUGUGUGUAUAGUGCCAAUAGUUGGUCUCAUAUGCUUUCUAAGUGUGGUUGUGAUCCUCCUCCUUUGGAUUGGCAUGAGUUUAUCAUUUGGGCUGCUAAUAAUUGGACGAGUAAGUCGUUAGAUAUUAGCAUUAAGAAGUUGUGCCUCCAAGUUGUUAUCUAUGUUUUUUGGAAAGAAAGGAAUAACCGUAAAUUUAGAAAGGAGCACCUCCACUCUGUUGCUGUCUUUAAAGCCAUUGUGAACUCUAUACGCUUACAGUUAUGUUCUUUGCAGAUUCCGCUUUCUACUGCAAAUAUUUCAAGAAUGGAGAAUUCCUAUGUAGGUCUCCUUUUAUGUUGGUUGUUAGGUUGGGUUGUUUCUGUUUUUUACAGCCUUCUGUUUUUUUGUUUGUGUAGCUUGGCCUUUGUUGCCAUUGUUGUGUUGUAGUUUGUUGCUUCUUUUGUUCUCUUUUGAUAUAAUCAUUCAAGUCACCCAAAAAAAACACACAAACAACACCAAAGGAAAAUGUUAACCUGAAGUAAAAAAUCAAGACGCUUGAAAGACGAGGUCCUCAGGAAUCAAGAAUGCCUCCAAGGCCAAAUUUGAAAUUGAGUCACAAAAAAAUCUGCGGUAGAAUUUUCGGUAAAGUUUCAAUAAUCACUGAAAGGGCACUGCAUGCUGUAGUUUGCAAAGUGAGGAUAUCCACAUUGUAUUGAGAUCAAACUGUAUUCACAGUGUCUGCAAGGUACCGCAAUAUGCAUCCCAAACCAGCUCUCUCUGUCAGUUUUUCAUGAAUUCGAAGGCACUGGUCGCAUGUGGGCCAGUCUCCAGUAGACAAUCCUCUUUACAAGUACUUUCAAUGAGAGAAACCCCCAAAUUGUAAAAUGUCCUAAACAAUAGCAUAUACCAAAGAUGGGGAAAAGAAAGGCAGGAGAACUUUUCUUAUAGGAAAAAGGAAGAAUAAUAAAGAUAACUUAGGAGAAAAACAUCAAGAAAUCGAAAUCACAAACUUAGAAGAAAAAAUAUGCAUAACUAAUAUUUUCUAAAACUUUGGGGUAGAAUAUUUGCAUAUAUGACACUGCACCAAAGCCGUACACAUAAAAAAUGCUCUAAUGACAUCUUGGAUAAGAAACGAAAUAAGAAGAAACAUACAAAUGUUUCGUAUAUAGUGAUAUUCAUAAGAACUAUACUACAUAAAAUACAUCCAUGUUUCUACGUUGAAGCCUAUUUUGAUAGAUUACUUUCUACACAUUUGUGGAGCUUACAGAAUAAUGGAGCCUACAUAUUCAUCGAGCCAAUACUAUGAUUGCCCAAGAAUGCAACUAUUUGUUUCACACUAGAUGGCAAUCUCAUUAGUGUGUUUAAGUGCCCAGUAAGACCAUAAGGAUUAGGCCUUGCCAGGAGGCAAUGCUGUCCCGAACUUACAAGGGAAUCAUGUUCUAUAUUCCCAAAAUCCCACACUAAUCAUACAAAUUGGAUUCCUUCAGGAAUAUAAGAUACUCAACUGCCAUAUUUGAUUCAAAUAAAUCUGUCUAAGGCCUGAACAAUGGAUAGUGAAGGCCACUGUUUCUUCGCACCCUAACAAAGCACAAGUCUCGGUAACUUGCCUAUAAUAACACCAUCUAAAAAGAUAAAGAUACAGAAUGCACGCAAAGAAAGAGCCAGACCUACGUAACCAGUCAAUUCAAGUUCGUUUCUAUAAAUCAAGAUACUUACUUUGGUUCUCCGUUUGGGAAAAUUCUCGACCAGUUUAACUGAGAACCCUCUAGUAGACUCAUGUGUACUCUAUAUUUGGUUAAAGAACUUCCAAUAGUUUUAAGCGCAUUGAAUCAUGCAGCUACUACCAACCGUUAACGAGAUCCGUGUUAUAUACAGAAAACAAAGAUAUACAAAACCACCUUCAAGCAAAACACAGUUCAUUAUCUACAUAAAUUUCAAAUUUCAAAUCAAUAGAUUACGUAAAAUACUCGAAUCCAAAAUCAGAUAGCAUUCAUAAGGUAUAACUACUUACUUCAUGAGAAUGUCAUAUUACUCGGGAUCCAAAGAAGAAAACAUUGCAUCCACAUCUUUUAUAGCCAUGAUAGCUCUAUGCACCAUUAUCCAAUUUGCAGACUGCAAAACUCAAAAUAAUAAAUCUCAUCACUUUCUUUCAUUCCACACCAAACAGACCAUUUGAAUUAUAAUUAAACACAGGGGGACAAUUCUGAUUGGUACCCAAGAAAACCACUGGAAACACAAUAAGAAAAGGAGAAUAACGUUCUAAACUUGCAAUUCAAUUUCUAUUCCAUCGAUUGAUUUUCUCGGCAACCAAACAGAAGAUUAGGAAAAGAGAAAAGAUAAACCUUGCAGCGCUCGUCUUUGGUGUUGAGAGGCGAGCCUUCAAGAGCAGUUUUUAGAGCUUCGACUGUCUUGCACCUAGAUGAAAAACGGAUUAAACAGUUAAGGUUUUUGGGGAAUUUUCAAAUCAUAAAGGGGUUUUACAGAAAAUUGCAUGUAAAAAUGGGGAAAGGAUUUGGAGUAAUACUGUUUGAGUAAGCUCUCGAUCUUUCGAGAUUUUUGUUCGAUUUUAUUAGUUAUGGCCUCUGCAUUAUCUGCUUCCACAAAUUCCUCUGUUCCUGCCAUUUCUCUCUCUCUCUCUCCCUCUCUCCCUCUGUUUCACUGUGAUUUUCUCACCUGGUAAUUGGAAAAGACCUGAGGAAACAUAUUCCCGAGAAAGUGACACGGCAGGUGGACCAAACUGUAUAUUGGGCUGGAUCCUAGGUCGGCCCAAAGAUAGCCUUCAAUUCAGACCAUUUGAUUGUCUAAAGUUUUGUUAAAUUAGUAAGGGUAAAUUACAAAAAAAAAAAAAAAAAAAAACUAUUUAGCUACCUAGUUUAAUUUUUUUUUUUUAUCUCCAAUAACUCUCUUUAUUUUAUCAAAUUUUAAAUAUUUUAUUAUUAACAAUUCAAACUCAACCAACUCAUUUUCUAAAAAAGUCUUAACUAUCUUCAUUUUCUUCUUGCUCAAGGUUCCACCCUUGAGUUUUAUUAUUUUGUUAAUAUUUAGCUGAUAAAUUGUUGCUCUGUAAAUUUAAAAAGUGACUGUUCAUUUUGCUGUAAUAGAAACUCUUUUAUAGAGUUUGUUGGAGAUGUGUUUUUUUUUAAUUUGACUAUUUAAAAUAGAAUUUUGUUAUUUUACUGUAUCUCCUGAAACAAAAAUGCUCUUAGUAACUUAAAGUGAAUUUGGCUUAAGUAGCUUGGUCUUUUUUAGAGGGGUGUUUUAAUAUAGAAUCAAUCAAUUAUAAAAAAUGUUGGGAAAAAAAAACCUACUUAUCCAUGUCACCAACUCGAAGAAUUUAAAUUUUCAUUUUUUUUUUCGAUUUUGCCCUUAUGUACAAAAUUAAUUUCCUAAUUUUAUGCAUUCUUUUACUCUUAUAAUUUGAAUCAAAAGAUAUUAAAAUAAUAUCUAUCAUCUAAUCUAACAAAAUCUAUCGUUUGACAAAAAAAAAAUUAUAUAAAUAUACAAAUAAAAAUCUCCAUAAAAAAAUUAAAAAUACUUUAUCAAUAGGAACAUUUUUAUACAGUAAAAAUAUCCCUCAAAUAGUCAGUAAAAUUAUAAAACACAUAUACUUUGAUCAAUGUUGUUACGCUCAAAUCUAAAAAAAAGGACCAAUGAAACUAAAUAACAAUUCAAUAUUAAAUGAUUUUGGUUCAUAUAUACAUGCUAAGAUUCCAAUUUCACUAUGUCACAUCCUGGCCCGGGUCCACCACCGUAGCACAAUAUUGUCCGCUUUGGACUUACCAUUCCCUCACGGUUUUGUUUUUGGGAACUCACGAGCAACUUCCCAGUAGGUCACCCAUCAUGGGAGUGCUCUGGCCACCUUCUCGCUUAACUUCGGAGUUCCGACGGAACCCGAAGCCAGUGAGCUCCCAAAAGGCCUCGUGCUAGGUAGGGAUGUGAAUAUACAUUUAAGAAUCACUCCCCUUGGCAAUGUGGGAUGUUACACUCUAUGCAGUGAUUUGUUUUUGUCUGUUGAUUUGUUUUUUAUUUAUUCAAUCAUACGACUUGAAAUAACAGGAUGAGUAUUAAAGGAAAAACAGAAUAUGGAAAAUAGCUUAUCUUUCAUCGGGAAAAAAAAAAAAAAAAAAAAAAAAAAACCCUUAAAAAACAUGAGAAAAAAUCUUCCUAGAUGGGUAUGAUCAAAUUUGUAUGCCCACGACUAAUGUAGUUUGCAUUGCUAUUUGCUUAGGUGCUCAAUGAGCUCUGUUGCACCAAAUUGCUUUUGUUUCAAUCAUACGCUGUCGUUUACAUUGUUUCUGUUCCACCAAAUUGCUUUUGUUUUGUCCUUUGGUCAAAUGACCUCCAAGCCCCAACAGAUAAGAUCACCAAACACACAAAAUCCCGUAAAUCAAAAUAAAACACAAGGUUAAUAUCGUUAUUCUAACCAAACGGUCAUAAUUAUCGACACUCCACUUCUUGAAUUCCUUUCCCCUCACACUCUUUUCCACUCUUUUUCUUCCUUGCCUUCAAAGUCUUCCUUGCUUCACACAAAAUCCAAAACCUCCGCAGAAGCUCACCUGCUCAUCAAUGGCGGACUCCAUCCCCUACAGAAAACCCCACUUCCCAUUCUCUGAUCCAAACCCAGAAGCUCACCGAAACCCGAUUCCACACGGUAAGUCCUACACUAUGCACUUUCUCCUUAAAGCUCUAAUCUUUGCCGUUUUCAUUUUCGUUCUUCCACUUUUCCCCUCACAAGCUCCCGAAUUUAUCAACCAUACGAUACUCAGCAAGUUCUAGAGCUCAUUCACGUUAUCUUCGUCGGCAUUGCCGUGUCCUACGGCUUGUUCAGCAGAAGAAAUAUUUCCCGUUUCGUCAAAUUUCGACGGCGGGUGUGAAUACCCAUGUGGGUAUGGUGAGAAAGGAGAGGGUGACAGUUGGAAUUCUGGGUAUUUUGUGGGUAACCAUGUUGCUGCUGUGGCUCAAUCUUGUCAUCAAAGCAAUGUUUCUUAUGCCCAAUGCAAACCCAGUUUGGGGAUUUGUGAAAGUGGGGCUGAAAAUUCAUGUGGGUAUAAAGAGAAAAAUGUUACUCAAGCUUGGAAUUCUCAGUAUUUUCAGGGUGAAUCAAUGGUGUUUGUGGCUCAACCAAAUUAUGGUCUUGAUGAAUGGCUAAAACCCAGAUCAAUGGUUGAUAAUCAGCCUUUAGGAUUGCUGAUUCGGAGUUUGAAAUCGAGGGUGAAAAACCGGGAUAGUUUUGAGUUUGUUGCUAGGAGUGAGUUCAGUUUAGGUUCUAAGGGCUCUUUUAAUAGCUCUGAUAGGGUUAGGAAUGGGGAUUUUGGUGAUUUGGGUGCUAUAAAUUUAGAACAGAAGUUCAAUGAAGCUGCUGCAUCACCAUCCCCGGUUCAUUGGCGUUCGCGUUCUGCAAGGAUGGAAAGGGGGAAUAGAGUAGGUAGUAAUGCUCAUCCUUCGCGUUUGAGGCCACUCUCAGUUGAUGAAACUCAGUUUGAAUCUAUGAAAACUCGGUCUUUCCAGUCCACAUUGUCCUUUACUUCCGAGUCUUCUUCUCAAACUAGUCUAUGUCUUCUUCCCCAAAAGAAGACUCUUUCACGCACUCCAUGUCUUCGGAGGUGCUUAACUCGAAGGUGGAGAAUGUGAAGAAAAGAAAGAGUCCUCAUUCUCAAGGGUCUUCUUCUCCUUCAGGAUUUGCAUCAUCACCACCAAAACCGUCGAAUGAAAAAGCUUCAGUGAGUGCAUUGCAUUCGCGGUGCUAUGGCAUUGGUUCUUUCCAUAAGGAGGAAAUGAGGAGAAGAAAGAGUCAUCCUCUUCCUGCUCCAUCUACAUCACAAAUCAUCAACUAACAACAAAAUCACCAAAACAAAACCGAAUAAUUACCGAAACCCAAUACCAGAAUUUACAAAUCAAACUAACACUCAGCUCAUCGCUGUCGAAAUCGCCAUCGUCCUUGAACUCACUGUCACUGUCACGAGCCUUUCUCUCCAUUGCGACGUCUGAUCAAACACCCAAAUAUUUAUACAAUUUAAUUCCACAAGGAUUCUAAAAUUGAUGUUGUUUCCUUGUUUUCUUUCAAGCCGUCUGCUAAAACAAGUCCCGAAAUCUAUCAACUAAUUUCCCCUUCGUAGACCAAAAACAUUUGGGCCUUAAAUCGGUUUCAUGGGCUAGUAAGGCCAAUAUGAGAUUGAGCCAGACCUAUCUUAUUUGAUUACUAUUUUGUUGCACAUUUAACGAGAAUGACUUAUUUACUACUACAAUAUAGUGAUAUUUCUUUUCAUUUGUAAUGAUAGUUUGUAGGUUCAACUCAUGUAAAUGGCUAAUUCAAUACUAAAUUAUGAUGUUUGGCUCAUUGUACGGCUAACCCAAACCCCACACCUGUAAAGAAAUGAUAAAGACUAAUCUAAAAUAGGGGUGACAGAUUGCCAGAUGUAUUACAAGCAAGGUUCUAAAAAACGCUAAGCGCUAGUCGGGCGGUGGACUGGGGCCUAGCGCCUAGGCGGCUAGGCGGCUAGGCGGAGCCUAGGCGGGCGCCUAGGCAGAUUUAAGUAAAUUUAGUAUUUAUUAUUAUAAAUAUGUACAUAUUUACUCAUAAAAAAACUAUACUUCCAUUUUCAUUAGUUUUUAGUUCACAAAGAAUGUUCUUUAAUUAAUAGGUAGUAUAAUAAACAAUUAAUGGACAACUCUCAUUAACAUAUCGACUAGAUUUAUUUUGGACUUUACUAUUUGGGUGGACAAGUCCAUUAAAGUGAGCGGAAAGCCCAUUAAAUUCCCACUUAAAAAAACAACAAACCGACGACACCUUAGGUUAUUUUAAAAGGUUACUAUUCAUUGUCUUCUACUUCUCUUCGACCUGCGCAACCUUGUUUUUACCCAUAUGGCAGAGAAGAUGAAAUGGUGCAGCUCCAAAAACUUAGUUGAUCUGCUGCCUCCCAACGCCGCCUUGUCCCGCCUAGCGCCUUGCACCGCCUAGUGUCCCGCCUAACGCCGGCUAGUGGGUGAUCCGAUUUUUCUACCGAUUAGGCCUUAAUCGGAACAGCAACCAGCCGUGGAGCGCCUAGGCGGCCGCCUAGGCCGUUUUUUAGAACACUGAUUACAAGCCAAUUUUAAUAGUUUCCCUCCAAUCCCUCAACCAUGGCAAGAUGUCUUUUAUUGUGGAUUUGGAAUGCAUUUGACCUAACACGCUUGUUUCAUGUUAGUCUUUCUCGCAUUCAAAACAAACUACCUUAAUUUUUAUAUGGUUAGCACAUAUGUAGGGGUUUAAACAUGCUCGAAAUAAUUGGAAUUAACCUCAAUUUUUUAGUGCAAUGAGUUGACCUCAUAAAAAAAUAAAAUAAAAUAAAAUAAAGUCGAUACGGAACUUUGAUAUAUUCAGCUCAUAUAUUUUGUGAGAUAGCUCGAAAUGGUUCAAGCUCGACUUGUUCGUUUCAAGACAACCUAAUGGAAUGUGGUAUUAAUACUAUGAUUAUAUGUUACAUAAGGAGUUGAAUAUAGUAUAGUAUUGUUUCCAAGACUAGCACACGAACACAACCACCCAACCUAUCAUUGAAAUAUACAGGAGAAAUAGAGCUGGAAUUUAAGCAGCAAUUUGAUUUUGAUUUGCGCACAUGCAAACACCCCUGCACACGUGGGUCUUGCUGGAGCUUCUUCUUUGCAUUUUUCUGUUUCUACUCAAUUCUUUUAGAUCAAAUAACUACUCUUUGAUUUUAUUUAAGUGAGUUUUAAUGGAAAAUUUUCACACAACAAAAUCUUCAAUGAAAAACACAUUAAUGAUUUUUAAUGAAAAUUUUGAAAAAGCAGUUGUCGCUUUUAUGAAGAAAGGAUUGUUGGUGUUAACUUUAACUUAAUUGUGAUACUGUCACUACACCUAAACUUUAACUUAUUUACAAUAUUGUCAUCGUCUUUUGUCUUUGGAAUUAAAGAAAAUUCAUUGUAUGUUUUUGGAUAAAAAUUUUAGGUUCUUUUUAUUAGUUUUUCUUUAUGCAAAUGAUGUUAAAAGAAGAGCGAAAAUGGAAAAGGAAAAGAGUUGUUCCAGCCUUAUACAUCUUUGUAUGCCACUCCUUACACCAAAGUCUUCCUUUUGCAAAUUGAUGCUUAAAACUAGAAUGAAUGAGGACUUCGUAACGUAAUACUUUAAUAUAAUUCGUUUUACCAAACGAGUGAAAUUAGAAAAUUUUUCGACCCAAUUUACCGAUUAUCUCCACAUCAAUAUGAAUUUGAGAGUCUAGAUUUUUUUUUUUUUUUUUUUUUUACUGAUAUUUCAACACAUAUAUAUGUACAUUAUGUAGUCUUUUAGUAUCAACCCCAAUACAUUUUUACAUGUCCUCUCCUAGUACUUGACCCGGUUUGAGACAGUAUUUUAUUCUUUUAAUAUUAACAAAAAUGUGAAAUUAAAAUUGAAGAUCUCUGCCAAAAUUGAAAAGAUAAGUGUUAAUAGACCAAAAGCUAAUUCUUUUGAUAAAGAAAUUCUUAACGUGUAGCUCCUAAGAGAAGAUAGCAUCACGCAUAUUUUUAACAUAAAGGUUUACGCGUGAUGCGAUCUUCUGAACAUUACUCUCAAUAGAACUAUAAAUAAAAUAAAAAGGUGCAUAAUGACAUGCGGGUCAUGUGAUGAUUAUCAACAUUUAGAGAUGGAUGAUUUAAUUUAUCUAAUAUGUUUACGAGUUGAUUAUUAAGGAUUAGAGACUUAGUUAACCUCCGUAUAUUAAUUAAGUAGCAUUGCAUUUACUUUGGACAAACAAAAUAAAUAAAAAGAAACAAAUCCCAUGAAAUACAAAGACAAAACCAAAUCAUAGAUGGAUCAAAGUGGAAUUCACAAUUGGACGAUUACACGUGCGUCAGCUAACAUGCACGUGGGGAAGCUUAAUAAUAGCAGACCAAGACCCUCAUGUGCUAAUCAUAGUGCUUAAACAUUUCAUGACCAACUUGGUUUUACGAGAGACCUAUCAGAGUAUCUCUAAUGUAAAGACUCAAUUUUAGACAAUAUUUUUAUAUUGAGAUCUUAAAAGGUGAUGUAUUUGGAUCUUAAAAACUCAAAUUCUAGAACUCAUUUUGUGUUUCAAAAUUUGAGUCCUUGCACUGCAGAAGAAGAUAUUGGACUCAAAAUUCAUAUUUGAAUUUUAACAAUUUGGUUGUUGUGUAUUGAAGAUGAUUGGACUCAAAUUUCAUUAUUCUUGGUUGAGUAACAAUUUUCUUAGUUGGCAUGGGCUUCACUUUCAACUCAAAUCUCACACUAAAACUCAAAUUGGAUCUCAUUUCCGCCAGAGACAUAAAUAUGAGUUUUAAGUCUCCGGUGCAUUGAAGAACCUUUAGACUCGUGUUUAGACUCAAAUAUAAGAUUUGAGUCCAAAUUUUUUUGGUGCAUUGGAGAUGCUUAGUGUGCUCGAAAUAUAAGGUGGUCAAGAUUGAAUUGAACGAUCAAGAUUGAAUUGAGAAAUGAACGAUCAAGAUUGAACUGAGAAAAUACUAUUUUUAUUUACUUUCCAAUCUAAUGGACAUAAAAUCGGAUUACCCAAUUAUAUGAAUUAUUGAAGACUUACCUAUAUCAGACUACCCAGUAAUUCAAACUAAUGAAGAUUUACCCAUAAAAUGAGACAUAUUAAUCUUGUCGUCCUUGAAGUACACGUAAAAAUUUCUAAGGUAGUGCUAUCACACAUCCAUUUUUACUUCUCACACACCCCUCUCAAUUUUCGGCUGUCAUAUUAAAUAAGUUGAAGAAGAACAAUAGCAAAAAACUAACAAUGGUGUGUAAGAAGUAAAAAUAGGUGUGUGAAUAACACUUUCCAAUUUCUAAUGAUUUAGCUCUUUGAUUUGAACCAUGAGAUAAGCCCAUGGUCUCCAUCAAGGUAAUGGAGUGUCGCGCGAGGAUCGUGUAAAAGAUUGAGAAUGAAGAAACGAGAAAGUAUCAAAUGAUUGAGAGAAGUGCGUGUCUGAUUAGGACAACGAUCUUUUAUAUUGACAAAUCUUUCCAAGCGACCACCCAUAAAUUUGAGGGGAAGUGACUAUAAAUUCUUGACCAUCAUGUCACCAAGCAAUCGAAAUUCGUUAUUUUAAAUGGAAUUGCACAGAUAAUUCAUGUGAUUGUAGAGAGAUGUCUCAAAAUAAUCUGAAAGAUUUAAGAAUACUCAUGUGGUGGAAUUAAUUUUCUCAGUUCAAAUUGAGACAAUUGUGAUGUUGAAGGUUGGUAACGGACAAAAGGGAAAAGAAGGAGAGGCCGAUGAGCACGUCGACGACUCAAUGCACAAUAAAGAGAAAGAUCGGUUGUGUUCAAUUCCAAUCAAAUUUUUUGUCAAAAUUGAGAUAUUCUUAAAGUUCCUUGGCUUUAUGUGUAACUUUCUGACAGAACUUGAGUGAAGAUUGUUAUGGAUGCAAAUUUUCGCUAUCUAUUUCUUUUAUGAAAAUGCACCUGUAAAAUAAUAAUGCCUAAGAUUAAGGCAAAAAGUCUUACGCGCCCACAAUGAAUGAGGGGCGGGUUUGGUUGAAGAAUCUCCGAUCCAAAGUUAAAAUUAUGAAAUGAAUGUAUUUAGAAGUUUGUGGGUAUCAAAUGACUUAGCAUUUUAGUGGGAUGAGAGGGGUAUUAAAAGCAGUUCCACCGGGGACUCUUUAGGCCGGCACCCAGACCAAGCUGGUCUCCAGGCCAGCCCAUAAUGGAAAGAACCAUGGCCCGGCCUACAUGACGUCAACCACCUUCUUCUUUUCUUUUAUUCUUUUUUUUUUUUUUUUUUGCGCCAGAGAAGGAGUUGUUGUGGAGGCUAAGGAGCGAAGCUGGUCGAGGCGAGAUAGGGUGUCGGGAGGGAAGGAGCCACAGAGGGAGAAGGACAGGAGCUGGUUGUGUGAUUGUGUUUCUAAUGAAAGGGCCAUCUGAAAAUUGAACCGAAAGCAUUCGGGAAAGCAUGCAUGAUGUACAAACAGAUCCUAGAAUUAAGGGAUGAAUGAACGAUUGAAAAAAUGCCAAAACCUAUGCCAAUUAAAACUGAUAACAUAUACUGAUUAAUGCCAAUUUAGAAUCCCUAAUCCCAAUUCGAAUUCAAAAUCACAAUCCUUAACUUUACCUUUGAUUUUGAAUUCGAAAUCUCAACCCCUAAUCCCAAUUCGAACAGGAAGGUGCAGUUUCUUACCUUGACCUUGAGGUAGAGGCAUGUGCAAUGCAGAUGCAGCAGUCGGACAAGCGAGAGAGAGAAAGAAACCGAGAGAGAGAUAGAGAGAAAUGGAGAGAGACCGAGUUAGAAAAUAAAAGUCAAAUUAUUAUUUUAUAAUAAAAAUUAAUAAUAUUUUAAUAAAAUUGACUAGGCUAUUUAGUUUUGGCUAAACAGCCAAAAUGGUCCCUGAGAUUUGCAUAACUCAUCACUUUGGUCCCUAACAUUUCAAAUCAAUCAAAGUGGUCCCUGAGAUUGUUCACUAUCCAUCAGUUUGGUCCUUCCGUUAAAAACUCCGUUAAGUGUCCCGGAGCUCUUGGCCGGAAGUUUGGACAAUUUUCAAAGCUUCGUAACUUCAUCGUUUCUUAACCAAAUUCGACCCAUAAUAUAUCAAAAUGAAGAUAGGAAAGUGUAGAAUAAGAUUAUACCUAUUUGGAAGCCCAAUGGUUGCCAGAGAUGGCCAGAAAAUAGCCUCAAAGUUGGCUGGUCCGAGGGAAAACUGGAAAACUCGCCUGAAACUGGGUAAACUUUAAACGUUCAUAACUUCUUCAAUACUCAACGAAAUCAAGUGAUUCAAAAACAAAAAUCAUACUUCUCGACGAGACAAAGAGAAUGAUGCCUUUUUUUAUGGCUAAUUUACCCAGUUUCCAGCGAGUUUUCCAAUUUUCCCUCAGACCAGUCAACUUUGAGGCUAUUUUCCGGCCAUCUCCGGCAGCCAUUGGGCUUCCAAAUAGUUAUAAUCUUAUUCUACACUUUCCUAUCUUCAUUUUGAUAUAUUAUGGGUCGAAUUUGGUUAAGAAACGAUGGAGUUACGAAGCUUUGAAAAUUGCCCAAACUUCCGGCCAAGAGCUCCGGGACACUUAACGAAGUUUUUAAUGGAAUGACCAAAAUAAUGGAUGGUGGACAAUCUCAGGGACCACUUUGAUUGAUUUGAAAUGUUAGGGACCAAAGUGAUGAGUUAUGCAAAUCUCAGGGACCAUUUUGACUAUUUACCCUUUAGUUUUUGGGGUGGAGAUGCAUUGGGGUCUAUCACUGUUCACCAGGGUCUAUCACUGUUCACUGAGUGAAUUAAAUGGGCUGGGUGCUGGCAUAUUUUUUUAGGGGUGGAACUACUCUUAUAGGAGGGUGUCCGGCCCUUUGGGUGGGAGAGUGGCCGGCCAUAUAUGGUGGUGAUUGGAGAAUAAUUGCAAGAUAUUGGAGAAUAAUUGCAAGAUAUUAUGUGAAAUAAUAUAUUGCAAUUAACAUGACAAUUAUUUCUAAAUUAAAUAGGAAGUUUUGGAAGUUACCUUUUGAAUAAAAUCAAUAAGGGAUUGAUUAGGAGUGAUGAGAGGAAUAUGAAAUAAAUCCAUAUUGAUCACCUUUGACUCUUCCUAGAUUGAGCCCUUAUUGUCCGUUACAUGCGCUUGGAAAUCUCAGUGUGCUUUGAGGAUAGUUUUGUCUUUUUACUCAAAAGUCCACGUGUCACCUCUAUGAUCUUUUGGAUUGUUUUUAGCUUCACAAAUGCCCACACACCUGCUGGGCUGCUCGUAGGAAAGGGCAGUAUGUAAUUACACUCUAUCCUCAUCAAGAAGGCCUAUGAAAUUAGAUCUUCAUCCUUAUGAUGCCUUAGAUUCUUUAAAAUGUCUCUGCAUGGGAAGAGUGAAUAAACGAAGAACAAAAUUAACUUCAUAUGUCAGCCUAUAUCUAUAUAUAGAUGUAUAUUCUUUUUUUUUUUAUAAUUAAUUAAUUAAUUUAUUAUCUCGAACUGAAGAAUUGCAUAUGCAUAUAUAACUCCAUUUGGUGCUUUCAUAGUAACUAAAUUAAAUAGAUACUGAAAAUUAGCCUCGAGCUAAGAUGGAAAUGGCACUAGUAUUCAAUUUCUAUAGCUACACUCGCGGACUAUUAUAUUAUUGUGACGUCUGAUCAAACACCCAAAUAUUUAUACAAUUUAAUUCCACUAGGAUUCUAAAAUUGAUAUUGUUUCCUUGUUUUCUUUCAAGCCGUCUGCUAAAACAAGUCCCGAAAUCUAUCAACUAAUUUCCCCUUCGUAGACCAAAAACAUUUGGGCCUUAAAUGGUUUCAUGAGCUAGUAAGGCCAAUAUGAGAUUGAGCCAGACCUAUCUUAUUUGAUUACUAUUUUGUUGCACAUUCAACGAGAACGACUUAUUUACUACUACAAUAUAGUGAUAUUUCUUUUUAUUUGUAAUGAUAGUUUGUAGGUUCGACUCAUGUAAAUGGCUAAUUCAAUACUAAAUUAUGAUGUUUGGCUCAUUGUGCGACUAACCCAAACCCCACACCUGUAAAGAAAUGAUAAAGACUAAUCUAAAAUAGGGGUGACAGAUUGCCAGAUGUAUUACAAGCCAAUUUUAAUAGUUUCCCUCCAAUCCCUCAACCAUGGCAAGAUGUCUUUUAUUGUGGAUUUAGAAUGCAUUUGACCUAACACGCUUGUUUCAUGCUAGUCUUUCUCGCAUUCAAAACAAAGUACCUUAGUUUUUAAGGAAAACUAAUGAAAAUGGCUUGAAAAGUUUUAGUUUUAAUAAAAAAAAAACCAUGUUAUAAGUUUUGUUUAAUGAUUAGUACAAUACCCAUAUUAAAGUAGUCCAACUAAAAAUGGCUCAACUAUAAUAAAUUAUGAUUUAUCGAUUUUACCCCUAACUUUUUUAUGUUGAGUUCCAGAUUUUCGUCGUUAAUGGAAUUCAUCGUUGUUUUGCAGACCUUCUUCUUUUUCUUUGAAACAAAAAUAUAGAUCAUCAUGCUAUUUUAUUUAUAUUUUGUAUUAUUUUGUUGAAAUGUGAUUGUCGUUAUUAUUCAUAGUGUAUUCGAGGUAUUGUUUUUCAAUUUUUCAUCGUCAGUGGAGUUCAUCGUUUGUUUCUCCAGAAAAUAAAUUUGAGAUCUGCAUGAUAUUUAAUAAUAACGACGGGUCACUGUUUCUGGACUAUAAAAAUAAACUGUUUCUGGAUUUUAAGUAACCCUGUUUCUGGAAUAUAAGUCGCUGUUUCUGGAUUUUAAGUAACACUGUUUCUGGAAUAUAAGUCGUUGUUUUUGGAAUCUAAGUUACUGUUUCUGGAAUCUAAGUCACUAUUUCUGGAUCCAAGUGAAAUAGACACAUUGUUUCUUAAAUGUAAGCUAGAAAGGAAAUAGUGAAAUUCACUGUAUUUGGAUUCAAAGCAAAAUAAGCACCAUGUUUCUUAAAUAUAAUCAACUGAUGUAUGAAAGAAAAGAAACAGUCAAAGGUUAAAACAUAGACUAUUUCUGGAACUAAGUCACUGUUUCUGGAAUUUAAGUCACUGUUUCUGGAUUUUGGUUCUUUUCUUUCCAGAUACAGUGUUUGUUUGUGCACAGACAAAACAAACAUUGUAUCUAAUUUUUUUUCCAGAAACAGUGUUAUGUUUUGGGUUAUUCAGAGACAGUUUUAUGUUUUGGUUCUUUUUUUUUUCCAGACAUUUUUUCGCUGAUUUCUGCCAUUAAACUUCUUUGAACUUGUUUCGGUGACUUUGUUCCGAUGAAUGCUUCCUUUUUCAACUUUGAUUUGGUUGUUUUUGAAAUGGGGGGAAUUCGAUUUGAUAGGAAGACAUGGAGUUAUUAUGGCAGUUUCGUGCUGGGUUGAGGUUGGUGAAGAGUCAAGACAAUAUCAAAUCAUUUAGGGGUAUUUACGGAAGUGUAGAUUUGUAGUGGGUUGGACUUGUAAGUUUGAUCUGUGGACAAUAGUUUUGGAUGAUUUUUUUAUUAAACUUUGAGCCCUUUUCGUUAAAUAACAUUUUGGAUGGUUUUUGGUUAAAUAUUUGUUGGCCCAAAAUCUUUUCAUUAAAGUUCCCUAGUUUUUAUAUAGUGAGCACAUAUGUAGGGGUUUAAACAUGCUCGAACUAAUUGGAAUUAUCCUCAAUUUUUUAGUGAAAUGAGUCGACCUCAUAAAAAAAUAAAAUAAAAUAAAAAAAGAGUCGAUACGGAACUUUGAUAUAUUCAGCUCAUAUAUUUUGUGAGAUAGCUCGAACUUGGUUCAAGCUCGACUUGUUCGUUUCAAGACGACCCAAUGGAACGUGGUAUUAAUACUAUGAUUAUACGUUACAUAAGGAGUUGAAUAUAGUAUAGUAUUGUUUCCAAGACUAGCACACAAACACGACCACCCAAGCUAUCAUUGACGUAUGCAGGAGAAAUAGAGCUGGAAUUUAAGCAGCAAUUUGAUUUUGAUUUGCGCACACGCAAGCACACCUGCAGACGUGGGUCUUGCUGGAGCUUGUUCUUUGCAUUUUUCUGGUUCUACUCAAUUCUUUUAGAUCAAAUAACUACUCUUUGAUUUUAUAUAAGUGAGUUUUAAUGGGAAAAUUUCACCCAACAAAAUCUUCAAUGAAAAACACAUUAAUGAUUUUUAAUGAAAAUUUUGAAAAAGCGGUUGUCGGUUUUACGAAGAAAUGAUUGUUGGUGUCAACUUUAACUUAAUUGUGAUACUAUCAUUACACCUAAACUUUAACUUAUUUACAAUAUUGUCAUUGUCUUUUGUCUUUGUAAUUAAAGAAAGGGAUAAUUUGAAAUAGGUUCAAUUUUCUAACCUACUUUUGAAACAGGUCCAAUUUUUGUGUGAUGUUGACUUUUGAAAUAGGUCCAAUUUUUAGUCCAAUUGGACCUGUUUCAAAAGACCCCUUAAAGAAAACUCAUUGUUUGUUUUAGGAUAAAAAUUUGAGGUUCUUUUCAUUAGUUUUCUUUAUGCAAAUGAUGUUAAAAGAAGAGCGAAAAUGGAAAAGGAAAAGAGUUGUUCCAACCUUAUACAUCUUUGUAUGUCACUCCUUACACCAAAGUCUUCAUUCUGCAAAUUGAUGCUUAAAACUAGAAUGAAUGAGGAUUUCGUAACGUAAUACUUUAAUAUAAUUUUUUUUUACUAAACGAGUGAAAUUAGAAAACUUUUCGACCCAAUUUACCAAUCAUCUCCAUGUCAAUAUGAAUUUGAGAGACUAGAUUUCUUUUUCUUUUUCUUUUACUGAUAUUUCAACACAUAUUUAUGUAGUCUUUUAGUAUCAACCCCCAUACAUUUUUACAUGUCCUCUCCUUGUAUUUGACCCGGUUUGAGAUAGUAUUUUAUUCUUUUAAUAUUAACAAAAAUGUUAAAUUAAAAUUGAAGAUCUCUCCCAAAAUUGAAAAGAUAAGUGUUAAUAGACCAAAAACUAAUUCUUUUGAUAAAGAGAUUCUUAACGUGUAGCUCAAACAUUUACUUGAGGAAAAAAAUUUAAAAACUCUACUUGUAUAGCUAAUAAGCCCCCCGUUUAUAAUAAAAAUACGUGUGAUGCGAUAUUCUGAACAUUACUCUCAAUAGAACUAUAAAUAAAAUAAAAAAGUGCAUAAUGACAUGUGGGUCAUGUGAUGAUUAUCAACCUUUAGCGAUGGAUGAUUUAAUUUAUCUAAUAUGUUUUGCGAGUUGAUUAUUAAGGAUUAGAGACUUAGUUAACCUCCCUAUAUUUGAUUAAUUAAGUAGCAUUGCAUUUACUUUGGACAAACACUUGAAUAUCAGAGUGCGCAACGAACAAGACUAACAAAAUAAUAGGAAUAUUAUUAAACAAACUAGAAUGCCGGAACGGCUAUAAAACCCUAAGAGACUACAUUGUGAAUAACUUGAUAUUCUAUGAGCUACAAAGCAUCAUAUAUAUAGAGAACUAACCUAAUCCUAAUAAACAAGAAAACGAAAUCCUAAUACUAACGGGCUAAGCCCAGAAAACUAAGCAUUCAAAUAAACCUAAAUAUACUAAUAUUUUCCAACACCCCCCGUCAAACUCAUGGCGGUAUACGACAUGGGUUUGCAAACAAGCAGAUGCGGACUGACUCCGUUAGGCGGACUGGCAGGCAUGCAAACUUGACUUGACUGGCGAACUGGUUCUUGAUUACUUGACUUGACUUGACUUGAUUCUUGAUUGCAAACUAACAACUGACAAACUGGUUCUUGAUUCUUGACUGGCUAGUGUUGAGAGUAUGGAAGAACCCGUCACUAAACGAACAAGAUUUUCAUAUCUCAAUUCUAGCAACGAACUACCACUCGAAUGAUCACAACUUCAAGCACUCGAGUGACCGUCACAAACACAAUUCCAAACAGCCAACAACUCAGUGUGGACCUAAAACAAACUUAACCAUUUUUUGUCUUUGCCCGAGUGGGCCUAAAGCAACAGUAAACAACCAAUAUAUAUAUUUUUUUCCUUCACUUCCUUUGCUUCUAUUUUCCUUUUUUUUUUCUUUUUUUUUUCUUACUCCCUUUCAGGAGGUCUGGUCUUCUUCAUACCUGCAAAACAAGCACAGCAGACGACGGGAUGGUGCAGAAGAUCAGUGAGGCCGAGAGAGUGCAGUGAGUAGCGACUCGAUCGUGGUUUGGUGCGGCGGUGGGAGACUGCAGGGGAUUUGGUUGGGUUUUUGCAGGCGUGCAGGGCGAGUCGAACUAGUGCAGAUGCAGUGGAUCUGUAGCGGGUGGUUCCAGUGGUAGCGUGGUGGUGAUCUGAUGAGGUAGAGAGGGGAUGCAGUGGCGGUGCGAAGAUAGGGCGAGGACAAACUCAAUUCGAGUUUGUGGUUCUCGGGUCGAGCAGUAACGGUGCAGGGAACGAAACAUCUGGAGUCGGGGAUGGCAACGGCAAUCAAAAACUGGUGUGGGUCUAUCUGGUAGUGGACAGGCUGGUGCGGGUUGAGCAGCAUCGAUGGUACUAGCAGGCUGGGCAAAUAGACGCAAACCUUUUUCUAAAAACAAAACCUAACUAGAAAACAAACUAGCUACCAAGAACAGAUUCAAUCCCAAAGAAUAAAACCUGCUCUGAUACCAAGUUGAAUAUCAGAGUGGGCAACGAACAAGACUAACAAAAUAAUAGGAAUAUUAUUAAACAAACUAGAAUGCCGGAACGGCUACAAAACCCUAAGAGACUACAUUGUGAAUAACUUGAUAUUCUAUGAGCUACAAAGCAUCAUAUAUAUAGAGAACUAACCUAAUCCUAAUAAACAAGAAAACGAAACCCUAAUACUAACAGGCUAAGCCCAGAAAACUAAGCAUUCAAAUAAACCUAAAUAUACUAAUAUUCUCCAACACAAACAAAAUAAAUAAAAAGAAACAAAUCCCAUGAAAUACAAAGACAAAACCAAAUCAUAGAUGGAUCAUAGUGGAAUUCACAAUUGGACGAUUACACAUGCGGCAGCUAACAUGCACGUGGGGAAGCUUAAUAAUAGCCGACCAAGACCCUCAUGUGCUAAUCAUAGUGCUUAAACAUUUCAUGACCAACUUGGUUUUAAGAGAGACCUAUCAGAGUAUUUCUAAUGUAAAGACUCGAUUUUAGACAAUAUUUUUAUAUUGGGAUCUUAAAAGGUGAUGUAUUUGGAUCUUAAAAACUCAAAUUCUAGAACUCAUUUUGUGUUUCAAAAUUUGAGUCCUUGCACUGCAGAAGAAGAUAUUGGACUCAAAAUUCAUAUUUGAAUUUUAACCAUUUGGUUGUUGUGUAUUGAAGAUGAUUGGACUCAAAUUUCAUUAUUCUUGGUUGAGUAACAAUUUUCUUAGUUGGCAUGGGCUUCACAACUCAAAUCUCAUACUAAAACUCAAAUUGGAUCUCAUUUCCGCCAGAGACAUAAAUAUGAGUUUUAAGUCUCCGGUGCAUUGAAGAACCUUUAGACUCGUGUUUAGACUCAAAUAUAAGAUUUGAGUCCAAAUUUUUUUGGUGCAUUGGAGAUGCUUAGUGUGCUCGAAAUAUAAGGUGGUCAAGAUUGAAUUGAACGAUCAAGAUUGAAUUGAGAAAUGAACGAUCAAGAUUGAACUGAGAAAAUACUAUUUUUAUUUACUUUCCAAUCUAAUGGACAUAAAAUCGGAUUACCCAAUUAUAUGAAUUAUUGAAGACUUACCUAUAUCGGACUACCCAACAAUUCAAACUAAUGAAGAUUUACCCAUAAAAUGAGACAUAUUAAUCUUGUCGUCCUUGGAGUACACAUAAAAAUUUCUAGGGUAGUGCUAUCACACACUCAUUUUUACUUCUCACACCACUCUCAAUUUUCGGACGUCGGUUUGAAUGAGUUGAAGAAGAACAAUGACAAAAAAUUAACAAGAGUGUGUAAGAAGUAAAAAUGGGUGUGUGAAGAACAUUUUCCAAUUUCUAAUGAUUUAGCUCUUUGAUUUGAACCAUGAGAUAAGCCAGUGGUCUUCAUCAAGGUAAUGGAGUGGCGCGUGAGGAUCGUGUAAAAAAUUGAAAACGAAGAAACGAGAGAGUAUCAAAUGAUUGAGAGAAGUGUGUGUCUGGUUAGGACAACGAUCUUUUAUAUUGACAAAUCUUUCCAAGCGACCACCCAUAAAUUUGAAAGGAAGUGACUAUAAAUUCUUGACCAUCAUGUCACCAAGCAGUCGAAAUUCGUUAUUUUAAGUGGAAUUGCACAGAUAAUUCAUGUGAUUGUAGAGAGAUGUCUCAAAAUAAUCUGAAAGAUCUAAGAAUACUCAUGUGGUGGAAUUAAUUGUCUCAGUUCACAAUGAGACAAUUGUGAUGUUGAAGGUUGGUAACGGACAAAAGGGAAAAGAAGAAGAGGCCGAUGGGCACGUUGACGACUCAAUGCACAAUAAAGAGAAAGAUCGGUUGUGUUCAAUUCCAAUCAAUUUUUGUCAAAAUUGAGAUUUUCUUAAAGUUCCUUGGCUUUAUGUGUAACUUUAUGACAGAACUUGAGUGAAGAUUGUUGUGGAUGCAAAUUUUCACCGUCUCUUCCUUUUAAAAAAAUGCAUUUGUAAAGUAAUAACGCUUCAGAUUAAGGUCAAAAGUCUUACGCGCCCACGAUUAAUGAGGGGGGUUUUUGAUCGAAGAAUCUCCGAUGCUAAAAUUAGAAUUCUGAAGACAUAAUUUAGCUAUGUAGAUAGUGAAAGUCACCCAACUCUCCAGACCUAAGUUUCAGAACUUAAAAUGUAUUAAUUGUUUUAGAGAAACUUUGAGUUAUGUUAUCUUAAUUUAGUUUUACGAUUGUUUUAACCUAAAAAAAUUUAAUUCCAACAAAAUUUCCAAAACGAAACAAACUACACCAACCAACCACUAACUGACCAAACCUCAAUGUACACAUCAACCAACCAAACUUCAAUACACAAUACCAAAUAUGCAUAUUAUUUUGACCGUUGAAUUUAAAUUUCAGCGUUGGAUCGUUUUUACCAUUGGAUUUGACAAAAACAAAUAUGGAUUAUUUGAUCAAUUUCAAGGGAUUGCCCAAAAAAGGGAGUUUGAUCUGGACCAUUGAUAACCAAUGGUCCAGAAAUCGAAUGGCCACAGUUAUUGUUGGAUAGUUGAGUUCCUGCCAUGUGGGGGCUAGUUGUUGGCCACUAACUCUUAGAUCAGCUAAAUUUGAACCCAAAUUUAGAUUUAGAUUUGGAUCCAAACCCCAAUUUUUUAGGUGGCAAAAUUUUGAGUUUAAACUCAAAUAUUUGAGUUUGGGUCUAUGGGCUGAAGUUGGUCUAAUAAAUCAAAAGCUAAUUCUUUGAAAAAUAGAUAUGUGGGACCAUAAUUUUCACCUCUCCAAACAUAACAUGUCCACAUCUUAGAACUAAUACAAUGACGUCAAAGGAGAGGGGAAAAUGAGAAGGAAACUCUGGAGAGUAGAGAGAAGGAAAAGGAGAAGGGAAAUGUAGAAAAGGAAGGGGUGGGAAUGAGAGAAAAUUCCGGAUAAUAGAGAAAAGAAGGGAAAAGAAGAGAGGAAAUUUCGGAGAAUAGAGAAAAAGGAGAAGGGAAAAGAAGAAAAGAACAGGAGAAGGGAAAAGGAAAAGAGGGAAAAAGGAAAGGAAAGUCACAUCCAUCAUUAUGUCUACUAACUGUUUCCCAUUUUCUUACAAAUGGGAGUGAGAGACGGAAAAACAAGAAAAGAAAAACACAUGGCCAAACAUUCAAAAAAUAUACAAAUACGCCAAAGAGCAAAUUGCUCCCAAUUUCCCUUGUUUCUUGCUUUGUAAAUUAUAUUUUGUGUAAAGAGAAAUCAGUAUUGCUACUCCGAGGACGUUGGCACAACUUGUCAAACCCCGUCAAUAUUGUGUCUUAUAUAGGGCUAGUUCGGGUCGGGAUCUCGAACCGAAACGCUCAAUCCGAAUCCCAAACCAAAACAUUUCGGGAUGAGAUUUUAUAUCCCAACAUUGAACCGAAAAUAUGCAAUUCCCGAAAUUCGGGAUACCCGAAACUGUUUCGGGAUUUCGGGUCGGUAUUGGGUGGGAGCUGCCACAGAGUUCUCAAUCUCUUGUGCAAACCAAAACCAUGGAAAAACUUGCAGGUGGAGACUGAGGCGACAAUGUUAAAGUUCAAGAGAGUUCUCUCUCUCCUCAGCCAUGGAAGAGGAAGAGUGAGAAAGUUGAAUAAAAACCUAAAUUAUAUACAUAUACAUACACUUACAGCACGCAUGCAAUAAUCAAAUAUAAAACAAAAGGAAUCCUUGCUGCCCAUGAUGCAGCUGCCACGCCCAUGAUGUGCAUCCACCACGCAGAAAAAGUUUUUCUCAGAAACCCAGUUCCGGAUGCUAAUCUCAAGCUUCCCCUCCAAAUUCCCAAAACAAAAACUUUGCAGCAACACCAGGAAGAGAGAGAAAAGUUGCAGUUUCACGGUGACUUAGAUGGAGGAGCGGUGGGAGCAGUGUUCGGGAGAGUUGGAGUAAGCGACUGAGAGUCUGAGGAAGUGAGGAAUACAACAAAAGACCUAACUCACAAUGGACGGUUGGAUUAGAUCUUAACCAAUCCAACGGUCCAAGUGAUUUCUAAUUAAAAAUUAAAAAUAAAUAAAUAAAUAAAUAAAUAUAUAUAUAUAUAAAAUAUUCGGUUCGGUUCGGGAUUACCGAACACUUUCAAAGGUGUGGCCGAAUCCCAAACCGAAACUUUCGGGAUCGGUUCGGUUUCGGGUACUUAAUUUUCGGGAAAUUCGGUUCGGGCAUUUUUCGGUCAAAUUUCGGGACGGGUUCGGGACUGUUUGGGAUUUUCGGGAAAAAAUUCCACCCCUAGUCUUAUAUACAUUUCUCGUCAUCUUAUAUAUUUCGUAUAUAUGUGCAACAUAUGUUCCAACAAGAUCCUUACGUGUAGCUCAAACACUAACAGAAGAACAAUAUUUACAAAAUCUACAUGUGCGCAACAUGGUUUGGUUGACGACAACAAGUCUAUCAAGUGUUCGACAAAAUGCCUUAGUGAACAAACUGAAUUUUUUUUUUCUUUACAUGCUUCCUUCUCUGUUUCUAUCUAAAAACUUGGACCUAAUACUGAGACCCUAAGAUUUGAAUUAUGGACCAACCACUGCCUCAAGUGUUCUCUUUUGGUCCAGCCUAUAAUUAUAUAAAAAAAAAAGCAUAUAAUUGCAAAACAAUUCGAUCAACCACCUCAAGUUCAACUAUACAUGUACCCAGAUUCAGGUUAUUCCAAACUUACCUUAUAAAAGUAACUAAAUAUUACUGUCACAUUAUUAUGCGGUUUUAUCAAGUUUUAAUUUUUAUCUUAUAAUCACGUCAUCUUUAAGAUGAUUGGUAACACUAGUUGGUGGAUUGACGAUUGGUAGAAAUGGCUUCAACAUUUCAAGGAUGAGAAGUGAGUAUGGAGCACCGAUCAAAACGUGCUGUAUUCUAUCACAAAAAAUCCGGAUGCAAUUAAAAGUGCAUUUUAUCACAAAAAGGUGAGCAACGAACGAUCAACAUAAUUUGUAAUUUAUAAAAUCACAUAUAAAACAAGAAGUGCUUUUUCCUUUUUCUUCGUCUCUGCCACUAGUGGCCGACCAUGACUGAAAGAAACGCUUUUUGGGUCAAUGCAUGUGAACGCCCCAUUUUAUAAUUGUUGGUAAAUUUUCCUGGAAGUAGAUAGGAAAUUAGGAAUGACCCAAUUAAAUAUUUCCCCUGCACACAGACAUUUGCAUUGCACCUAUCAAAGAGUUGUUUGUCCAUCGAUCCACAUCAAUGGCUCUUGUGAGAACAUCUCAAGGAACCUCCUCUGAUUCCAAAAAAAUUCGGGGUUAUCGCCACGACGUGUUCUUGAGCUUCAGAGGCGACACUCGCAAGACUUUUACCGACCACCUCUACACAGCCUUGAACAACGCAGGAUUUAACACGUUCCGAGACGACGAUGAACUUGAGAGAGGAGAAGAUAUAAAGCCAGGACUGCAGAAAGCGAUCCAGCUGUCACGAGCUUCUGUUGUCGUGUUUUCGAAAGAUUACGCGUCAUCCAGAUGGUGCCUUGAUGAGCUUGUGCUGAUCCUUGAACGCAAGAGGACCACCUCGAACCAUGUAGUUUUACCAGUCUUCUACGAUGUCGAUCCGUCCGACGUGAGGAAGCAGACGGGAAGUAUUGGAAAAGCAUUUGCUAGACACGAGAAAACUCAGUCGCCGAAAAAGGUGAAGGGAUGGAGGGAGGCAGUUGCAGAGGUUGCAGAUCUAGCAGGCAUGGUCUUACAAAAUCAAGCUGAUGGGUACCUUUCAUUUUCUCCAUUUCUCUCUUUCUUCUGUUAAUUGAUAAUAUGAUCCGUAGGGACCUUGAUUUUUAUAUUUUUUUUAUUCAACCUCAGUAGUGAAUAAUAAUCCCAAUUUAGGUCAACUUAAAGAAAUCACACUUGACUCAACUUAAGGAUUAGUCAUUUUCCAUGUUAGUCUACUGGUUUCCAGUUGCUUAAAAUGUUUCAAAAGCAGGUGUGGAAAAAAGUUGGUUGAUUUAUUAAUUAUCUAAAUUCCCCAAUUCAUUAUUCACUCUAAAUUCCCCAAUUCAUUAUUCAUUCAUCCAAUACUUCUGUGAGACAUAACAUGUUUGAUUUAUUUUUCAUUUUGUUUGUAAAUUCUUAGGUAUGAGUCAAAGUUUAUCGAAAAAAUUGUUAAAGUGAUUGGAGGCAAGUUAGGUCGCACACCAUUGAGCGUUGAACCAAAAUUGAUUGGAGUCAAAUCUCAAGUCAAGGACAUCAAUUUGUGGUUACAAGAUGGAUCAACCGAUGUCGGUAUACUGGUUGUGUAUGGCAUGUCUGGAAUAGGGAAGACAACCAUUGCAAAACAUGUUUACAAUUCAAACUUUAGAAGCUUUGAACGAAGUAGUUUCAUUGAAAAUAUCAGAGAAACAGCAAAUCAACCAAAUGGCUUGGUUCAAAUACAAAGCAACUUCUUUUUGAUAUUUUGAACGACAUAGAAGUGAAAAUACAUGGUGUUAGUGAGGGACUAAGAAAGAUUGAAAGAGCCAUAAGCUCUAGAAGAGUGCUUCUUGUUCUUGAUGAUGUGGACCAUAUGGACCAGUUAGAUGCAGUACUAGAGAUGAAAGAUCGAUUUUAUUCAGGAAGUAAGAUACUUAUAACAACUAGGCGUGAAAGGUUGCUAAAGGCACAUCAAGUUACAAAGGUGCACAAAGUUGGAACUUUGUAUUACAGUGAGUCAUUAGAGCUUUUCAGUUGGCAUGCUUUUCGCCAGGAUCAUCCCCUUAGAGGUUACAUGGAAUAUUCAGAAAAGGUUGUACACUACUGCGACGGACUUCCAUUAGCUCUAAAAGUUUUGGGCUCUUCUUUAUCAGGGGAAAGUAUAGAUGUAUGGAAAAGUGCAUUGGAGAAGCUAAAAGUUAUCCCUAAUGGUGAAAUCAUGAAUAAACUACGAAUAAGCUAUGACAGUUUACAAGAUGACCAUGACCGGGAAUUAUUCCUCCACAUUGCUUGUUUCCUAAUAGGAAGGAACAAAAGCCACAUUGUUAGAAUAUUCGAUGGAUGUGAUUUCUAUACAAUUGUUGGCAUUCAAAUCUCAUUGAUAGAUGCUUGGUGACAAUUGAUGGAUGCAACAACGUGCAAAUGCAUGACAUGAUCCGUGACAUGGGAAGAGAAAUUGUUCGUCGCGAAUCAGAAGAUCCUGGAAAACGUAGUAGAUUAUGGCGCCAUAAGGAUUCUUUCGAAGUAAUGAGGGAAAAGAAUGUAAGAAACAUGUCUUUUAUGUCUAUAUGUAUUUCUUCUUGUAAAAAUUAUCCAUACUAACAUUUUCGUUUUUGUCCUUUAGGGUACAAAAAAAAUCCAAGGUCUUGUCCUGAAUAUGCGUAUGCAUCCUGCAAACAGUCCAAUAAACACAACUGAGACAGUCUUGGAAACCAAUGCAUUUGAAAAGAUGCGCAAAUUACAACUACUACAUCUUAGUCAUGUACGACUGGAUGGAUGUUAUGCAGAUUUGCCUACAGGAUUAAGAUGGUUGUGUUGGCUUCAAUUUCCUUUGGAUUCUAUACCUAUUGAGUUUCCUUUGGGGUGUCUAAUUGUUCUUGAAAUGCAAUACAGUAGAUUGAGACAAGUCUGGAAAGGAAAAAAAGUACGUUACUCUAGGCAUUUCAAUUCAGUUUUUAUUUUAUUUUUUGACCAAUUGCAUUUGUUAAAAUUAACUCCUACACAUUUUUUUUUCUUCUUUGUUUUUAUUUUACACAGUUUCUUCCAUCGUUGAAGAUCCUUGACCUCAGCCAUUCCCAUGCCCUCACUGAAAUCAUGGACUUCUCACUUUGCCCCAGUCUAGAAGAAUUGAUUCUUGUUGAUUGCACCAGCCUGAUUGAUGUUCAUGAAUCCAUUGGAAACCUGGAGAGACUCGUGUACUUGAAUAUGAAGGAUUGCAAGAAUCUUAGGAUGCUUCCGAAGAACGUGUGUUUUCUUAAAUCACUUGAAACACUCAUUUUAUCUGGUUGCUCAAAUCUUGAUGAGUUUCCAGUGGAGAUGAUGAAGAAGAUGGAGUCUCUAAAAGUUCUUGAAAUAGAUAAAAUUCCAAUAAGAGAAUUAUGGCCAGAAAGAAGUUCAACUAUCUUGAGUUCUUUUCCAUGCUCUUUAGUAGAGUUGAAUCUUAGUAGGUGCAAUCUUUCUGAAGAUGCCUUUCCUACGGAUUUAAGUAAUCUAUCCUCAAUACGAAGACUAUAUCUAGAUAAGAAUCCAAUUUGUAGCCUACCAGUUUUCAUCAAAGGUUUGAGGAGGCUCGAUUCUCUCUCUUUCCAGAGUUGUACGAGGCUCAAAUCGCUUGUGGGGUUACCGAGAAUACACAAAAAUAUGAAUGUAUCCUUUUGCAAAUUAUUAAAAAAAGUAACAUAUCAAUCGUUAUGGUUCCAAGAAGAGGCCUUUGUGGAAGACAACUACAACAUGGUUGAGUGGGAGUACUAUUUCAAAUUAGAGCUUAUUGAUAGAGUUGAUGUGGAAAUGAUCAAACUUUUGGGCUUGUGCAACUUGGAAUCCAUGCCUGCAAUACGAAUGAACAGCGAUCUAUUCUCAUGUUCAAAAGUGAGUCCUGUCCAGGUGCGCCUAUCUCUCUCUCUCUCUCUCUCUCUCUCUCUCUCUCUCUCUCAUAAGUCAUAUAUAUAAUGGGAAAUAAAUGACUUAGUAAUGUUGUGAUGAUCAUGGAAAAUGCGUAGGGACUGUAUCAAUUUGGUAUAUUCAGCACAUUUUUUGUUGGGAAGGAGGUUCCAGGCCGGUUCAGCUAUAAAAGUACCAAGUCCUCCAUAUCUUUUAGUGUCCCUUUACUCCCUUCUAGUCAUAGAAUCCGAGGCUUGAACAUCUUUGCUACCUAUGCAAACGAGGAGGAUUCUGAUAAUGAUGAUUUUCCAAUAAUAAUCAAAGUGAGUAACAAGAGCAAGGGUUUGAAGUGGAUCUAUUUCCCAUUAUUCUAUGGUAUCCCAGGUGACGGAGAAGAUAUGAUAUGGUUGAGCCAUUGGAAGAUGGAGAACGAAACAAUAUUACAAUGUGGAGAUCAAGUGGUGGUUUCAGUAAUGGCCGGACCAGAGAAGUUGUUUCGUAUAAAGGAGUUUGGUGUCGAGCUUAUGCAAGAGCACCAGAAUAAUAUGAUGAUAAGUACUCAACAUAACACCAAAUCAGAUCCUAAUUAUCCAAAUGUCUUCGGUGGAGAUUUGUCCAUGUGGGAGCAUAUACCAGGAAUAUACUUCCUUGGUUUCGAUGACAAAAUUGUUGAAGUGAAAUGGUUUAAUCACCUCAUCAUGGACGUUGAUGAAGGAGACACAGGUAUGCAAUGAAUUAUACUCCAUCCAAACACUUCCAAGUCCUUCUGUAUUCAAUUAAAAAACAUAAAUAUUAUGUUAUUUGUUUGUUUUUCAGAGAAAGAAGGGCAGGAGGAUGAACCUGAUUACACAGUUUUAAGGACAAGGGCUGCCAGUAACAACUGUGGCCUCAGAGGCUGGAAGGUGCUCGUCACAGCUGCCGGAUUAUUUUUCACGCUUGCUCUUGUAGUUCGGUCCUCCAUCUCCCAGAAAGAGAAGCGACAAUAGUCCACAAGCCAUCCAUGAGUUUGUAAUUUUAUUCGAUACAGACAUCUUUGGGUUCCCUCCUUGUUUUCAAGAUGUUUUCUGCCUUCAAAAUAUCGAAGUUUCCAGAUGCGUUCAACAUCAUCAAAUAUUGCAUAAAAUACAUCCAACAUUAGCGAUACUUACGAAUUUUUCUUCCAUGCCACUGAUUGCAUACAAUCCCGUACUAGAGAAGAUAAACAAUGGGUAUAGGGUUUAGGGUGAAAAAAAAAAUGAUUCUAAACAUACAAGGGAAGGACUUUGACAUAGGUAUCUUUAGCAAUACCAGGCAAGAAUCAAUUCUUCGAAUUGGGGGAAAAUAUUUCGGCAUCAAGGAAAGCAAAAACAUCCUAUCUGCUUAUAAAUGCCAAAUUUACAGAUAUUAAUUGUCAUUUACAACAAAAUCAUACUUCUAAAAGACUCGGCUCCCAUUGAAAAAUUGUGUAACUUACAUAAAUAUCAGUGCAACAGAUAUUAGAUUGAAUAAUAUAUCAAAUAAAUUAACAGCAAACAAUUUCUUAGCCUGAGAUUCAAGGACUAUACAGCUGAUUCAACCUUGCAUCGCUACUACACUAUGGAAGCUGGUUUCUGCUUCUUCAACCCGAACAAAUUAUUGACGUCAAGAAGCAUAGGAGAAACGACCAUGGUCUCUGGAGCCAUGAAAUUUACUAUCUUCUCAUAAACAUUAUCCACGCAAAAGCAUAAUGCAAUAAGCCUUGAACAAUGUAGUCUAGUUUGCUCAACAGAUGCUCCAAGAUAUUCCAAAACAAAAUCACAGCAGUUUCACAUAGGGAACCGAAGAAUCUAUUGAUACCUUAUCUUGCGACUAUUAGAGGCUCUUCUGUCAACAAUCUUCCUCUUCUUAGCAUGCAACUUUUUCAAGGAAUAAAAUGAUGUCAACAAUCUUCCUCUUCUUCGAAUUGGGGGAAAAUAUUUUGGCAUUGGGGAAAGCAAAAACAUCCUAUCUGCUUAUAAAUGUCAAAUUUACAGAUAUUAAUUGUCAUUUACAACAAAAUCAUGCUUCUUAAAGACUCGGCUCCCAUUGAAAAAUUGUGUAAAUUACAUAAAUAUCAGUGCAACAGAUAUUAGAUUAAACUAGAAAAUGUGCCCGCGCUUUGCUGUGGGCGUUGAUGUAUUUGUCGCAACAGGCUGAAUAGUUUCCCCACAAAGCAACUAAAAAGACAACGUAACCAUCGAAAUCAAAUUUUACUUGCUAUAUAUGAAUAUGCAUGCUAUAAGAAACAUCCAUUUGUAGAUUGUAUUGUGUCCUCAAUAUCAUAGUUUCAAGUAAUCAGCCUACUACAUGGAGGAAAAACACAAAAUAGGGAAACUAGAAAAGUAGAAACAUAAUACUUGAGCAUCUAGCAAGAAUAGUAAAUUCCUGAAAAAAUUGCUAAACCGUUUUACAAAUUCAAUCGUUAAACGUUAUACUGUAACCCAAGACAAAGAUAAAGUAUAUAGUUUGUUUACAAAUCAAAACGAAGUGCUGCUACAAUCCACAACAGCUAUGAAUCAUUUCCAUAUAAAGAUACUCAAAUUUGACGGCACAUUGAAUAACCAUCAAGCAAAGCAAAAUACACCAUGUGCUGCUAACACGAAACUAAAACAAAAGGAGGAUUAAAAAUCGAAUUUUUUUUUAUAAAGCAUCAAUUGACAAAAUGCUUCUUGAUGUGGUCUUCCAAGAAAUGAAUGCAGCUCAAAAACAACUUAGAAAACACCUUAGAAAUCUUUCUCACCCCAAUCUUACUAAAUAGAAGCAUAAAUGGACUGGAUAGCUCCCUAAUUUUGUAAUAGAAACUCUAACAAAGAAUAUCAGGCUCCAAAGGCCAUGACUUUUCCUUGGCAUAAAUCUAUACAUUGCAAGUUUAAUUCCAAAGAAACAAAUAUGCGUGCAAAGUUAAAGGCAUCAACGCUACAUGUGCUGCUUACAAUUGUCUCAAGUUGCUGACACAAUGCCUAAAAUAUUCAAGACUCAAAGAUUUUCAUAGAAAUAGAACACCUCACCAAAACAAUAACCGAGGUUGUCGUUUUUGAAUCAAGCAGAUGCUUUGCAAGGCCUUCUUCAAUAUCGUCUCAUAUUCCCUUUUCAUUUUUCCUAUAUAAUACAAUAAACUGUUCAAAUCUAGACGUAAAUAAGAGAAUGCCACAUGCUACUAUCACAGUUGUCAGUCCUGAACAAUAAUGCAAGUCUAGUGGCAAAAACCACCUCAAUGAACAACUCACACACACACACACACUGAUCAUACAUCUCUAACUCUCUUUUUCAAAUAACAUACACUCUGAUCCAAAACAGGGUAUAUAAAAUGCACAUCCUUAUACAUUUCUAACUUUCUUUUUCGAAAUCCAAAAUAGGGUAUUCUAACUCUCUUUUUCAUUCAUUUCUCACAAACCAAUCAUACAUUUAAAAUAGGCUUUGAAUAAAAAUAGAGUAUAUAAUUAUAUACCUCAAAAUGCCUAGGAACCAACUUCCCUCUCCAACGUUUCAAAUUCCUGAAAUUUCCAACACAGUAAAUCCAUUAGUACUAUAUAAAUGAAAACACAAUUGAAACCCAUCAAACAAAACAAUCCCACAAUUUAAAUGAUUCAAUCCUACUGCAAUUGAAAUUCACAGAAAGAAUGAAAAACCAGAACAAAACUGCAGCACCUAAAAAGUUGUCACACAAAAAAACAUGGAAUGUAAAAAUAUUUCAAGAAAUCUAGUUCGUUAAUUUCCAGCUGCUAAGUGGCAUUAUGUAACUUUAGUGGUAUAACCCAAUAACUACUUAUCUGGUGGGUUGCACUUUUCUUCCUAUUGGUAAGGAAAGGAAAAUAAAAAUCAACCCCUUGGUCUUAGUUGUGGCUGCAAAGUGCAGGCCACCACCAAGUCUAAGUGUUUGUGUUUUAGCAAAACACUUAAAUAAAUUAAAUUCUGAAAUGUAAAUUAUAUUCCUAUAACUUUAAGAUGCACAUAUAGUAUUGUUGAAGUCAAACUGAAAGCACUGACAAUUCCAAGCAACAGAGCAGCGAUUAUUAAGAGCCAAAACUCAAUCCUAGUCUCCUCAUCCUGGUACUCAACUGCAUAAUCUUCGCUCAGCAUCGUUGACUGAAAUUAGGAGAGAAAAAGAAAAGGAAUUUCAGAAAUUGUCUAUGAAGCAAAGGAUACUGCAGUUGCUUCAAGACAUGUAAAUUGCAUAUGUAUAAAGUAAUUUUCUACAUUAAGUAACGAGGCUUAAGAUGUUGCAGAUAGGAUAAAACGCCAAAUGCUACAUAGAAGUUUCUAUAGAGUAUUUUACAUCUAAAUGCUAUCUUAAAUUGCCAUUAAGUAUUUUACAAUUUGCUGCACUGGGUUGUAUACAAUAAGAAAUAGGAUUCAGAUGCAUGCUAUGUUUAUGGUAUGGGUUACCAGAUAUGUAAACAAUCAAUAUGGUGUAUGUGAAUGUGAAUGGUAGCUCUUUUAAAUUGUAAGAAAUGCCAACAUAUCAUGUAUAAGUGACCUUUAACAUUGACAUUGUUAGAGAUUUUUGUGCAAGAGAGCUAUUGUAUAAGUGCCCCAUAUAAAUGAUUAUGCAAAAGAUAUGUUGGCAUUUCUUACAGUGAACUUAUGUCAUAUGGCAUGUAUUACAUUUCAAGGUCCUCAUUAACACUUGAAAAAUCUUGGACACAUAAAGCUGAAAAAUGCAAAUAAGUAAAUUGCUUUGAAAAAUAUAUUACGAUGAUAUUACCUUCCCAAUCACAACUCUUUUGCAUCUUGCCAAAUUUGUUGGACUCGGAUGUAAAAUUUUUCGACAUUGUAUUGCCAGGAGGACCCAAUUGGCCUGAUUAAAAAGCACUCCUUUCCCAAAACCUUUGAACUGUUCAGAGUCCAAAUUCCAGAAAACAAAUGCUAAUCAAUAACCAAUUAAUACAGGGUAAUCAUUGAAAUUAAUGUCCAGAAUUCACUAAUGUCAAAUUUACAGCCAAAGGAGCAAUCAAUUUACUGAACUGUAAGGAAAAAUGUGCACAGAAAAGUAUCUAAUUUCACAAAAUAAAUGAAACCAUAUCAAAUGUCAUGAUAUAAACUAAGAACUCGAAAGCUUAAGCAAAACCCACUCUCAACAAUGUUGUUAAAAAUAAAAAUAAAAAAAUAAAAAAGUUGCCUUUUCAUUCAUAAUUUGAAUUAAUUCAAAAUUGCAAGCAAGAUUUUCACCUGAGCAUUGCUUUCUCCCAUUAGAAUUUCCUUUACUUUCUCGCAUAACAUUCUCACCUACAAUGAAGCAAUGAAGAAUCGAUCAUGUACAGAUAAGACAGUAAAAGUCCCAGAUUAUACUUUAGUUCACAUAGUUUUGUAUGUGUAUAAGAUAAUUCAUUUUGAAAAAUACAACUGCCUUAUCUUAGAGUGGCAAUACGACCGCUUUAUCUAUAGUCAAUCGCUAAAAUAUUUAUAGGAUCCAAUCCAUUUUUAAAAUAAAUGAGAAGCAUGUCAUAAGACAAUUUGGUUCUUCACCUAAUCAGCUCAAAGUUCCCUAACCAAAAUACAUUCUUCGACUGAAAUAGAUAUAUGAGACUUUAAGUACCCCCUCUUUUUAUGCCAUAUCUAACUAAUUUCAUGUCAUUCCGAAAAUGGUCUAUUUACCAUUUCCUGCAAAAUACAGAUUAGAUCUUGUAGUAAAUUUAGAUUUAGUACGGCAUUUGAUUUAAAAUCACAAUAAACAGAAACUGAAUUACAUCACUACAAACACAAAUAAAAGAAAAUGAAAUGUUUCCCAUUUGGUGGCUAAGAAAACCAAAAAAAGUAUAUAACUUUUUCCCCUUAAGAAAAAACACAUAAAAAUUCCACCAGAAAUUGCAAUUCCCACAAAUCCACAACAAAUCAAGAAACCCCAUGACCCCCAUCUUCUUUCCCACAUUUUCCAGACAACCAAACAGACCUCAACCCAACCCUAAUUCUGAAAUCACUCAACAAUGGUCGGGGAACGCAUUUAUAUAAGAUGAAAUUAGAAUUUGGGUUGGAGAGAGUUACCAGCAGUGUCCCAUAAGCCUAAGUUUGCAGUUGUGCCUUCAACAACCACAUUUGCACUUAAGUUAUCAAACACAGUUGGUAUAUAGUCCAGAUGAACACAAAAACAAUUGAAAAACAAAAUCAAAUUACUUGGAAAGGGAAAGGGGGAAAAAGCAAAGCAAUUUAUCUAGCGAGAAAAAGAGAGAGAGAGAGAGAGAGAGAGAGAUUUGUGAAUUGAAUUCUUGAAAACAACAGAAAAAAGCUGCAAAACCAGAUGCAUAAAUACAUAAAGUAAUUCAAAAAACCAAAAAGUCACACAAGUUAGUCAAAUGUGAGAGACCCAGAAGGAUCUUCUUGGCAGAAAAUAAAUAAAAAUCGUGAGAAGAAUGGGCAAACAUGGAGCCUGGAAGAGUCGACCUCGGCAGCUGGGCAGCCUGUGAGAGCAGCUAAGAGAACAAAACAACCCUUGUUUUAAGAAUGGCACAUGCGUUCCCCUUAAACCUACCCCCCCCAAAUGGCACAGCCUACCCGCAUACUUCUCCCUAACUUUUUCUCCAUAAACCCAUACCUCCCUCCCGAAAAUCCUCUACCCUACCCCAUACUCCCCCCAUCUCUCUCUCUCUCUCUCUCUCUCUCUCUCUCUCUCUGCAACAGACCAAGUUGCAGAAAACCCUCUGAGCCAUCAAAUCGACCUACCCCUAACCCAAGUUACAAAAUGACUAAAACGCCCCCUAAUCCUGUACGUUGGAUACGAUUUAGGCACGUUCAAAACCAGUAGCUCUUUCAAUUUUUUUCUAAAAGAAGAAAAGGAAAAGUGUUCACUGAUAUUGUGCAUCCAAUAUACUGGUUUCUUGUCUACCUUCUCCUCCUAACCCUUUUAUCAAAAACCCAUCUCAUUCUUUCCCUCAGAGACUUGAAACCCAAUCCUUAACAGUCCAUUUAACACCUCCUAAUAUAAAUUCCUAACAAAAUAAAUGCAAAAGCAAAAUCAGCAGCGCUUUCAAAUAUUUUAAAGGAAAAGUGGAAAACUAUUAUCAAGAAAGAUGCAAACGAAAUGUUUUCAUCACUGAUAUUGAAGAAAAAACGAAGUGUAUUAGUAUAUUUAUCUUUCCCCAUUCCUUGUACAGUUGAGGAAUUUUUUCUUGACAUCUGAACGAAAAAUGACGCUACACACACUCAAUUACAACACACAGAAGCUCGUAAACAAAUUAUCAUUUCCAAACUGCCAUGAGAGAUUACUAAUCAUAAACUAUGUAGAAGUUGAAAUUCAAUCCAAAAUAAACAUUAGGCAUAUCAUCAAAAACCAGUAGCAUAACUACCCUAUUCAAAAAUGCCUAUUUCACAAAACAUUUAAUGCAUAUUUUACUUCAGAAAAUUCUGCAAAACCACAAUUGAACAUACGGAUCUCUAAAUAAUUCAGGAACCAAUCAAAGCAGCUGAAUACACAUGGUAAAAUAAGUGUUUCAGUUUGCAUUUGUAUUCUAUAAACUUUACAUUAACAAAAUACAUUUAGGGAUUAGUACUACAAUGACAUUGCUGCAACAUCAAUUACAAAUCUUUUAGAUCAAAUAAACAGAGUAGAUAGAGCUCGUACCCGAAGUGAAGCAUAUGAUCAAACCCUCCUCAGGUGGCCGAGUAAUUGAAUGGCGGCGCAGCCCCUACGGAAUGUUUUUUAAUCGAUUCAGUAGUUAACACUGGCCAAAUGCACAAUACAUAUCUUAGAAACUAUUCUCAGUUAAAAUCCAAAGAAGUUAGAUAAAAAACUACCUCUAAUCUUUGUUUCUCUUGUACUUUGGUAUUGCAGGGUUGACCUGUAAACGGUAAAUGAAGUCCUGAAAACCAAAGAAUAAAAAGCCUUUUUUCAGUUAACUAAAAAAAGCACACUAUAAACGGAGUGAGAUAUCUGGUAACCAAAAAAUGAAUUUUGGAAAGCAGACAAACAAACUUCAAUCAAAAUUACUUUAAUACAUUUAGAUAUCAAGGAAAAUUAAAUUUAUUCAAUUUCGAUAUAAAGAAAAUUAAUUAAUGCAGGAACAACAUUUGUGCCUCAAUGACGUGAGAAGUACUCAAAACAGACAUUGUUUUCUUUAAGUCUUUAGUCUAUCUCUGCAAAUCGCAAUAACUCAUAUCCAUUGAGAAUCAAAUUAACUAAUUAACUUACUAACCCCUCCUGUAAAUUUCACACCUAUGCUCUAAACAGAUUUUGUAACUAAUAUCCCAAAAAAUGGGCAAAAGGGAAGGAAAAAAACCUUUGUAUGGUAACUGCAGUGUUAUCUGUGUAACCAAAGUCAAGCGGUGAAAGGCCAGCAACCUCCUUGUAUACUUGGAAAUCUGUUGCGGAUUUUAUAGCUCCAGAAGAAAAUUUAUCCUGCACCAUUAAUAUCAUUUAGACUUAAGUAUUUUUCCUAAGUGAAUACACAUGCCAAGUAUCAAAGAGAGAAAGGAGAAAAAUUAUCAAAAUAAGAAUUACACACCUGUCCUAUAAUUGUGGCCAGACGAUACGUUCUGGCAGUAGAAUUCAAGGACUGAUCACAAACAAAAAAGUAUGUCAAUUUCCAAAACAAUUGUAUCCAAACCCAAUAAAUCCAUAAGAAAUUACUCCAUCACUUGCAGAAAAUUCAAAAUUACCAUUUGAAAUACCAGUGGCAUAGCCUCUUGAGCUUCCAAGCCUAAAAAUUCCAAAAAAUAUGCAAUCUUUGAAAUACCCAUUUCAAUUAAACAUAAGAAGAAUUUUCCUUUCCAAUUCAAAGCUUUGGAAAAAUUGAAAUUUUCAAAUGCUCAAUGACUAAGCAGGACAUUAACCAAUCAAAUCCUAAACCCACAAAAUCAAUCCUAAAACAAAACCUAAUUAAGUGCUAUGUACAUAUAUAACAUGUUAGCUUUCUACUUUAAGAGAAAUUAUUAAAUUGGGGAAGUGAUCAAAUGGGAUGGGUCUUCCCUAUUAAGCAGCAUUAAUCUAAGAUUAAUUCCAACAAAAGAAAACAAUAUGAUCAAGAUCAAGAACAAUGCAUGCAACAAAGAGACAGAGUGUGGAAAUUAGCAGGGUGGUAGAAUUCCAUACAUAGAGAUCUUGAGCGAUGUUGGAGAUCUCUUCCUUAGCUUUCUUAGAAACCCAAAACCUCCUAAGCAAGGUUUCAGCAUACGAACUCCUACCCAGUCAACCUCACACAAAAUUAGUUCAAAAUUAAACAUCUAGUCCCCAAAUUAACAAAAAAAAGAGACAAAACUCUUUUGUCUGUAGUGACUGAUGUGGGUAUACAAUCCCCAUUGUGAUCCCCUUGUGUGGGAGGGCAGAUCUUCCCGUGCCCUCCUGUGUCAUUCUGUUUGUGUGGUUACGGUUAAGCCACGUCAAUAUUUUAUAUUACUAUUCUUUUUUGUCUUAUUAUCUCUAUAAAAAAACAAUAUAAAAUGUUGACGUGGCUUAACCGUGACUACACAAAACAGGAGGGCACAGGAAGUGGGAGGGCAGAGAAUCUGCCUCCCCUUUUGAGUUAUGAAUGAAAAACUUAUCUUUCUGCAUUAUUUUCCUUUUCUCUGCAACUUUUCCUUUUCUUGUAACUUGUCCCCCUUGAGGCGACUGGAACCUACCAUUUGGUAUCCAGAGCCCAGGUGUGCAUCCAUGGGCAAAAGUAAGGCGUCGGUCACGGUGGCCGACGUGACUGAGGCUGGACCGUGAGUUUCAGCAACACCAAAUCCUCACUCAGCUUCAAGACUUUCAAGAGUCUUUCUCCAUGAUGACCGUCCGCCAGGAUGACCUCCAACAAGCCAUCGCCGACCUCUGUCCAUCGGAUCUGUCAAGACCAAGUGCAACAGAUGAUUCUUGACGCGAUUCGCGCCCUAAAACAACCCACCCAACCUAACCCCCAAAUCCCAAUCGGCUCUAUCCCCAUCUCUCUCGGACCCACCCCUUUCUCUGCCGCCUACUCUCUCAUCCCACCGUCCACAUGGGGUUUCUUCACCUCCUCUUCCGUACCCAUAACCUAACCUCUAGCAUCACGCAUGGUCAUCGGCCCUUCGUCCCUCCCCUUCACACCACCAAUUUCCACCAUGACUCACUCCUUGGGCCAACCCUUCAUCUCCCGUUACCUUCCCCCACCCUUUUCCGGACUUAACCCCUCUUCCUUGACCCACGACCUCUACUCUGGUCACCCAUACCCACCCACUUCACCGACCUUCUCGGGACCCAAAACAUUCAAAAUCGACCUCCCUCGAUUUUUUGGGGAAGAUCCUUAUGAUUGGCUUGCAAUGGCAGAAGAGUUUUUAGACUAUCAUGAGAUAGCCGAGCACUGACGAGUCACAAUGGCUGGACUACAUCUUGGUGGCGACACGGCCCAUUGGCUCCGUUGGUACAAAAUGAGGUUCCCCCUCUCUUUUUGGGCCAACUACUGCAGCGAUUUGGACCGGCAGACUCAUUGAACUUCAACAUGGCCCUGUCGCACAUCACCCAAACCACCAUUGUGGAGGCGUAUGUCGGUCAGUUCAUUCACUUUUUGUGCCGUACUCCGGACUGGACCGAUGCUCAACUUCUGGGAGCGUUCUUAGGCGGUCUCAAAGACGAGUUAUAGGAUGAUGUCGUGGUCCAAGAGUCGUCCUCUCUGGCGCGUGCCAUCGAACUAGCUCGAAUCUACGAGCAUAAACAGGGUCGUCGGCCGGUACCUUUUGCUGGGAGUUUCCGUUCCUCAACCUACAACUCUAAACCAUAAUUUUCCUCCCUACCCAACCCCACUACACCAUCCACUACCUCUCGGCCCACUCCCACUGCCACUAAUCCUACACCCACUGAACCUAUUUGACGGCUCACACAAGUAGAGAUGCGCAACCGUCGAGAGCAAAUGGCUCUGUUUCAACUGCGACGAACAAUAUCAUCCGGGCCACCGGUGCUGCCACACCCACAUUAUCAUGUUGUUGGCGGAUGAUGACAAACAGGCACAUAUUCCAGAACUUGGGGACCCCACUCUGCAUCUUCCCCCCGUGGUAGAAUAGAUGGAGCACCUCAUCGCUCUCAACACUAUCUCCGCCACUAAACGUGUCCGAGGCCGCGCUAUGCGCUUGGAGGGCUUCAUUAUCCACACUCCAAUUCAAGUGUUUAUUGACUCCGGGGUUGAUCAAAGUUUCCUCAAUCCAUAAGUGGCGGCUCACUUGGGAUUAUAAGUCAACACUUCUACAACCGAGGCAGUUAUGGUAGCUACAGGGUGCUGUUUCUGCACCAAAGGGGUGGCUCACCAAGUUCUGGUGUGCCUCAAGGAAUUUACUUUUACUAGCGAUUUCCACCUUCUCGCAGUGACGGGUUGCGAUAUGGUAUUGGGUGUGGAUUGGUUAGAGACAUUGGGUCUCAUUGGUUGGAACUUUUUACUUAAGAUUAUGGAGUUCUCAAUGCAAGGAAUGAACUAUCGUUUGGUGUGUUCUUCCACUUCGUCUGCGCUUCCUUCCACAGUGCAGCAUAAUGUCACUACUUUAGGUGGUUCUCUUCUACAAGCCGUACCACAGCUGGCCACUCUCACCACAACGGUAAGCUCUCUUUCCCACCAACUAGCAUUCAGUCACUCAUCACCAUGAAUCACGAGCUCUUUCAACCACCAACAUCUUUACCCUCACACCGGGAGAUCAAUCAUAGAAUCCCAUUACUUCCAGGCAUGAUACCAAUAAAUGUUCGACCAUAUCGUUACGGGCAUGCCCAAAAGGCCGAACUUGAGCGCCAAGUCGACAAGAUGCUUGCAGCCGGCAUCAUCCGCCCUAACAUGAGUCUUUUUUCUUCUCCAGCAUUAUUAGUGGCCAAGAGCGACUCAACAUGGCGUUUUUGUGUGGACUAUCGAGCGAUCAAUGCAGUUACCAUUAAAGAUUACUUUCUCGUUCCUAUUAUUGACGAACUCUUGGCAGAAUUGCAGGGAGCGAUGAUAUUUUCUAAACUGGACCUCCGCUUCGGUUACCACCAAAUCCGCAUGUACGAACCGGACAUCCAUAAGACAGCGUUCCGCACACAUGAGGGCCACUACGAAUUCACCGUCAUGCCCUUCGGUCUCACCAAGGUGCCGACAACCUUCCAAGCCUUGAUGAGCUCCAUCUUAAAGCCACUGCUACGAAAAUUUGUUUCUCGUUUUUUUUAUGAUAUAUUAGUCUUCAGUGACUCCUUGGAUAACCAUGUCUCACAUUUGACUACUGUCUUUGAUAUUCUCCAACAGCACCGCCUCCGUUUGAAACCGUCGAAGUGCAUCAUUAAGUAGAAUUAUAUUGCUUACUUGGGCCAUAUCAUUUCAGAUUGUGGAGUGACCAUAGAUCCCUCCAAGAUAGUAGCGAUUGUAGAAUGGCCGACUUAUUCGAGCGUCUAUACUCUCCGCGGGUUCUUGGGCCUCGCCAGCUAUUACCGCAAGUUCAUCCGUCAUUUUGGUCUAAUUGCCAAGCCCCUCACGGACUUACUCAAGAAGGACAGCUUCUUUUGGUCCCCCACAGCAGACACAGCUUUUUCGGCCCUCAAGGUGGCAUUAUCCACAACUCCGGUCCUGGCGCUCCCCAAUUUCACCAAGUCCUUCACCUUGGAGUGCGACGCAUCCAACGUCGGCAUUGUGGCAGUGUUGUCCCAAGAUAAUCACCCAAUUGAGUUCCUUAGCAAGCCAUUGGCACCCAAACACCAAUCACUUUUGGUGUAUGACAAAGAAAUGCUAGCCGUGGUGUUUGCCGUCCAAAAGUGGCGUUCUUAUUUAAUUGGACACCACUUCACCAUUCUCAUAGACCACCAAACUCUUAAGUACUUCUUGGACCAACGCAUCACCACUCCGUCAUAACAAAAAUGGUUGCUGAAACUCCUUGGGUACAACUACACUUUGGCCUACCGAUCCAAAGCUUCCAAUGCCGUAGCUAAUGCCUUAUCCCAUUGGCCCGAGCUCCUAUCCUUGAUGGGACUCUCGCAACUGCUCUUUGGUUGUGUGGCUGAAAUUUAGGCCUCCUAUACCAUCGAGGUGAUUAAGGUGUUGCAACAUGAUCCAAACAAUAAAGGCUCAUUCCGGCUACAGGGAGACCUUUUAUAUUACAAGUCAGGUAUCUUUGUCCCCGCUAUGUCCCCGUGGCACUCCCAACUCCUCCAGGAGUUCCACACUUCGCCUUCUUCGGGCCACUCCGGAUUCUUGCUCACCUACAAACGCCUCACGCAUAACUUCAAUUGGCCCGACCUCAAAAAGGAUGUCAAGAGCUUUGUAGCUGCUUGUGAUGUGUGCUAACGCACCCAUUAUGAAACCAUUAAGCCACCAGGUCCUUUGCAGCCACUAUCCAUUCCAACCCAAGUCUGGACAGAUAUAGCCUUGGCGAAGGUCUUCCCUCGGCUCAUGGUCGAAAUGCUAUAUUGGUAGUAGUGGAUCGUCUCUCCAAGUACAAGCACUUCAUCCCUAUCAAGCAUCCUUAUUCAGCCCCCUGAUAAGAUUAAAAGCACACCACAAAGUAGCACACAAAUGUCCUAUUGAUUUUCCUUAUUAACACUAAGAUUUGUCAAUUGUAGCAUAUGAAAAUAAGGGUAUUUCCCGCAGAAGAUUGUUUUAUCUAACUACUUAAAAUGUCACAAAAACUGGUUGCUGUCCCUACUGACCAGCCACCGAAAAAUAAUUAUUAGACCGACUUACACUUAUCUAAAUUCUACGAAAUUUUAUAUGAAGACACUAGACACACAGAGCUACACUUGUACAAAUUUUUGGGAUUUUUGGAGUUGAUUGCUAUUUAAAUUAAAUUGAACAAAAACAGGACAGAAACAAAUUUUAAGUAGUUCACAAAUUAAGAAAAACGAGUUAGGGGAAUUGCUACCCACCACCAAAUAAUCAUGCAAACAUGUUAUGUUUCAUUCAAAUUCCUUUUAUUUCUGGAUGAAGAUGCUCAAGUUGGCUUAAUGUUAGAACUCAACCUAUUACUCUUUCUUAUGUAGUAUGUUAAGAGAAUGGCGUUUUCAACUUAACUUAGUCCCUAGCAUGCAAUCUAGAAUGGCGUGUUCAUAGAUUUAACAAGUAAAAAUCAUUAAGAACGAAAAGAGUUUAAGUCAUCACAAGGCAUCGUAAGUACUGGCGUUGUCUUACUUAUCCUAUAAAUUUGUUCACAUGUUAAUCGCAAUUAACAAGUACUACUCUAGAACAUAUGUAGGUCCUCAUUCGACAAGGGCAGGCACACACAUAUUCAUAGCGUUAGAAUUCUAUAUAUGCUUACUAAGUAUGCAUCCAUAGAAAACAAAUAAAGAAUUCAUCAAUGAGACAAGUAGUGAAUCAAUUUUCAUCCAUUCAUAAAAGUAAUUCAAACAAAAUGUCAUAACAAACUUGCAAUCAUAUUCGGGGCUUCAAAACAGCCCCUAACUACUAAGAAUUUAGUUACACAUUAUUAUCAAAUAAAACCAAUAGAAAGACAUGAGUUUGAGAAGAUAAAACAGAGAGGAGAGAAUGCCAAGAUUUCCUCCUUUCUUUCCUUCCUUUCCGCAAUGCUGCCUUAUCCUCUUUCUUUUCUAUUUUUUCUUCCUUUCUCUUCUUUUUUUCCGACCCUGCAACCUGCACCCUUUCCCCUUUUUAACUUGCUACCCCAUUUUCUUCUCCUUAACUCACCCACUAACAACCAUUUAGUGAUGGCAAUAAGUGAGAGGAAAUGGUAAAACAAUUGUAACUCUUUGGGUACCCUUUAUGCCAAUUACUCCCACUUAAUCCUCAUCUUUAUUUUCAUUUCCUCUGAUAUUUGAAUAGGUAUCAGCUGGCUUGUUCUUGGCUACAUCAGUUUUGGCUGCUAGAUUUAUUGGGUUUAUUGCUUUCAUUGCAGUUACAAACUGCCCAGUCUCUUGUGAACCUUUCAGUGUUAAAACAGCCAUAACUUCUUCUACAAACAUGAUAUUAACAAUCCGCAAAAUGCUCCAGAAAAUAGACAUCCGUAGCUUUCCAAGAAUAUAAGGCUCAUUCUCUAAUUCAUUUUGAGCUAUUCACAACUUGCUUCCAAAGUCAGCUGACCUGCACAGGCAGUUUUGACGAAUUUGUUACUUAAAAUCCAACUUGUGCUAUUUUUCUUUUCUUUGCUUGACAAAUCCUAGAAAACACAAAACAAAGUAAAUAGCUCAAAAAUAUAAGGAACUAACUAAGAAAAGACAAGUGAAUUUGAUGUAAAUUAUAUAUAAAUAUGAGCUUAUCAAAUACCCUCACACUUAGCUUUUGCUGGUCCUCGAGCAAAACGAAGAAAAUAUGAAAAAGUAGCAACAUGAAAAACAAUAGCUUCCCCCUAUGUGACCCUCAUAGAAUUUCAUUCAAGAAAACAAAUCAUCAAGAACCUUAGCUAGCACCAAACAAGCUAAUCCAAGCUCAUCUUCCUUAUUCAAAUGUUAGCAGUAACCUUUUAAUCAUCCAUGAAGUGUAGUGUGUGUAAUAGCCAUGCUAAUGCGAUUUCAAGUUUUUUUUUUUAAAACACCACAUGCUAACUAGUGACCUUCUCACGGGACAUACACUCAAUCACACAUAUGUUUAGUUUAACAUGUUUCGCUCAAAGAAUCAAAUGUGAAAGAUCUACCAUAAGCUUGCAUAAAGAUCUCAUCUCCACAAUCAUAAAUGCAAAACUUAAAUCAAGAGGACUUUUAUUGGUUGUAAUGAGGCUUAGGAAGAGGGUUAUAGAAAUGAAAGGAUAGGUAAACACAAGUUCCAAGCUACAUUGCAAGCAAUUCUCUUGUUGAGAUUUACAAGAACUCAAGCUGUCCAACCACUCUACUAAUACCUCCAACCACACCCCUAAACUGAAACUUUAAAAAACUUUUUAUUUGCUUUGUAUACUUUUUUUUCUUUCUUUUUUUUUUUGAACUAAUUUUGCACAUAACUAAAUACAAACAUGAAAUACCCCCACACUUAUUCUUUUUCCAAACUCCUUCAAAGUACUUCACAAACAUUUCUCAUAAGACAAUCUCACAUUGCUCACUAGCUAGCUUGGAAAGGGUAAGGAAAAAUGUUUAAGGUAUAAGGGUAGACAUAUCUGGUGAUAAGAAAUAAAAGGCUCAAUAUAUACGGCUCAAAUUGGCAAUCUAAUGAUAUCAUUUCUCUUUAGGAAACAUGCUUAUUUGGGCCAUGGUGAUAAACCUAAUACCUCUAUCCUUUUCAAGUUCAUGCAAUCAAAUGACAAACAUUUUGAAAGAUCGUUACACAAGUUCUAGAGAUGUAAGUCACAUAAGUUCAUCACACAUAAAAAAAUAUGAGUGUAUGAAAAAUGCACACACUUUCAAUAGGAUAAAAAACUCACAUAGGUUGUAUAUGGUCACUAUAUUCACAUGCGAAGCUUUAAGUCAUACUUUAGUUUCACAUCAACAAGGCUAUGUGGAUUUGGUUUUUCACAGAUGAUUAAACAUGUACAAGGCUAACAAGAGAAUAAGGAAUUUCACACAACACAUGCUUACUAAGUUCUUGAUCACUGUGGUUCAAAUUCAAUCCAAUUAUAUCAUUGGGUCAGGAAACUAACAAAAAUCUAAUUCAAAACAAUAAAGAAAAUAAGACUAUUUUUGGAUUUUCAAAUUUUCUGAAUGUUUUUGAGUUUUUGUUUAAAGUAAAUAAAACUAACUAAGAAAACAAAAAGAAACAACAUGAAAACAAAUCAAACCAGUUCAAAUUUUCAAUUUGGUCAUUUUUUUUCAAUCCUUACCCCCAAACUUAAACUGGACAUUGUCCCCAAUGUAAAAAAAAAACACAAUAAUUAAAAAUAAAAUAAAAUAGUAAAAAAAACAAAAUAAAGUAUUUGGACUGAAAACUUCCCCAAUUUGUAGUAAAAUCAAGCGAUGACCCCCAAACUCCAAUUCUGCAAUCAACUCCAAUGGUGGGCACGAUCAAAUUUUCCUACAAAGAAAAGAAAUAAUUCAGUUUAGCAUGCAAGAAAAUUCAAAAAACAAAAACAAACGGAAAAUUGAAAAUGACAUAAAAAGACAAUGAAUAGAAAUAUUGGGUUGCCUCCCAAUAAACGCUUGCUUUUACGUCCGCAGCCGGACGGUACCAAGAGUUAUCACCCAAGGGUAGAUGGUUCUUGGAGGGGUACAACCUCCACAUCAUGCUCUGCAAAAGACUCGUAAUAUGGCUUGAGUCUAUGUCCAUUCACUUUGAACACGUUUUCGGUCUUUGCACUUUGGAUUUCCACUGCACCAUGAGGAAAAAUAUUAGUUAUAACAAAUGGACCAACCCAUCGAGAACGAAGCUUACCUGGAAAUAACCGAAGGCGAGAAUUAAAUAGAAGAACUUUUUGUCCAAUGGAAAAGCUAUUCCUUGAUAUCAUCUUGUCAUGAAAUGCCUUUGAUUUCUCCUUGUAUAUUCGACUAGACUCGUAUGCAUCAUUUCAGAUUUCGUCUAACUCAUUCAAUUGGAGCUUUCUAUGCUGUCCGGCAACACUCAUGUCCAUGUUGUAGGCUUUGAUCGCCCAAUAAGCUUUGUGUUCUAACUCUACUGGAAGACGACAUGGUUUCCCAUAAACUAACCGAAAUGGGGACAUUCCAAUAGGAGUCUUAUAAGCAGUCCUAUACGCCCACAAUGCAUCGUUCAAGCGCAUGCUCCAAUCCUUCCUACUAGGACUCACAGUUUUCUCCAAAAUUUGCUUCACCUCAACGUUUGAUACUUUUGCUUGACCACUAGUUUGUGGAUGAUAAGGUGUAGACACCUUAUGUGUGACAUUGUACUUCCGAAGCAACGCUUCAAAUGUUCUAUUGCAAAAGUGACUCCCUCUAUCGCUGAUGAUUGCUCUAGGUAUUCCAAAUCUUGCAAAGAUGUUAGUCUUAAUAAAAUCUGAAACAACUCUUGAAUCAUUAGUUUUGGUGCCUUUUGCUUCCACCCAUUUAGAAACAUAAUCCACAACCAAUAAAAUGUAAAGAAAACCAUUAGAAGAUGGAAAAGGUCUCAUGAAAUCAAUGCCCCACACAUCAAAGAUCUCAACAAUCAAAAUAGGGGUUUGUGGCAUUUGAUUUCUUGGGCCCAAGUUACCUAUUCGUUGACAACGAUCACAUGUUGCUCAAAACUCGUACGCAUCCUUAAACAAACUAGGCCAAUAAAAACCACUCUCUAACACCUUAAGAGCUGUCCUCUUUGCUCCAAAAUGGCCGCCACAUGCAUAAGAAUGACAAAAAGUUAGAAUAGAUUUAAACUCAGAUUCGGGGACACACCUUCUAAUCAAUUGAUCAGGGCAAUAUUUCCACAAAUAAGGAUCAUACCACUCGUAGUAUUUGGCGAUUUUGACAAGCUUAUCUUUCUGAGCACGUGUAAAAUCAUCCGGAAUCUUUUUGGUGACCUUGUAAUUGAUAAUAUCUGCAUACCAAGGGUCAGUAGCCUUUAAUGAAAACAAUUGCUCAUCCGGAAAACUCUCACGUAAAGGGAUGAGAUCUUCCUCUGUGUUUGAAUGCACAAGUCUGCUAAGAUGAUCUGCUACAACAUUCUCACUUCCUUUCUUAUCCUUGAUCUCCAAGUCAAACUCUUGAAGUAGAAGUAUCCAUCGAAUGAGUCACGGUUUUGCAUCUUUUUUUGUGAGUAGAUACUUCAAAGCUGCAUGGUCAGAAAACACAAUAACUUUAGUCCCAAUUAGAUAAGAUCUAAAUUUUUCUAAAGAAAAUACAACAACUAAAAGCUUCUUUUCUGUUGUUGAAUAAUUCAACUAUGCAUCAUUGAGUGUUCGAGAUGCAUAAUAGAUGACAUGUGGCACUUUGUUGACACGCUGCUUUAGAACUGCACCGACAACAUAGUCUGAAGCAUCGCACAUCAACUCAAAAGGUAAACUCCAAUCUGGUGGUAUGAUCACAGGAGCUGUGGAUAAUAACUCCUGAAGCUUGUUGAAUGCUACCACACACUCUUCAUUCAUAUCAAAUGUUACAUCUUUUUGAAGCAAACGGCACAAAGGUCUAAAAAUCAUUGAGAAAUCCUUCAUAAACCUACGGUAGAAACCUGCAUGUCCAAGAAAAGAACGAACCUCCCUGACAGUAGUAGGGAGGGGUAAAGAACUAACAAGUUCUACUUUAGAUUUAUCAACUUCAAUUUCAUUUUCAGAUAUGAUAUGCCCUAGAACUAAUCCAUGUGAAACCAUGAAAUGACAUUUUUCCCAAUUUAAGACUAGAUUAGUUUCUUGGCAACGUUUUAAAACUAGAGACAAAUUAUGUAGACAUGUAUCAAAAGAAUCACCAUAAACUGAAAAAUCAUCCAUGAACACUUCAAUUAUUUUCUCAAUCAUAUCAGAAAAGAUACUUACCAUACACCUUUGAAAUGUGGCGGGAGCAUUGCAAAGUCCAAACGGCAUCCUCCGGUAUGCAAAUGUGCCAAAUGGGCAUGUGAAAGUCGUUUUUCUUGAUCCUCCGGAGCAACUGCAAUCUGAUUAUAUCCAGAAUAGCCAUCAAGAAAGCAAUAAUGAGAAUGACUAGCUAACCUUUCUAACAUUUGAUCAAUGAAUGAGACUGGAAAGUGAUCCUUGCAUGUGGUGCUAUUUAUCUUUCGAUAGUCUGUACAGACUCUCCAACUAUUUUGCACACGUGUAGGCACUAGCUCAUUAGCUUCAUUCUUAACAACUGUGACUCUGGAUCGCUUUGGAACUACUUGAACGGGGCUCACCCACUUGCUGUCCGAGAUAGGAUAUAUGAUGCCAACAUCAAAAAGUUUGAUAACCUCACUUCAAAUGUUCAAGAAUCGGUUUAAGCUCCAAUUUGGGUGCCUGAAUCACAGAAGGAAGAGUUUUUUCGUUAGAAGUAGGAAAAGAAAUAAAAUAGGAAGAAGACUUACCACGAAUUGGUGAAAGAGACUCAAGAGCGGCCACUGUUUGGAUUAAUUCUUCUUCAAUGUGCUCUGAAUAAUUAAAAUUUCCAUGUGUAAUGCUAUGCACUAAUGCCUUCUCUAAAUUAUUUUGUCCCACACCUUCAUUAAAACAAUCCUGCACAAAAUAGUCAAACACAUCAAUAGACAAACAAGAUUCAAAAUCACUAGGGUACCUCAUAGCAUUGAAGAUUUUGAACUUGACGCUUUCCCCAUCAAUUUCCAUGGUUAAGGUACUAUCAUAGACAUCAAUCUUCGUACGUGCCGUUCUAAGGAAUGGUCUUCCCAAUAUAAGAGGAAGUGUAGUACGCAUAGGGUCAUGUUCCAUCUCAAGAACAAAAAAGUCAGCGGGAAAAAUGAGCUCAUUCACUUGCACAAGUACAUCCUCCAAUAGGCCUUUGGGAUAUCUAUUUGAACGAUCUGCCAACUGGAUUACUACCUUUGUUUUCUUCAAGUCUCCAAGGUUCAAUGAUUCAUACACUGAAUAUGGCAUCAAAUUGAUGGAUGCACCCAAAUCACACAAUGCUCUCCCAAACUUUUUCCCUCCGAUUACACAUGGAAUGGUAAAGCUACCGGCAUCUUUCAACUUCGGUGGCAGCUUCCUCUGCAAAACAGCUGAUACUUCCUCGCUUAAUGCCACAAUUUCUUGAUCAUUGAAUGUCCUCUUGUUCGUACAAAGCUCUUUAAGGAACUUUGCAUACUUGGGCACUUGUUUUAUGGCAUCUAAAAGAGGUAAGUUCACUUGGACUUUCCGGAAAGUAUCCAAGAUUUCCUUAUCAGUUUGCUCUUUCUUAGACUUCAUAAACCUACGAGGAAAAGGAAUAGGGACACAUGAGUUAAAUGAAUUUUGAACUUAUUUACUUACCUUAUCAGAAUCUUUUGUGUUCAAUUUCCGUUUCUGUUGAAGCCUCAUCUUGCUCAAGAUUCUUGGUUUGUAGCUCCUCUUGCUCAUUUGUAUCUUUUCUAGUCCUCUUUUGCAUCCUUGAUUGCUCAAAAACUUCUUUUCCACUCCUUAAAGUCACAACAUUCAUCUGCUCCUCAUUUGGAUUCACCACGGUCUGGCUAGGCAACCUUCCUGGUUGGUGUUGUUGCCCCAUCAAACUUGCUAACUGACUCAUUUGGCGCUCAAGGUUUUCAAUUGCUUUGUCUGUUUUCUGUUGAUGAGAUUGAGUAGAGUUAGCUAAAGAAGCAAUUAAAUCCUCAAGAGACUUACUUGGAGCUUGAUGUUGUUGAGGCUAAACUGGUGCCUGCGAUCUUGCUUGAAAGAAGCCAGGUGGACGGUUAUAGUUGUUGGGAACAGAUUGUUGUCCAUUGUCUUGAUUGUUCCACUUUAAGUGUGGAUGAUCGCGCCACCCCGCGUUAUAGUUGUUGGAGUAUGGAUUAUACUUUUGCCUUUGUUGCUCCUGAAACCCUCCUAACGCAUUAGCUUGCUCAAAACCACCUUGAUCCAUCAAUGAAGGGCACAUGUCCGUGGCAUGUCCUAUCAUUGAACAUACACCGCACACCUGUUUUGGAGCCACCAUAACCUGUUGCACAAGAUUAGUGAAGUUAGCUAAUUGUAAUUCAAUACUAGAAUUAGCACUUACCUCAUUAACUUUCUCAAGAGGUAGCUCAUCUCUCCCUCCAAAUUGUCGUGUAUUUCCAGCAAUGUUCUUUAAUAAUGCCUUAGCAUUUGUUGGUGUCUUGUCCAUGAAUGCUCCUCCACUUGCUGCAUCAAGCAUUACACGAUCAAUACCACACAAUCCUUCAUAAAAAUACUGUAUUAAAAGAUGCUCUGAAAUUUGAUGAUUAGGACAAGAUGCAACCAAAUGUGUGAAUCGCUCAUAGUAAUCUCCAAAGGGUUCUCCAUGUUGUUGUCGGAUUGCACAUAUGUCCUUCCUUAUGCUUGCAGCUUUUGUGGCCAGAAAAUAUUGCUCCAAGAAUGCUUGCUUCACCUGGUUCCAUGUGUUCAUUGAUCCCAGAGGUAAAUUGUAAAGCCAAUCCUUUGCCUUAGCUUCUAAUGUAAAUGGGAAUGCCCUCAACUUGACUUGCUCCUCAUCAACAUUUGAUGGUCUCAUUCCCGAGCAUACCACGUGAAACUCCACGAGAUGCUUGUUGGCAUCCUCUGUUGAGAAGCCAUGGAACUUAGGCAAGUAGUGAAUCAUGCCGGACUUGAGCUCAAAUUCUCCUUCUGCAUUUGGAUAUGUGAUGCACAAUGGUUGUUGAUCCGUAUUUGGCGUUGCCAAUUCCCUCAAAGUACGGUUAUCCGCCAUGCCUUCUUGUGGUUCUUCCUCCUCUUCUGAACUCAAAUGUGGUGGAGAAGAUGGUGGUAAAGACAUCGAUGCACGCUUCUGCUUGAUUUCUCUGAAGCUUUCGAAGUGUUCGUUCAAGCUCAGGAUCGUAGGAAGCAAGAUCAAUGCUCUUGGACCUUCGAGUAUGCAUAUACUACAAAGGGUACCUGAAAUAAAAACAAAAACACUAAUUAGGCAAGAAAAGAAAACAAUAGAAAAAUAAGUAAUUAGACAUAACAAUCCCCGGCAACGGUGCCAAAAAUUUGAUAAGAUUAAAAGCACAUGACAAAGUAGCACACAAAUGUCCCCGUGGAGUUGAUUUGCUAUUUAAAUUAAAUUGAACAAAAACAGGACAGAAACAAAUUUUAAGUAGUUCACAAAUUAAGAAAAAUGAGUUAGGGGAAUUGCUAUCCACCACCAAAUAAUCAUGCAAACAUGUUAUGUUUCAUUCAAAUUCCUUUUAUUUCCGGAAGAAGAUGCUCAAGUUGGCUCAAUGUUAGAACUCAACCUAUUACUCUUUCUUAUGUAGUAUGUUAAGAGAACGGCGUUUUCAACUUAACUUAGUCCCUAGCAUGCAAUCUAGAAUGGCGUGUUCAUAGAUUUAACAAGUAAAAAUCAUUAAGAACGAAAAGAGUUUGAGUCAUCACAAGGCAUCGUAAGUACUGGCGUUGUCUUACUUAUCCUAGAAAUUGGUUCACAUGUUAAUCACAAUUAACAAGUACUACUCUAGAACAUAUGUAGGUCCUCAUUCGACAAGGGCAGGCACACACAUAUUCAUAGCGUUAGAAUUCUAUAUAUGCUUACUAAGUAUGCAUCCACAGAAAACAAAUAAAGAAUUCAUCAAUGAGACAAGUAGUGAAUCAAUUUUCAUCCAUUCAUAAAAGUAAUUCAAACAAAAUGUCAUAACAAACUUGCAAUCAUAUUUGGGGCUUCAAAACAGCCCCUAACUACUAAGAAUUUAGUUACACAUUAUUAUCAAAUAAAACCAAAAGAAAGACAUGAGUUUGAGAAGAUAAAACCGAGAGGAGAGAAUGCCAAGAUUUCCUCCAUUCUUUCCUUCCUUUCGGCAAACCUACCUUAUCCUCUUUCUUUUCUAUUUUUUCUUCAUUUCUCUUCUUUUUUCCGACCCUGCAACCUGCACCCUUUCCCCUUUUUAACUUGCUGCCCCAUUUUCUUCUCCUUAACUCACCGACUAACAGUCAUUUAGUGAUGGCAAUAAGUGAGAGGAAAUGGUAAAACAAUUGUAACUCUUUGGGUACCUGUUUGGGUUAAAACCUGAACUUUGGGCUCGAAAGGAAGUUAGCCCAAAAGGAGGUCCAGAAAGAAAGAAGCCCAAGGUUCAGCCAAGGCCCAGAAGAAUAAGAGAGCCCUUUUUCCGACUAAGUGCACACCACUUGAGCCACUUGCUCACCUACCUAGAGGUCAAGUGGUGUAGACCAGCCAGCUAAUCAGCCCAAAAGUACUUUAUAAUAGCAGUACAAGUAAAACCUGAUGAGUCACUACCCUUCAACUGCAUUCGGGCAAGACUGGUGCUACAGGUAGCCAAGCCAAAUCGUCUAUGAAAGAAGAAAGAGAAAUCAGAGAUAAGGACACUCAAUCAAACAAACAAAUACACAAACUCUGCUCAAGCCAGAUUUGCAUACGAAGCUGUAGUCAGCACCAAACCUUCAUCCUUUUCGAGAUCAACCUUUACCAAAAAACCUUUGUAAAAGCUCUGCUACCUUGUUUGAAUCUUGCUGUAGUAUCGAUUUCUCCUGUUGAUGCGUAAAAUAACUAAACACACAAAUUAAACCCUCUUUUUAUCAAUUGUAGUAAAGUAUGUAAGUAGGGAUCGUUCUAGGCCGGGGAUUAGGAGGGAUUGCUAAAUCACUUGGAAACUGACUUGAAAACGUGAAAACAAAGUUUAAAACACUAACUAGACUCAAAGAAUGCAAAACUAUACUUUAAAACACUAAAACAAACCAAAAGACUCAAAACAGCCCCUAAACACUCAAAACUACCUUAAAAACACAAUCUGGGCAAUUUUGGGACUCUCACACAAACUUGGACAAAUUUUGGUGAAUCAAAACACUCUAACACACAACCAAAACAGAAAUUAAACACUUUGAAACAAUAAAGUAAAAGGGGGAUUUUGGUUUUAAUGAAUUUGAAAACAAAACAAACUUUGUAAAACAAAACAGAUUGUAAGUGAAUUUGAAUGAAACUUAUGGAUGGAAGAUUAGCUAGGAGGUUCUUCUCCACAUAUGUCACACUUGCAUACAAAACGAUUUCCAGUUGCUUUUCGAUAAGCUAUGAAUACUCAACGCCCCAAAUUAACCGUGAAUUGCACUAAUUAACCCUCAGUUUUUUCCACAAGUUAUUAGGUUGGAUGAUUGCAUACGACAACCCAAAACAUUCCCUACAAGUUCCCUACAUGAAUUGCAUAAUAGAGAAACAAGCAAGAAUCAUUAAGUUCUAUGAAAAACAUAAGCAUUGACGAGGCACUCGUUACUAUAAUUUGCAUGAAACUUAUGCCAAGAGUUUACUUAACGUGAUUGUGACUAGCAACCUUCACUACUUGUGAAUAUAAGUUUAUAACGAUUAGGUGAAACUCCCUUAUAUUCUAGCGUCAAAUUCAUGCAUGAAAAUUAAGCGUGCACUCUUAACCAACAUACACAAAUUAGUUUUUAUAUGAACGGAUAAGUAAAUUGAAUUCAUAACUUAUGAAUCACAACUGGAUGUAAUCAAAUCAUAUUGCAAGUAUGAACAUGGUUUCGAAUCACCCCCUAACUAAGAGGGAUUUAGUUCCUCAUACUCACAAAGCAAAGAUACAUAAAAUUAAACAUUAAAAAAUCAAAGGAAAGAAAAACACCUAAAAUGCUCCAACUUGGGUAGCAAGUGCAUCCAAGAAUUCUCCUUUGCUUGCUUGCGGCAGAUUGCUUUGUGGACGGAUUUUUGGGUAGUUUUAUGAUGUAGAAUGGAUCGGGAAGGGUAUGGAAAGGUUUAGGGUAAGUGUGGAGGAGUGUUUGAGGGUUGGAGGGUGGUGGAGAACUAGGCAAAGAGGGUGGAAGAAGGUGGAGUGGCUGUUAUGUUUUCUAGGCACUAGAAUGGUGUUUUUGGGGUGUUUUGCUACCUAGAGGUUGUAUGGACGAAUUUUCUGUGAUGAAUGAUGAAUAUGAGAGUGUGUACUUUGGCCAAGGGGUGUAAACAUGUAUUUAUAGGCCCCAAAAACCUUAGAAAAUCAGGUUAGGUUAAGGAUGAAUUGCAUGGCAAUUUGUGUGUGUGGUGUGCAAUGGUCCAAGGGUGAAAAUGAAGUAAUGAUGCAAAGUGUGAAGGGUAAAAUGGAGUGGUGUUGUAGCUAGGGAGCAAGAAUGAUUGUGUACAUUGCAUAGAGAUGGAAAGGGAGGUGAAAUGUGUCAACAAAUGGGUCAAAGGUGCAACAACAUGUGUUGCACAUGGCAUUGGAUUCUAAAUGUGAAUGAUGGAGCAUCAAUUGGUGCAUGUAAUGGAUGUAAAUGUUGUCUAAAAUCUAAUGAGUGAAGGGAACAAGAGGUAUCAAGCAAUUGAGUGUAAUAAUUAAAUGAAUUGAAGCAUGAAAUUAGAAAUUAUGUAGGGGACAAGAGUGAUCAAGCAUGGCAUGGAAUCCAAAGGGAAUUCUAUGUGGUUUGCAUGGCAAGGAAUGCAAGUUGGGGUGACAGAUUUUUGGGCUGUUUUCUUCAUCUUUUGGACCAUAAUUCUUCAUAUUCUUGGCCUCUUUAGUUCUCAAAUUCGUCCAUCCACUUGGCCCAUGCAUUUGUUAUCCAUUCCAAGCCCGAAACAUGCUCCAAAGGCCUCCAAAAUGCAUCUUCUUGCAUACUUUGUCCAUAAAAUCUGAAAACACACGAAAAUGACUUUAAACAUUAAAAUAACUAAGGAAACACGACAUAAAUGCACAAGAACAAACCAACUAAGUCGCAUAAAUGUGCUCCUAUCAAAUUCCCCCACACUUAGCUUUUGCUAGUCCUCGAGCAAAACAAAGAGAUAAAACGAAACAAAGUAAAUAAAACACAACCUAAACCUUCCAACAUUUGCCUCAGGGAUUUCCAAUGCACAUGACAUGUUAAAAAUCAUUAUCCCCACAGAUUUGAGUCAUCUUCACACUUAAGCACGUACUUAAUCAUAGUCACUACUUACUUGUUCACAAUUAAUCGAUUAAAAUAAUGUUUUUGAUGUAGUAACAUGCCUUAGAGAAAUCACUCAAUUCCUUACAAGAUAUGCACUCAAUUUUCACUCAGAUUUUCUAACUACACACCCUAUACUAGUUAUAUGUGAGAAGAUUGAUGUAGAUAUGAAAACGAACGCUCACAUAUAUGUAUCACAAAGAGCAAUUUCUGGAGUUAAUAAGCAUGUUUAGAUAUGAUCUCAUGAAUGGAAUGCUACUACUUAGAUGCGAGAACUAGUGACACCAUAUGCUCAUAUCAAUUUCAAACUCCACAUAUUGAAACGCAUGACACUCAAGAUGAAGUUAAGGGUUGUAACGGGGCUUGGGGUGAUGGCUAACAAAUGAAGGAUAAGGAUAACAAUCGUUCUUAAAGCAAUAGCAAGUAAAGUAAUGAAAUUGAAACUUAGAAUUCACUUAGAUUGCAGAAAUCAGCUUUUAGACACGAAGGGAAAAUUCAAGCAAUAUUUAGGGCCGAAUUCUAUGUUUUGGACCCUUCUUCAACAAGCAGCACUUUAAAACUCUUUUUCGCAUUUUUUUUUAUUUUUUAUUUUUUUUUUUUUCAACUCUUCUUUUCUUUUCAACAAGCAUAAUAACUCACACUUCCCCCACACUUGUUUUCUGCCAUACAUUAAUCAAAAGAAAUUUAAUUUGAAUCAUGUUUUACUAUGCUUCAAGAACAAGGGUAUGGAUGGUCCUAAACUAGGCUAGGUAAGGAUAAUGUGGUUUAACAAAGAAUGUAGGCUAUCAAGGCUCAAUGGGGUUAACUUAAACAUAUAACGAUAUGGGAUACAUGGCAGUUUGGCUUUGGUGGUGGUAACUACACAACUUCAUCUUGAAUAUGUUUUAUGCAAAUCAAUAGCAUGCUUUGAAUGAAAUAGGCAUGAGUUCUAGCAUUUGGAACUAAAUGAUGAAACGCCUUCUAAGUAAUAACCAAGCAAAGAAUAAUGAGAUCAUGCAACGACUUUAGAAAACAAGAAUGCACAGAUUUUAACUCUCCAAAUAAACGUUUAAGCUCAAGUCUCACAAGGUUGUAGCGUUAGUUUGAGUUCUUUCCUUCAAGCAUGUUACAAAAACUAAUUUUUUUUCUUUUAUGAUUACAUGUGAUUUCAUAAGUUAUAACCACAACCACGCAUAAAUAAAGAGUAAAUCAAACUUUCAUCCAUGUUUAUAACUCUCUUUAACAGUCAUGCAAUUACAAACCGAAUCCUCAUCAUUGUGUUGGAAGGUACCCUAAGACACAAAUAAGCGCACAAAAACAACUCUUUUUUGGAUUUUCAAAAACAAUUUUUCAAAUUUUUAUGAAUUUUCGGAUUUUUAUGUCAAAACACACUGAAACACUCCAAAACAGCUUAAAAAUACUUAAAACAACAAGGAACAACACUAGAAGUAAUGGGUGAUAAAUUUCUACGAAUUUCAUGCAAAACAAUGGUUAUCCCCUCACACUUAAAUCAAACAUUGUCCUCAAUGUUUCAAGCAUAUACUCACACCAAAAACAAGCAAAUAAUAAACGACAAAUAAACAUGACAAAUAUGGCAAAGUAAAAACCAGACAGAGUAGAGUUUAAGAACGCAAAUCUGGUUUUGGAGAUAGUUGAUCUUGUUGACUUUCCACAGCUUUGAUCUUGAACUGGAUUGGAAUUGUACGGCGAAGCUUUUCUCUUUGGCGAUGUUGCAAUUCCUUAUUUGUUCUCCAAGAAGAUGUGGCAGCUUCUCUAGUUCUUCAUCUCAGACUCCUUCCGCUGGGAUGAUUGUGCAAGCUGCAUUCUUCUCUGCUUGUUUCUUCUGCACAACGGGCAGGCACGAGGGAGAGGUGUUGGUCUGUUUCUUUCUUCAAUCUUUCCAAGUGCCCACCUCUUGCUUUCUUUCUCCUUGUCCCUAGUUGAGGAUGAAUCAGCACGUUGUCUCCACAUGCUUCGAGGUAUCAUCUUCACUUCCCUUAUAAGUGAGAGACAAAGAGAAAGCAUAAGAUGAUGAGUACUCGAGAGCAAGAGCUGGCUGGAGAAAGGACAGGGAGAAAGCAUGAUAUGAGAUACUCUUGCUCUCAACCCUUAUGAUAUGAAAUACUUGUGCUCUGGAUGGGUUGUUUGCAGGGGUAUCCCAGGGGAUGAAAAAUACAGAGUGACUCGAGAGGGUUUGUUGGAAAGCCAUUUAAGAGAGGAUGAAGGGUUAAGUGAGGCUGAAAGUUGGGUGAGACUGCUUCACUUUGAAGUUCAACAUUUAUAGAAUUUUCUUAAUGGCUGGGAAGGCAUUGUUCCAUUACUCGUGUCGGCAAACCUGGGAUAAUUUAACAGUAGUUUCCACGUGCAUUCUGCUUCUCCAAAAAAUUUUGACAGAUUGCGCGUGAUUUACGCAACGCAGAUGUGCAAAUUGACAGAUGCUGACACGUCUCGAUAAAGCAGAGGUCUCUUUAAUAUCCGGAAUUUACGCUUCGAGUUCUGAGCUUCGUUGAGGGCAGAGAUUGCAUGUGACAAGUGCUGACGAGGCUGAGAGAGACAGAUGGUUGGAAUCGGUGCUUCGACAGACUGCCCGUGAUUUUCGCAAAGCUGAGUUGCGUGUGAUGGGUGCUGACGAGGCUGAGACAGUUGACACUCUUCGGUAUCUGGAAUUGGUGGUUUGUGAGCAAGCCCAACUUUUGAGAAAGCUGGCGCCUCUUCGAUCUCCGAAUGGCUUCUUCGAUUUCUGAGCUCACCUCUUCGAUCUCUGAAAUCCCAUCGCGUGCUGAUUUUUAUAGAGGUAUGCAGGACGUUCAAAGCACUCUUGAAUUUCUGCCUGUAAAAACUCCCGUUUUGCACUUCUACGAUCUUAACUUGUCCGAUCUCCUCUUUCUUUAACACCUCUGAAAAAUGUCUGGCCCUUCCGACCGUUGUUUUGACUUGAACCUUAGUGAAGGAGCAGCCCCUCCUUCUCCAGACAACAUAUGGCGCCCGUCCCUCAUAUCCCCUACUGGUCCUCUUACCGUUGGGGAUUCGGUGAUGAAAAAUGACAUGACCGCUGCAGUGGUGGCCCGGAACCUUGUCACCCCCAGAGAUAACAGACUGCUCGCUAGACGGUCU